rnacentral:lncRNA from 1 species
UUUAUAAAGCUAAUUCUCGAUUGAAGUUGCAAGUUUCAGGAGAUAUGUACAAAUGUUAUGUUUUUAUUUUUAUUUACCAUUUAUCCAAUUCUUCAAUUUUAGGAUUCAAAUGUAACGGACUAUUAGAGCACAGCGUAUAAUUUUAGAACUAAUUUUAGAUAUAGUUUUGACUUUUCGACCUUUAAGACCAAAGUUUCGCAUAUGUUCUUGUGACAAGUGUAAGUCAAGAUCUAACUACUGAAUACGUUGCGUGAAUAUAUUAUUUUUCUUUUCAGUUUUGAAAUUUAGGAUCUGUUUAUGUGCAAUUAUGCCCCUAAUCAUAUGGUUUCCUAGACAUGCGGAAAUUAGUGGACUUGGUAUUAGCUCACAUUUAUUAAUUAUUGCAUUAUAAAAUACUAUUGCAACUACCAUGAUUGCUACAUUCAGCUGCUUUCUCUCGUGCUCAACCAAAUAAUACUAGGGAAUGUUUGGUUCCUCCCAAAAUAGAGGAAAUUUAUUUUUUAGAAAUAAAGUUUAUAUAUAAAAUAUUUUUAUUUCUCAAAUAAAAAAUUUGAACAAUAAAAAUGAGAUUUUGUAAGAAAUCUAAAUUUUGUUAAGAAAGACUACCAAGCUAACAAAAAUUAUUUUUUUCCACCGUAAACUUUUUUUUAUGAUAUUUUCAGAUAACCAAAUAGUCCUUCAAUAUAUUGUUGUAUGGACUUUACAUUCAGUAAAUCGGGUCUAUCAACAGAAAUCAUUUAAAAUAUAAAUUGAAACUAUUAAAUGUGACAUAAAGCCUCUCUAAUUAAGUAAGUUACAUAUAAAAAUUUUAUCGGUUUAAAAAUAUAAUUUUAAGAUACUAAAUUGUUCUAAUAAAAAGUUGUUUUCUAAAAUGCUUAGCUAUUUUUGUAAUAUAUAUGUUGUAAAAAUGAGAAUUUAUUACAUUUAUGAGAGAGAAAAUUGAAAAAUAAUAUAAUUUUUUAAAAAAUAUAUUAAACGGGUCCAUUGUAAUAAUUCCUAAAAAAUAUAUUACGCAUAAUGAUGUCACCCAAUAACUACGAGUGGGGCCCAUUGAGGGCACGUUAGGUGACUCCUACUUCCCGCGGUAGGUGAGCUUCGGUGGGCCCCACUAUUAACAUCAAACUCAAGGUUAGGUCACGAGCCCAACCGAGUCACCUCAAUCUCGACUCGCCCUUCGUUUUCAUUGGAUGGUGAUAAAAUAGACCGCGUAGUUUUUGCACGGAAAUUCUCCAUGGACCAAGCUCACCACAUCAGCAGAAUUUCUUUCUAUGCCUCAGAUUUUUUAAUUUUGUUUAAAAAAUAAACUCAAGUAAAAAAUAUUAAGCAGCUAUUUUUUGAACUUUAAAUUUUAGCUACCAACCAAUAAGCUGUUAGAAAAUUUUCUGUGUGGGCCAAGCGCACCACGUCAGCAAUGAAUUAAUUUUUAAUAACUGAGAGUAAAAUAGAAGCUCUUGUAAUAAAAUUAUAUGGAAGUUUAUCACUUUAAAUCUAGAUUGUUUGGACCAUGAAAAUACUAAUAGUUUGGUGAUUAUUCAAUGACUUAUUCUCUAUCACAAAAUUUUAAAGUGAAAUUGGCUGCAUAAUGAAAUUUAAAAAGAAUGGAUACCCGGCGGCUCAUGGCUGAUAUGGUGGACCAAAACUAGGCAAGAAUUGAUCCGGCGCAGUGUCCUUGAUGUAUCUAUUCGGUUUUAGGUACCAAGUUAGAUGUGCUCGUUAAUAAAGUAUGUUUAACUUUGACUAGUAUACCUACUUAGAUGUGCUCGUUACAUCAACAAAUCCAUUUUAAAAUUUUAAAUAAUUUUUAACUUAUCAACUAACAUAAUUUAGAAGCAUUUAAAAUACAUAAGCCGGAAUUAAUUAAAUCUACAAUAAUACUUCAUUCUUUUUUGUCAUUUACAUGAUUAUGAAUAAAUAAAAUUAGUUAAGAUAUUAAAAUUUACAUAUAAAAUAAUUUUUACAUUUUUAUUUAUGUUGUAUAGAGCGUGAAUUGAAAUAACUGUAUAUUUUUUUUUUCACACAUACUACAUCCUAAAAGUUAGUGUUGGUUGGGUUCUGGGUUAGGCUCGGCCCAUCAACUGCACAAAGUAGCCCGGCCCUACGCGUCUCUACAAGUCAUUCGCCCAUUUCUCCCCUUUCCCUCUUCUCUCUCUCUCUCUCUCUCUCUCUCUCUCUCUCCUCGGUUGUUCUCGCACCUCCAAACCCUCGCCAUGUGCCAAGGCCACCACCUCCACGCGUCCAUGCGGCGGCCGCCGCCGUCGCCGUCGCCGGAGUCCGGCGGGGCGCAGCCGCCGGCGAGGGAGGCGGAGGCGGCGCCGCUGGCAGCGGCGCGUGCGCGUUUGGCCGAAUCGAUCGCGGCGCUCGAGCGGGAGCGUGCCCGCGCCGCCGCGCUCCGCCGUCGCCUCGCGGAGUCCUACGCCGAGAGGGACCGCCUCAGAGAGGUGCUGGCCACGAUGAGCGCCCUCAAGAGCCGCCUCCGAGAGCUCGUCCGCGUCGGCGGCGACACCACUCCGUAGGGUCUCCGGUAAUGCGCCGUAAAACCCUAACCCUAAUCGCAUCUCAGUUCCACCUCUAUCUCCAGUUACAGAUGUUCAUGUUAGUGUUUGGUUAUAGCUAGUCACAUUGCUCCGGAUGUUGUUAAGCAUUUUUAUCUGGUUAUUGAUUUCCACGAACUCAUUUAUCGUGCUAUGCGUGGAAAAGGCGAUGACAUGUAGACAAAUUGGAUUAGAGUGAUAUAAUGUAAUGAGAUUGCUUGGUUUUGUAGACUUAUCAAAUUCAUGUAGAUUGCGUGUUGUGUAUGUGAAACUCUAUUUGGCAUCCAAUAGAAGAUUUAAUUGAGUUGAUUCUCAAUACAAUGAAAUCAAAUUAAUUGGAUUUCAAGGUGAAUUCUUCUGUUUGGAAUGCAAUGUACUGUAUAACCCAUAUGAGAAUCAGUAGGUUAUUUUUGUGUAGAGGAAUAUAUUUAUUCUCGAGAACUUCAAUUCACGGCAACUUGGAUCUCAGAUUGUCUUAUUUGCUAAAACUUGCUGAAUCAUUUUAAACUAUCAGAAAUCAUGUCGAAUCAUCAUAUUUGUGUAGGUUUUCAAACAACUGAUAUAGUGAAAUGUGAUAUGUUAGAGAAUGGGUAGAAAAAUUAAUCACACCGAUUGAAUUAGCAAAGUGCAAGUUUUGGGUCAAAUAGAAAAUUGAAAUGCAUAAUGUGACAAAUGAUUCAAAGGUGGAAAAUACGGUCAAAUAAAAAAAGAAUUUAGCAGAGCAUGCUGUGUACUUAUGUUGAUUGAAAGACCAUUCGAUCUAAAGGAAAAGAAUGCGCGCAUAGAUUCAUUUCAUCUAAACUAAGAGAUGGCAUAUAUAGUCCAGUAAUAAUGCUGCAUUAAUAAAAAGGUAAGAAGAAAGUUUUAAAGCAGCUCUUGCAGCCACGCUUCCAUAAUCAUCUUUCUCCAGCUUCUCUUCCAGGUAGUUGCCCUCAAUCCUGGAGAGAAUUGUCCUUUGUCUAUUCAAGAAAUUAAAAAGGGGCUUAUGGACAAUUCUUAUAUGUAAUUUGGAGAUUUAACAUUGUGCCGUGCUAUUAUUGUUCUCUUUGUUGUGUUAACCUGAUGUGUAAGCUAGUGUCAACAAGAACAGCAACAUCAAUCAUUGUCAACUUCAGAUAUUGGCGACUUUUAAACUGUAUGUUACAAGUAUUUAGUUUGUCUUGCUGAUUAUGAGCAUCAAAGGACCUCUUUUAUGCUGUGUCUGCUACUAGGAGUUUACAUGAGGAUUAACUGAAUACUUCCAAACCCACAGUUUUGCUUGGUGAGAAACUUAAAUAAUUAUUUGGAAGAUGGGGACUUCAAUCUCUGUCAAAACAGGUUCUGACAUCCAUUUUGGAAACUGACUGGUAAUAAAAGCUUGAGCCUUAGACAUAGGCUAUAAGAAGAGCAAACCCUGUAUAUCAUCUCUUGUGGAGUUAAACUUCAUAUGUGAGCAAACCAUUCUUUCUCUAUUUUCAUUACGGCUCUCCAUCAAGCCAUGGCACCUAUUCUCUACCUUGAUGGAUUGAAACUUAUUUAUGAUUCUGGUUAGCAUAUCACUACACGGAUCACUCCAUUGCUUAGUAGUGGAAUACCUAUUUGGAUCUGAUCCACUAAAACCUAUGGCGGUAUCUUUGUAAUUGUUGUUUACCUGCAGAACAAAGCUAUCUGCAUCAUAACGGCGUCUUCUGUCGUCCACCUCUCAAAAUACACUCCGUUCUUCAGCAGCGCAUCAGGUGAGACCAUUGAAAUGGUUUUCUUCUUCAAUUUCCAUUAUUGUUUAUUAGUUUUAGUGCUUGUACGCGGAAUUUGUUUGAUGACCCAUCUUUUAUUCGCUGUUUGCUCUAUUCACUUGUUUAAUUGUACCAAGGUUCCUAUUUCUCAUCCUUUUUAGGAGUUUUCAAUUUACUCACAAUCUCUUAAUUGUUACAAUUGGUUUGGUCAAUUUUGUGUCCCAUCAUGAUCUUAUCUUUUCUCAUCAAAACUCUGGUAAAAUUGGAAGAAAUUAUCCAUGCAAUCGUCAUGUACAAAGUCCAGAAUGGGGCCAAUUGUAACCAUCAGAGGUUUUGAAUAUUGGAUAGUUCUUGCAGUAGACGAUAAUUUUUGGCAAUUUAGGAACCAGCAUAAACUGUAUAGCUGAUACUUUCUUCUUUUUUUUAAAAAAAAAAAAAACUUUUUUACUUUUUUCUGUUCUUCUCUUCUGCUUUUUUGGUAACACAAUGAAAUAGGAAGCUGGGACUAGUGAUUCCCAAGAAUAGGUAUAGCUAGGUUUUUUAUGUCGUAUUUGGUUCAUGAUAUAUUUUAAGAUUUUUCAUAAUUGGGCUAAAGAUUCUCAUUUGGUUUGCUGCGAAAACCUAACGUGACAAAAAAUUUAUGAUUUUUAUGGCUUUUCUUAAUUCGACAAAAUGUGAGAAUUCAUAAUUCGCCUCUUCUCUCGGUUUUUUUUUUCUCCCCUUAAUGUGAAUUUGAUUUUCAAAGUUUGAUAUUUAUCAUCCUAUAAUGUAUAAAAUAAAAUAAAAUAGUGUAUGGUAUAGAACUUAUUAAUAAGAUUACUGUAGCAAACAUACUAAUAUGCCUUAGUUAUUAUUAUCAUAAUGAACCGGAUAUUUUAAGGUACGAAUCAAAUAAAAAAUAUUCCUACAACAUUCGAAAAAAUUUUAGAAAAAUAAUUUGAAAAAAUUUAAUUCUUUGCAAAAGUUUUGAAAUACCGUCAGUGUCACGGGCGCUUGUUGUUUUCGGUGUCAUCUCGUGAUCUGUUAUUUUUGGUUGUUUUUGGUGUCUGUCAUCUUGUGAUCUGUUAUUUUUGGUAAAACUAGAAUGUUAUUUUCUGCGCUCAUUCACGGGAAAUCUCCCAACUCUCGUGAGAGGAGCAAUAAAAGAAGGAAUAUAUUAGAAGGACACUAAAAUAUUAUUUUUAUUAUUUAGUACAUAUCAUAACAACAAAGCCAACUCUAGGAAUAUAUUAGGACACUAAAAUAUUUUUAUUAUUUAGUACAUUAGGGGGAUAGCAUAGCAGAAGUAAACAUUGGUAUCUCUCUCAUGCAGUCACAAGCACUACUAAUAGCUUCAGUCUCCACCAUCUAGCCCUGCAAGUGACAGGAAAUAUAAGAAGAUUAAGAUGAAUAAAUGCAACAUCGUAUGGAUUCUAAGAUAAUUGAUUGGAAAAAAAAAAAGAUAAAAAUGUAUAUAAAUUACUUGAACUGUAGAUCAUUGUGAUUUAGCUACCUAAUUUUUUAUAAUUUUAAUUUUUCUAUUCAAUUUUUUAAUUUAUUUGAUUUGAGCCGGUCUACGAUAUUUGACUUUAAAAUUUCAAAGCGUCAUUUUUCUCACAAAUUUUGUUAAUUUACUAUAUAUAAUUCUUGCAAUUAUAAUUUUAUUAAAAUAAAUAAUUAAUUUAAAUUUUAAAGUCAAAAUAUCAUCCACCAAUUCAAAUCAAACAAAUCGGAAGAUUUGAUAAUAAGAUUAUAAUUUCGCAAAGAUGAAUAACUGAAUCAAAAUGUUCUAUAGUUCAGAUAAGUUCUUUAGAAAAGGUAAAAAGAAGGCUCACCUUUGUGAUCAUUUGGAGCGAGUGAUCUAGUCGCUGUCGCUGCUGCUGCUGCUAUGGCCGUCGCCGUGCUUCUUCUCCUUCUUAUCCUUCUUCUUCUUCUUAUCCUUCUUCUCCCCGUGCUCUUCGCCGUGGGUCUUGUCCUUGACCUUCUCAACAGGCCCUCCUGCAUGGUGCUUCUCCCCUUCCUUCUUGUGCUCCUCCGCCUUGGCGUGCUCUUGCUUGUGCUUCUCCUCCUCUUUUUUGUGCUCUCCCCCUCCCCCCAUGUGGAGCUUCUCCUCAAUCUUGUGAAUUAUACCCGACAUUUUCCCAACUCUCUCUCUCUCUCUCUCUCUCUUCUAUUCUAAUGCAAUGCCAAUGUGGUAUGGUAUAGAACGUGUACUGUGAUGGCCUGAUUCAUUCCCUUCCCCCUCUCUAUUUAUAGGCGGAGCCACCGAGCGAGAGCAUUUACUAAGCAGUGCACGUUGGCACGGCUACGCGGCGUCAUUUCAUUGGCUCCGUCGAUCGUUCGGCCGUGUAAUCGGGAUCGCCUCGAUAAGCGGGUCGAAGCCGCUGGGGUUGCCGUGGAGUGCCCAGAACCGUUGAGAAUCCGCCACGUGGGUGGGGAGGCGGAUCCGACGAUUUGGUCGGCGAGGGCGUUGUGAUUGACGUUGGUUCCGUGUAUCGAAUAUCGAUGUGAUCUGAUCAUGAUAAGAGCGAUGAGAUUUUUUUUUUUUGCAUUAUUCCCUCCACCGAGUGCGUAAAAUUUUUCCGUGUACCACACACACCUUAGUUAAAAUCUAAUCAUAUUUAUUCUAUAAAGUGUAUAGGGUUUUUAAAUUUAUUACAUUUUAAGUUUAAAAAUCUAAUUAUUCUUUUUAAUUAAAAUUUUAUAUCUAGUGACAUCAGGAAGUGUCGAUAAUUGCUACACAAGUGAAAUGGAAACUACUGCGUCAAAAUCAAACUUUCAAUUGCUGCCGUGAAUCAACGGUGAGAAUAAUGGACUAAUACCGACCGUUCCUAGAGCAAGUGGCAAAGGAUUUGGUGGUUGGUACCCGAGACCCAAAUUCGAAUCCUAGUUGAUUCAUAUUUUUUGCCAAAUUUAUUUCGAAAUGAAAUAAACGAAACGGGUAGCGUGCUACCUAUUUCUUAAAAAAAAAAAAGAAAAAAAAAAUAACGGACUAAUGCAUUUUGGACGGAUGGGAUUUUUUGGAUUUUUGGAUUUGUGUGCGUGUGUGUGUGUGUGUGUGUGUGUGGUGUAAAAUGAGGUCUGCUCAUCUUUACGAGGGAAAAAGAAGUAGCGUGGUGAGAGAAAAAGAAAAGAGAAUCAGAUGCCAUGUUUAUAAAUAAUAAAUAAAUAAUAAUAAAUGUUUACUAGUGUCGGCAAACCUGAUGGCCACGUGUCUGGAUCUGAGUGGCUGUUCCUGCUAUUGUCUGUUUGAGGCCUUUUAUUUUAUCAUAAUGCUACUCUGAUACGGCAGGUACGGACCACGUCGUGCGCAUGUGAACGAUGGAUAAGGCUCAACUUGGUUGAAUAAUAAUAAUAUAUAAGCCUAAAUUACACCCUUGGUACUCAAAAAUUAUAAUAGAGUAUUUGAAAGCAUGGCUAAAUUUUAAUUUGUAUUAAUUUUAAUUUCUGAAUAUUUUAAAUUAUUUUAAUUAAAUUUUAUUAAUUUGUCGUCAACACGAAAGUAAUGUAGCUAUAUUGUGGCCGAUGAUGUGAUAAUAUUAAUUAAAAUAUUGCAUUAUUUUUAUAUCAGCGAUACGUUAAUAUUUAGUCUUAAAUUGAGUUAUGAACCUGAUUACAAUAAUUUACAAUAUUUGAAUUAGAAAUUAUAAUAAAUAAAAGUUGUGAGGACCAAAAGCUUUAUUUACCCAUAGUAUAAAAGAAAAAAAAAAAAAAGUACAUAGGCCUCCUUCAAUCUCAACUUCAACUAUUUUUUAUAAACCGUCCAAUUUUCGGUGUUUCACAAUUAUUAAAUUUUAUCAAAUAGUUUAAUAAAUUAUAGUUUAUUUUUUAAAAAAAUAAAAUUUUAAAAAUAUUUUAGAAUUAUUCUUGUGCAAUGUACGGUUUGACGACCAGUAACUAUGUUUCAACUAAGAAAAUAGAUUGAUUGACUCUUAUAAAAUUUGGACAUAUUUAUUGUUAAAAGAGAUAGGAUACUGGUUAAAUGGUAUAAUUUAAGUACUGAUUAAGCCUGAUGUAUUUUAUUUGUCCACAAGAAAUUUCACUUCUCUUAAUGUUGCUUUUUAUUCAUUUAAAAAAAAAUUAGAUGUUAUAUUUUUAGUUAUUUGAUUUGAUUUAAUAAAUGUAGUGGGUUAAGUUCUAGACCCACGAUAGAGGGUUGACUAUGUCGACAUUGUUUAUUUUGAGAUGCAUAGCACGUCUCACAUUAAUCUUAGCAAUCAUUUUGUACAAUUUAAAUUAUUGCAUUUGUUCUGUAAAUAACAAUAUCAUAUCACAUAUCCUGUUUGAAUAUACUGUUCUUUUUUUUUUUUAAAUUCAACAUACAUGUCAAAAUCAUGUACACCUUUUGGGAAAUUUGUAAUGAAACAAAUAUUUGAAAUGAUUUUUUCAACGCAAAGGAAUGGUAGAGAAAAAAUAACGCUUUGAAUGUGAAUCUCAAAUAUAUUUUAGAUUAACAAUUGAGAUAUUUUCUAUUUACAAUGACGGUGUUAUCUAAACAAGUCGAUCGAUCUAAUAGGAAAAGGUUUAGGAAUCAUAAAGAAAAUUAAAUGUUAUGUUAAAAAUUAUUAAGUUUUAUUUACUUGAUAAAUAAUGAUAGCAUAAGUUAUAACACUAAUAUUGAAAUCCUAAAAAAUUAUAUUAGAAAUAAAAAGUUCAAAGAAUUGGGUUAGCCCAUAAUCUAGCCCGGUCUAGGACGGGCCGGAUGCGGAUACAUGCCGGGCUGGUCCAGGCCCGUUCGGUUUUGGCCCGGACAUGGUGGACUGGGUCCAGGCAAUAAUUUCUCCCACUGGGGUCCAUGGCGCACGGUUACACACUAAUGCAUUCGAUGAUUUAUUUUCAUUUGUGAGGAUGUGAUUAAAAGCUUUUGCUUUCCCUUUUUUUUUUACUUUUUCUUCUGUGAGUAUAAGUUGGACCCUAGACCUGUAACACACCAUUUAGGAGUUACUAAUUAUCUGCGCCACACAUAUACAAGUUGAUCGAAGAUGUUGAGGAUCAAUGCAGAUUCUUCCAUUGCAGCUCAACAAAACACAUCAAGAAAUAGGCAAGCAUGCAGCAGAUUCAUUUCUCUAAAUGAAGAGAAAUGUUUAGUCUUGUUUUUAGUUUAGGGAAGUCCCCAACAAUUAUUGGACGCAAUCAAUUAGUCUUGCAAAGACCAUCUCAAUUUAGCCUUUUUUUUUUUAAUAAUUUUCUAGUAAUUCUCAAACAAUAGCCCAUUUUGAAAUAGGCACUGGAGCUCAUCAGUUUGUCACAUUCCAUGCAAGCCACAACAUCUAAUCAAAUGUCUCCAUAUUACAAACAAACGCGCGAGAAACUUUUUGUUAAAACAUCAUUUCAAUACGAGGUAACCAUAUUAUCCUGGUUAGACCUUUUCAACAUCUCACAUUGUAUAAUAUGAGACGAUGAAAUAUAGACUCCAAUACAACUACUGAUCCAGAAUAUCAUAAAAUAUUCAAAUUCAAGAACUUUGAAACAUCUCAGCGCUAUCCAUAACAUUGCCAUGAUCAAAGAAUCAGACAACAUGCAUACAAAGAACUACUCACAUGUCAAGAGUUCUAGUAACCGCAGAAUGCUGAUAUACUUGAGGUCACUUAAGUUUGAAAAAAGACCUACAUAAGAAGCUGAAAUAGACCGAAACCGAAAGUACCAUAAGAGCAACAAAAUCCUCCACAGCUGAAUCCUCUAAUGCUGCUACGAGACAGAUGCCUGGAAACACAGAUCAAUGAUUUAGUCAAUGAAAAGUCAUAUUAAUAGUUAUCAGUUCACGGCUCACUGUUUAAACCAGUGGUUUAAAGACUACACCAUGACUAAUCUUACUGGUAAUAAAAGAAUGAAGUGCAAGAGAACUAAGUGUUAGGCCAAAACAAGAGAGUGCAUUUUUGACCUGAAGCAUUAUCACUUGAGUCUAUUAUUUUUCAACAGUUUGAUAAAAGAUCUAGGCAUAAAGAAGAAAACCAGCUGGUCCAAUCAAAACUGAAGCAGCUUACCGGUUCACCAGUUUGAAUGGAUUGAUGUGUUUUUUGGAACUUUUCAUUUUAUGGAUUAACCCUAACUGUCCUAGGCAUGGUUUAAUCAGCCAGUUCAAAUGGUUUUUAGAACGUAGGUACAACCCCACAGGACCUCUAAACCCAUUUCACAAGAUCCCAUAUCAGUUAACAUGUGAAAAGUUACAGAUACCAUAAAAUCAAAAGAAAUUUGACACAACAUGCAAACACCUCAAAGCUUAAACAGAAUGCUUUAAAAAAAAUAAAAAAAUAAAAAAAAAAAAUCUUAAGACUACACAGUACUGAAUAGCAAAAUAUGCAAGUGCACCCAAUUAUCGAACAAUAACCCACUUUAGGUUUACAGUUUUCAGCUUAAUGAGGUUGCUAAAAGAACUAUCAUACAGGAUUGUUGUAAUAUUUCAUUGUCCAAAAGCCAUUUCAGAGAAAUACACUAAUCAUUGCGCCUAAACAAGAAAAACUUCUUCAUGAUUUCGACUUUAUCAUAUUGAGAGACAUCAUUAAGGCUAUGAUUGUGUAUAUUGUAAUCUAUAUCUCAACAUAAACCCUUCAGAAUUAAGAUGAAAUGACAGCUUACAUACUAUCGACCUGAGCAAUUAUAGGUCAAUAUAAAGGAAUAAACAAAUUCAAACAUAUAACUAUCACAUGCUGAAUCUAUUCUUUAGAUAUACAAUAUGACAAAGAUGAUCCUUCUUCUAGCAUCUACCAUGGUGAGAAGCCAUCGCUAUUGAAAAUGCAAGUAUGCAUUUGAACUAAGUAGGAUCGCCUUCAUCUGACUGGUUAUUUCAUUGUACCCAAGUUGAGGAAAAUUAUUUGCAUUGAAAGUAUUUUUCUCCUUUAUUGAUAGGAUGAACCUUAUACCAAAUUUAACCCAAGGUUUAAACCUCUUGGUUGGCCACAAACACAACUGCCUCUGCCCAAGUUCAACCCACACCUAGGUUAUAAAUCAAGGAAUAGGUCAGUAUGUAGCCACAUAGCCUUACUAAAAUAUUGUUCGAACGAGGCAAAACUUCAAAUUCUUCCUACUUAAUUCUUUUGCAGCGGAAUGGAACCUAGGUUGACGAAAAUCAGGCCCUUUGCGUCAAAGUUAUAUGAUCUGGAGCACUGAGAUGCCUAGACCACUUCACCACUUUUGGAUUUUGACACCCUAAUUAACUUCUAAUUUUUAUAUAGAGAAAUUCCUAAAAAGCUGCUCCACAGCUCCAAAGAUGUAUAGGCCAGAACUACAGCGUACCUACUAGAUUGCUUAAAGAUUUUACAUCAGAUCUGAUGGAAAUAAAAGGAACUUCAGCAAGCUAAAAAGAAGCAAACACAAGGAAAGAUAAAUGUAACAUAUAGUAGUUAAGGACGACGGAGAUUAUGAUAUGAAGUUAGGGUUAAACGAGUCGAUAGAAACUGCUUCAAUCGGUUUAACGUCAAGCAACUGACAAAAAAUAAAACACGUACUUAGGCCAGUAAAAUGCCUCUACUAUGUUUUAACAGAACAACUACAUACUAGCAUCUAAAAGAGCAAUAGGAAGGUAGUAGUCACAAGAAGCGGUGGAUCUUGGCAUUAAUGUUAUUGAGAGGUGGAGGAACCAUAAGGAAGAAGAAGGUUGAUGCCAAGCGAUUACAAAAAACAGAGGGUCAUUCCAUUUCACCUCGGCACUGAGGUUAAUUUCCAAUUAUUAUAGGAUUGAAUUCAGUUUUGAAAGAUUUGUUAAACUGCUUUCCUCUGGAAUGAGACUCAUUUAGGAUGACUUCUCCACACCGGACUGCAAGUACAGGCAUCGAUUUCUUCCGACUACCGUUUCGUGAUCCAAAUCCGUCCAACAACAUUAAAAUUUUCGAUUUAAACACCGAGAGCUAAAAAUAAACUAGGUUCGUCUUUCACAUCCUAUAUAUAUACCCCAUUUCUAAAAAUUCGCAAGCAAGCAAAUCAUCAUGCAUGAUCAAGAAAAUGUACCACUCUGAAGACACACAGGGAUGGGCGAAAUACCGGAGAUCUACUGCUGCUGAUUCUGGCCGGGCUGCUGGGGAUUCGGCGGCGGCGGCGGCAUCCCCGGCCUCGGCGGGGCGAACAUGGGCACGCCUGCGCCGGGCGGGGGCGGCAUCCCGGGCCUGGGCGGGGGCGGCAUCCCGGGCCUGGGCGCGGGCGGCGGCGGGCCCCUCAUCAUCUGCGGGGGAGGGCCCAUGGGCCGCUGGCCGAACUGGGGCGGCGGGCCGGGGAACUGCGGGGGCGGGCCGCCGGGCCUGGGGGCGAACUGCAUGGACAUGGGCGGCGGGGGGCCGCGGCCGACGGGGGGCUGGGGCUGGCCGGGGUAGCCGGGGGGCGGGGGCCGCACGACCUGCGGGUAGGCGACGGGCGGGGCGGAGAGCUGGGGCACGGGGGGGCGGGAGAUCUGGGGCUGCAUCAUGCCCGGGGCGGGGCCGCCGACGCCGCGGACGGGGCCGGCGAGGCCGGGCUGGGCCUGGACGAGGGGGGCGGCGGGGACGCCGCGGCCGNCCUUGGCGCGGGAGUCGUCGGGGGGAGGGGGGCCCUCGACCGUCAUGGAGACGACCUCCUCGCCGCGGAGGAGGACGAGGCCAAGGGUGCGGCGCUCCUCGCGCUCCUCGCCGGCCUUCUUCGCGCCCUUCACGGGGGGCAGCCUCCGGAACUCCUCGCAGUCGCCGAGCACCAGGUUCAUGUGCCGGUCGAAGGCCAUGAACUUGCCCACCAGCUGCCGCCCGUCCUGGAUCGUCACGCGCAUGCGGUAGUUGAUGAACUGCAGCAUCUUCGACCCCUUCGACAUCGACAUGGUCGCCGCGCUCGCUACAAUUUCCCUCCCUCCCCGGACACCAGGGCUUAGGGUUAGGGUUAGGGUUUAGGAGGUAUUGUUGGGAGUGCGGAGGUAGAAGAGAAGAAGAAGAAGAGGCGGGGGAAAGGGUUUUUCUUUUCUAACCCGAGCCGAGAGCGGGUUUGAGCCUUUUAUUGGGUUCGGGUUACGGGUGAGACUAGCCUGGCCCCGGCCCCGGCCCCGGCCCGGGGUUUGUUCAAUGAGUUUAUUUUAAAAAUUACAAAUUUAUGUAAUAAUUUAUUUUUAAUUUUUAAUUUUUAGUAUUUUAAAUUACAAUUUUAUGUAAUAAUUUAUUUUUUUUUUUAGGAGUUAUCACGUAGAAAUUAAAAUUUUAAACUCCAUUUGGUUUCGAAAAAAAAUUAGGAAUAAUAAAAAUUAUACACGAUAUUCCACGAAACCAAAAAUAAAUUUAUUUUAAAAUUUUAAUUUUCUAAAUCAAUAAUCAUAAAUUAUAGACCAUAUAAAUCUUAAAUCAUAACAUAUAUAUUAACAUAUUAAAUUACAAUUUUAAAAAAUUAAAAAAAUUACAAUUAUGGUGCACCUGGUAUAGAUGCACCAGGUGCACCCAGAAAUUCCACUGCUUUCCCCAUUGGGAGAGCAGUGGGGCGCCUGUGCCAUCCGGCGCCCAUCGGGGAGUAGCCCCAAACUAAGUAAUGUGGGGCUAGUGCCCAUAUAAUUUUUGUCCAGUUGUAACGUGGGGAUAUUCCAGGCGCUAUCCGUACAUUUUUCACCCCCUUUUACUCCGCUAUCCAAAUCCCCCGCACGCUUCGCGGCUCCUCCCAUGGCUUCCCUAUCCUUUCCCGCCAUCUCCGUCCCCACCUCCGUUCGCCGCGGCCUCGCCCCAACCCAAACCGCCCGGUCCGGCCCGACCGCCAGAUCGGCCGGUCCGGGUACCGGUCGACGCCGUCUCGGCUCGGUUUUUUCCUCCGGUGCGAAUUUAGCGCGUCCGAGCCCGAUCCUGAGUCGAAUCGGAGAGGAAUCUUUCGACAAAAGGGAACCCAUGGUUCCCCCUUUUAAUGUCCUCAUCACUGGUUCCACUAAAGGUCCCAAUCCCAAAUUUACUUUAUUAUUAUUAUUAUUAUUAUUAUUUACUUUUCUCUUAUUUCAACUUUUAUUUAGCUUUGCUAUGCAUUUUCCAUACCUUAAUGCUAUUUUUUUUUCCCCUAAAUUUUCUCUUUAGCUCUGAUCUGUUUCUGCGUUCUACGUGCAGGUUUAGGGUUUGCACUUGCCAGAGAGUUUCUGAAGGCGGGGGAUAACGUUGUAAUCUGCUCAAGAUCAGGCAUAUUACUAUUGCUUUUUGUCGUUGUUACUUCGAACAUCGAUUUUGUUGCUAUACGACAUGCUAAUGGAGGCGGUGGUCACUUAGAAUUUAAAGCUGCAGUUUGAAGAAAAGUAUUCUGAGAUGCUGCUUAUUUUUUUUGCAGCUGAGCGCGUGGAAUCAGCCGUUCAGAACUUAAGAAACGAGUUUGGAGAGCAGCAUGUGUGGGUAUCUACUGCAUAGCUGCUUUUUUUCUUUUUUUUUUUCGUUUUUGGUUCUUUCCCAAGCUUGUAGAAUCUGGAGUUGCCUAUAUACUUAUCGAACAAAGGUACCUUAAGAUUGUGAGUCAUCUAAUUCGCAGGGCGAGGAUGCUUAAAUUUUGUGCUUCCUCAUCCCUGAAUUAAGUAUUUUGAGGGGAUAUAUGUGAAAAUUCAGAUUUUGCAGCGGCUUAGAUGUAGAUGUCUAUACAUCUUUUCGUUUGGUGCUUUGAACAGUUCUUAAGGGAUGGUUAUUUUUCACUGCAGGGAACUGUGUGUGAUGUCAGGAAAGGAGAGGAUGUAAAGGAACUAGUUAAUUUUGCACGUGACCGGCUGAAAUACAUAGAUAUAUGGGUAUAAUAUAAACCGCCCUGUUAAUGCCGUUCUAUAUGUUUAUUGGAAUUCUCCAUGUAACUUCUCGGAAAAAUACCACUAGGUCGAAUGGAGACUUGGUUCUCUGGUGCUAACCACCAUGCUUUAAUCAACAACGUUGUCCAUUCAGUAAGCAGAUAGAUUCAUGCUUGAUGCGAAGUUAGAAACACUUACUGUAUUUCCUUAACAAAUGAAACAGAUCAACAAUGCUGGAUCAAAUGCGUACAGUUACAAACCGUUGGUUGAGACUUCUGAUCAAGAUCUCAUGUGAGCUUUCACUUGCAUAGUCACCUGGCUGUCUCAAUCCUCCAGUUAGUCGCUACGUGCUUCCGAUCUUUAACUUGUUUAUUUACUAUUUUAUGAAGGGAAGUUGUUACCACAAACACUCUUGGGUUGAUGAUUUGUUGCCGUGAGGUAAUGUUUGUUUGUAACUUGUUCUUCGAACAGUGAAAGCAACUCGAAAAGUAUGUUCUUGCUUCUACUUUUGAUUUCUCUAUGUAACUUUGUAGGCAAUAAACAUGAUGCUAAACCAGCCUCGAGGUGGUCAUAUAUUUAACAUUGAUGGUGCUGGUUCUGAUGGAAGGCCGACCCCUAGGUGUGUUUCGCAGACAUUUAGUUGUUACUGGUAUUAAGACAGAGUUAGAACUUAGAAAUAUGUGGUUAAUAUUGGUACUGAUAGGCUUAAAGAACAAAUAUGUUUCCCUUGAAUUUAGUACGUAUAGAUCUGUUGUUCAGAAUAGUGUUAAGCACGAGCUGCUCGCUUGGUUCCUCAUCGAGUACAAAUGCUAGAUGUGCAGUUUCUAACUUUAUUUUUUCUUUCUUUUAUCUUUCUUUUUGCUAAUGGAAUCAUGACAUGAUCGUUCCACAGAUUUGCUGCAUAUGGUGCAACAAAGCGUAGUGUAGUGCACCUCACUAAAUCUCUACAGGUAGACAUGGAGAGGAAUAAGCAUUGUGUAACAUUGUUAUCUGAUCAUCAUUUUGGUGCUUACUAGGAGUUUGACAGACGUAUAUGAUCUGUUCAAAUUUCAGGCAGAACUGCAGAUGAAUGAAGUAAAGAAUGUUAUGGUGCAUAACUUAUCGGUAUUUGACCUAUUUUUGUUGUUCUUUUGGAGUUCAUUUGUUAUUUAAAGAUUCUCGCGUACAUGCAUUUUUCGAUGAUGAGAUUUCUUUUUUGCCUGAUUAAUAUUUUACAAUUCUUUAAUACAUGCUUUGUCCCCAUGCAUUUUGAUUUUGAUAUAUAUAUAUAUAUUUUUGUCCAUUGCAGCCUGGGAUGGUAACGACGGAUCUUCUUAUGUCUGGGGCCACCACAAAACAAGUAUACAAUCAGUUCGAUAUCUCCUAUUCCGUAUUAUGAAAGAACCAGUGCUUCUUAAUGAUAAUGUAAUGCUGAAUUUGCAGGCCAAGUUUUUCAUUAAUAUCUUAGCUGAACCGCCUGAGGUGGUAAGAAUUUCAACACCCUUUAUUUAAAAAUUUUAUGAUGCCGAAUUGGGUACUUUCCAUUUCUCGGAGCCAUGUUAAGAAGUUACUUCUAGCUUGUGGAAACUUAUGCUGAUGAAAUUGAUUAAUGGUAAUAAUAUCAUAUGUAUGUUCAACAAUUUCUUCAUACUAGUUGAUUGCCCUAUGCAUAUCCAACAAUUUCUCCAUGCUGGUGCCUCUUUCCUUGUCAAUUGAUCAACAUUAAUUAUAUUUCGCAUGGAAGAUUUAAGUUCCUUGUUGUCCUGUGUUAUGCUCGCAAAUGGUAAUCUAAUUGGCACUUUUAGACAGCAUGGUAUUUCAAAUUGUAUAGUGUCAUUUUGGAAGCUCUCCAUCUUCUAGAGAACUUUCAUAUCUUCUAAUUAAUGUUUUCUUAUGAAAAAUAUUUUGAACAUUAAUUCUUCCUAUUAAACAUCUGAACGAUCUGCACUUCUGCUUAGAACAGCCAGAAGAAGAUAUUUAGUGGGAAGUUCAUCAUCUUGUGAUUGUAUUCGCAAAUUGAAAUAAGCUUUGACCCUAUACAGCUAAUUUGAUUUUUAUGGAAAAAGUAGAUUCAGUGUGUAUGAUGGAUGAAAUGGUUAUGUUUUUUUUUCUUAUAUUGUAUAUCUAUAGAUUGUGGACAAGCUAUGUAUGUACUUCACUUAUUGUUACUUCCUGUAGGUUGCCGAGUACCUUGUUCGAUGCAUCAGAUCAGUUCCCAGCAGCAGAUCCAUGAAGCCAACCUACAUUCGCUUCCUCACAGGCUUGAAAGCGUACUCCCAAAUAUUUUCAGUUAAGAAACCCACAUAAUACUUCAGCUUCUACUACUUAUGAUAAUGUUUCGGUAAAAUGUGCGAGCAAAUCUAAUAAUUGCCUUUUUCUUUUCCUUCUUGGCAUCUAGAGACUUGCUUUUGGCGCCCGACGAAACAGAUAUCUUGUAGAAGAUUGAAGGAUUUCUAUAACUCACUGAGUCAGCGCACUAUUUGUUUUCAAUUUUCGCUUCUCUGAUGCAUGACUAAAUUAUUCACUUAACUUUCAUAUACGGCUCGUCGAUUGUUUUUUGUAUAUAGAUUCUCCAUUAAUGGGCUUUAGUUUGGUCUUUACUCCCUUCCUAGGGCAUGAAGCAUGCGACAGCAUAUCUCGAUGAUUCUUUAGUUAGACUAAGGAAAAAGCCGUACAACUUGCGUACUGUCGAUACAAAACUGGUGUACAGUAUAAGAUGUUUUUAUUGCUAUUGUUUGUGGGCAUUAUAGUAUCUUAUUAUUGAGGAGAAUGCCUUGAAACUGUUUCUGAUAAACUGUAUGCAACUUAAUUAAUUUGUGGGUGGGGAUUCUUUUGUCAUAUGCUUUGAAACAACUGCUUUAGGGCCUGUUUGUUUGGGUGAAAGUGAAGAGAGGUGAAGUCGUUUUCGGCCAUAAACGAUUACUGCCAUUGUUUGUUUCGCCGUAAUAAAAAUACAGUUGAAACUCGAGUUACUCGGAACUGUGUAAUUGACAUUGAUCCACCAUGAGCCGAAGUCAGUUACAAUGAAGAGAGGUGAAGAAAAAAAUAAUAAAAUAAUAUAAUGAGUAAUUCUAGUUAUAUUUAAAUAUAGAACUAAGCUGGAAUACUAUUAAUAGCACCAAUGACUUGGUGCUAUUAAGUUUUCCGCCCUUGGAUUAAAAGAUGUGCGGUUAGGAUGAUGUGGACCUCCUAGGGUUGAGUGGGUGGUUGGUUGAAUAGUAUAAUCUAACGUGUAAAAAUAAUCAAAUGGGUUAAUCUAACGGCAGAAAAUUUGAUAGCACCAAGUGCUUGGUGCUAUCGAUAGCAUAGCGGCCGGACUUUUUAAAUAUCUAUUAACAUAUAUGAUUUCGUAAUAAUUUUGUCACGUGGUAAUUUUUCUUUUACCCUCAUUAAAAUCUUUGCACUUCUUUAUUUUUUGUAACCGUUUUUUCUUUUAGGAUGCUCUUAUAAGUGUCAAUGAGUGAAAGUUAUGAUAAACAUUUAAGUGACAACAGUUAUAAUUAUUUAUUGGUCUUAAGUAAUAUACAAAUACACUUUUAAAAAAUUUAAAAAUCAUCCGUGCUAAUUCAUAUGACUUUAUAUUUGUCAACAAAAUAUUAUAAUUUUAAUUUCAUUUUUCUCAUUUCCUGUGAAUUUGUGAUCAAGUAUAAAAUAUUGGUAUUAACACAAAAUCAUUACUCUAAGCUAUUAAAACAUAUUAGAACUAAAUAAUUAAUUUGCUUAUUUUCUUUUCAAUUAAUAUUAUAAUUCUUUUUAUUAGCAAAUAUCAACUUUUUGCCUUUUUGUAUUCUAGAGUUUGUUCAGCUAUUUGAAACAAAUUAUUCUGUUGCAUAUCAUUAGGACAAGUUAAUAUAAUUUAUACAUUAUAUUUUAAUAUUCAAAUAAUCUGUACAUUAUACUUCAAUAUUAAAAAUUAUAAAAUACAAAUUUAAUCAUGAAAUUUUGACAAAACAGAGGGCAUAGUUUUAGCUUUAUUAAACACUUAUAUAUGUCAUGUUUUUUCCUAUAUUUUUACUAUUCCAUUUAAAUUAAUUUUAUAUUGUAUUAGAAGAUAAUAUUAAGUCUAAAUAAGCACUCUCAAUAACCAUUAUAGUUCUAAUAACAUGCAACACCCACUACUAUGAAGAAUUAAAAUCUAAAUUAUAACUUAAGCACUAAUUACAUAUGUUUCGAUGACCUUUUAGAUUCUUAUUAGCUAUGUUAAUCAUCAAAGUUAUAUAUCUAAUUUAACCAUAAGAACCAUUAUAGUUUUAACGUGUAACACCCACUAUCAAGUGGCAUUAAAAGUGGAGAUAUAAUUUAACCACUAUUACAUACGUUUUCAUGGCCCUUUAGAUUCUCAUUAUAUGAUAAAUUGAUUAAUGAUGAAUUAACUAUAUUAAUUAUAGGAUUAUUCCUAUCUACUCAAGCGGCAUUAAUUGAAAAUUUAUUUUUUUAAAUAUUGAGUAAAAAUUAGAGUAUCACAAGAUAGAUGAAUUAAGUAAAAUAAAAACAUCUUGACUAUUUGCAAUAUCUCCCUACCCGCCGCAACGUGCGGGUUACUACACUAGUAUAUAUCUAUGGCACUAAUUACUUUUUUGUUUAGUCUGCAUAUUUAAAAUAUUAUAAAAUUUGAUCAGUUAAGUUUAGUAUUUUCUUCAUUUAGCUUGUACAUUUAAAAUACGAUGAAAAUUGAUUAGUUAAGUAUUUAUUUUUUUUAACUUUAUAAUUUUAUUGUUGUAUUAUUAUAAUUUAUGUAUAAAAAAAUAAUUUAGUUGUUUUAGAUUUAUUUUUUUUUAUUAUAUAAGAAUAUAAUUAUAUUAUUUUUAUUUAUUAUAUUAUAAUUUAUUAAUUAUUAAGUUAUUUAUUAUUUAUACAUAGAUAAUAGUUUUACAUCAUUCACUUUCUACCAAAUAAACAGCAUAACUGAAAAACUUUACUUUCAUAGUUAUGAAAUAAAUAAUAGAAAAGAAGUAGUUUUCACCGAACUUUAUUUCAAGCUAAAAUCUACUUUAACAAAAAGUUGAGUUUCGGUGAAACAAACUAGAAACUUAGGAUGAUCUUGGGUGCUGAAUAGUAGUACAACGUGUUCCAAUUAUUGCUACAAUAAGUUAGGAUUUGGUUAGAUUUGUAGUUGAAUCCUAUUUGGAUAAGAAUUACCAUUUAAAUCUGUUUGAGAUAAAUUAAAAUUUAAAUAUUAAUUAGAGGAUAAACCUAACUAGAUUAGGAUUAAUAUUUAAAUCUAUUAGAGAUUGAUUAAGAUAGAUUUGGAUAUUAAUUAAAGUAUGAAUCCUAAAUAUAUUAGGAUUGGAGUACGUUUUAAAUUGAGCAUUAUAAAUAGGCAUUGUGGCUCUCUUUUUUGAGUGAGUACGGCUAGAACCAUUGGGGUGUCGUACCAGAGAGAGAAAAAGAGAGAGAGAGUUAUUUUAGUGCACCUUGUGCACGGAUGCACGCGGAGAGGUCUUCUUUGUGGGUUUAUAGAAGGCGAGAGAAAGAUAGGAGAGAUUCAAAAAGAGGGCUAGAGUUGUAGCUACUCUGUUGCAGAAGAGGAGUCAGGUGUAAUCUUCUCUUAUUUAAUGAAUCUUAUUUUACCCGCAUAUUUUCUGUUUUGUUUUUUUUUUCUCUCUUUUAUGAUUGUAUCAGCUUUUGCUGAGGAGACGGAUUUAUGGUAAAAAUUGGUAAAAAUUCGAUUUGGCGCUUCCGUUGCGGAAUCCCAAUAAUCGAUACCGGAUCCACAGCAGUCGGUAUCGGAGCGGAUUGCGGAUUCACGAGAUCCGGUACCGGGGCGAGUACCGGAUUCCCAACAGGUGAAACAAACUAGAAACUUAGGAUGAUCUUGGGUGCUGAAUAGUAGUACAACGUGUUCCAAUUAUUGCUACAAUAAAUUACAANCCCUAAAACGUUUUUCUUUUCUUUUUAUUUGUUGGUUUGUUUGAUUAGAAUGAUGCACAUGAUCAAUUUUAACUCAUCUGCAUGUGUAAACUGGAAUGAAUGUUUCUGCGUGGUUGCGAGAUGUAAUCCUUUGGGCCUGUUUGGAUAUAUUAUCACUCAAGAAGCUUGUGGUACUUGAUAAUUAAGUAGUUUAUAUUGCCGUAAAAUGUAAAUUCCUUUUGGAGAAACAUAAAUCACCUUGUAGAUAAAAGGGAUAAUUAUUUAUUUAUCUUUGAAAAGUUUCGAACUUUCUUAUUUACUUUUCAUAGAAGACUAAAAUAAAAAAUAUAUUCUUUUAACGCUUUUAAGUUUUUUUAAAUAUAUCUCUAGAGUUAAAUUUUGUUAGUGAACUGUUAGAAAUAGCCGUUAUCUUUGUAAAAUUAUUAUUUUGUCCUAUCGUCACUAAUUUUUUUACUUGCCCUUUAAUUGGUGACAAAAGAAGUAUUUUGACUUUUUACCAUUUCAAAUAUACUUUUCUACCAUCACCAAUUUUUCUUAUUUGUUCUUAAGUUUAGAACAAAAGAGGUAUUUUAUUUUUUUUUUUAACUUUGAUAGAGAUUUAACCUGAGUUUAAUCCGAAAUUACUUAACGAAUACUAAUAGCGAAGUUAUUUUUGAAUAACAGAGAAAUAGACGAGAGGUAUAUUUGAAACAAAAAAAAAAGAAUUAUAUAAAACAUUUAAAAAAUUUUGAGAGAUAUAUAGAUAAUUAUUCAUAAAUAAAAAAAAAAACUAUUCUAUUAAAUUAUGCUUUUUGAGAUAUUGGAAAAAUCUAGAAGGAAACUUUUGAAUUUAAAAUAAUAAAAAAGAAUUUAUGGUGCACAACAAUUUUGUCAUCUAUUGCUCCUAAAAUAAUUGAGGUUGGUGGUUGCAACGUGCACACGAGGAAAAAUUCUAGAAUGCAACAGAUAUAUUGGUGACGUGGAGUAACAAACUAAUCAAAUUUUUUUUAAAAAAAAAUAUCUCAUCAAAAUUAUAAAAAAAUAUUUUUAUUGUACUUUUAUUUGAAAAAAAAUAAUAAUUAAUUUAUUAUUAAUGACGUGAUGUAAAUAUGAUAGUAUAGAAUCGCUCACACAGACGAGUGCGUAAAAUCAUAGAUUUAUAGUUGCCUAUUAUUUUUUCUUUUGUGCUAAGGAAUGUAACUACUGUUUUUUUUUUUUUUAAUUCAUUUUAGAGGACUGCAACAACUAAUAUAGAAAGGUGAGAAUUAUGUUGCUAUCGCAAUCAUAAUAAAUGAAAGAGUCCAAUCAUAAAUAAUAUGAUAAUUAUCCAUUGAAGUGAUGUUUUAAUUUUACUUUUGUACUUAAAAAAAAAUGUAAAGAUAUUUAACUAAAUAUUAUAAAUUUUAUGUAUUAUAACAAGACAGAAAAAACUUUUUUUUUAUCUAUCCAUUCCAUCUCUCCAAUCCAUUUAUAUUGCACAAUUACUUACUGCCUAUUUGAUAUCAUUUUUGUUCUCUAUUUCCAGCAAUAGUAAUAAGUUUUAGUUGAAUUUAUGAAAUAUUUAAAAUUUUGUAGCACUGAGAGAAAAAAAUUAUCACAUCUAUAAACAAGUAUAGUGAUUCUCGUAAUAGCACUAUUUAUAUAAUAUUUUAUUAAAUAUUCUACAACUAAGCUAGGUACAGAUAAUUUCUAAACUAAUGAGGUAAAUGAGUAUUUUAAUUUAUCACCACCGCUAAUACAGAUCGUAAGAAUUGUAUAGCAAAUAAAAGAUCACUAGUGCAACCUCACUUAGUUAAAUGUCUGAGUCUAUGAAUAUUAUUAGAAAACAAAGAAAUUUUAAUUAAAUAAAUUAUAUUUUUGGUCCUCAAAUUAUAAUGCACGUGACACUUUAGUCUCAAACCUUAAUUUGUAUCAAUUUUUACUUCAAACUUUCUAAAUUAUUAUAAUUUAAUUGACUAAAUGAGAUGUGUUGAUAACAUAAAAGUGAUAUACUGAUAUGACAGUACUAUAUUAUAAUGGAUGAUUAAGCACUAAUUAAAAUAUAGCAUUAUUUUAACAUUAUCAAUAUAUUUACAUUUAGUCAACUAAUUUUUUUAUAUGACUUAAAUUAUAAGAAUUUAAAAUAUCCAAAUUAAAGAUUAUUGUAAAUUAAAGUUUUAAAAUUAAAAUGUCACGCGCCUUAAAAUUUGAGGACCAAAAUUGUAAUUUAUCUAAUUUAAUUAUUUUUUUUAUGGCGUCUUAAAUGGUGUAGAAAUGAAUUGGAUCGUUAACACCCCGUAAGGUACUCUUCACCGCCAAAAAGAAAUAACGGUCCAGAUCUAAUCAACUUCGAUCCGACGGUCAAUACCACCCCUUCUCGUUAAAACACUAUGCGACACGUGACGUGAUAGGGGAAAAGGGCAAAUUUGACAAAUGCGCAAUUUAACAGGCGUAAUUCCGUCAAUGUAGCCGAAAAAUGGCGCGAAGCAACGGCCAUGAAUGGACGAGGCACCAACCUGACGCCGACGUUCAGAGUCGCGCAGAGCCCCGUGCGAAAUGACCUUGUGCUCCUUGUUCCCAUAUAUGGACCGGGUCCACCACAUCAUCCGUAGACCUUUCAAUAAUUUAUUCGUUAUCCUUUUUUUAAAAAAAAAAAUUCUCAUAUUUUAAAAUAAAAUAGCUUAUAAUUGUCUUUUUUUUUUUAUUUAAUAUGCCUGUAUGCUUCGUUGCUUCUUGCACCCAAACAGCUUUUUGAGAAUUUAAUCUAGGGAAAACUUUAAAAAAACCCCAGUGGUUUCGUAGUUUUUCAUUUUGCCCCUCUGUGGUUUACAAUGUAUCAAUUUGCCCCUCUGUGAUUUUUUUUUCUCUUUUUCUUAUCAAUUUUAUUAUUUUUUUUUAUUAAAUGAGUGAUAAAGUUAAAAUUAAAGAAUACUAAAGUGAAUAUUUAAUAAAUCUAGAUGGGUAUUUGAAAUUUUUUGUAUAUAAUUUAAUGAAAUAUUAACGAAAAAGCUACCGAAAAGAUAAAAACGAAACCACAAUGGGGCAAUUUGAUAUAUUUUAAACCACAGGGGACAAAGUGAGAAACUACAAAACCACAUGAGGAGUUUUUGAAGUUUUUCCUUUAAUCUAUUAAAAGGCCCUGAUUUAGGUUGUAGUUUAUUGUGAUGCACACCAUAACUAAAAUAUAUAAUGAUUUUUUUUGGGGGGUCUAUUGGUAAUUCAUACUUGGAUCUCAUCAAAAAAUUAAAAAAUAUAGAAUUUUUUGUAUUACGAUCUGUAUUUAUUUUAGCUUAAGCUCUCAAUAUCAAAAAGACUCUACGUGGAAGUUCACACUAGCUGUUAAUUUUGUCUAAAAUUUUUUUUUAAUCAGAAAUAAGGAAUCAGAUUUUUGGUCUUUGAGAUUUUCCAACAUACAUGAUUCAAAAUAAAAGAAAAUUCUUUCUAUGAUGUGAUAUAUUUUACGCGAAAAAAAUAAUAUUAAGGUUUUAUAUGAUAUUAAUUUUAGACAUUUCUUCAUGCUUCCAAUAUAUAAAAUAUCACAAGUUAAUUAAAUUAAAUAAAUGUGCCGAGUAAAAUGUUUAUACAUUGCCUAUAUAUACAUGGGCCUUAAUACUUAAAUUGUAGGACUUUUGGAUAAAUGAGUUUUAAUUUUGAAAAUGGUGAAAUUUUUUCUAUUUUUGAGAGGAAUAUAGCAAACUAUCCGUUCUGUUUACUUUUUUAUAAAAAAAAUAAAGGCAAUACCUUUUUUUUUUUUUGCCACUCUCUUUUCAGUAAAAAUAAGGUAAAAUACAGAUAAGUUGAAUUUGACUACCCAACAUUUUAAAAUUCUAUUUUUACUUAUCCUACUUUUCAAGUUGUUUAAUUUGAGUUAGUCAAUUGAACUUUCGACUCUAAAAUUUAAAUUAAUUAUUUAUUUUAAUAAACUAACAGUUAUAAAAAUUAUAUAAAAUAAACUAAUUAAACUAGUAAAGAUAAACGACGCAUUCAUAUUUUAAAGUUAAAGUAUCGUUGACUGAUUGAAAUCAAAUAAAUAAAAAAUUAGAUAAUAAGUUAAAAUAUAUUAAAUAGUUAGAUUUAAAUAAUUUAUAAUUGUGAUAAUUAAGUUUCAUAGAUUUUUACCUAAAACAAAAGGAGUCUCAUUCCCAAGGUGAAAAGGGAGAUGCCAUGUCUCCCACCAAGUAUAAGGAGAUACGACUAACAACACAAAAGCUGGGCUAAAGAGGAAGGGAAAGAGAUGCCCUUUGUUUUGCUUUGCCUUGGCUUACUUUAUUUAAUUUANAAAAAAAAAAAAAACAAAAAACAAAAGGCAAAAAGAAGGAAAGAGAAAUGGCAACUCCUCGCAAUCUCGUAUCACCCUCUUUAUAUUUGCCUGAGCCUGGUGUAUCAGCACAUCUCAUGCCCUGCACCUAAUUUUUGUUGUCAAUAUUUUAGAAUUAAAAAAAUAUAAAAUGUAUAUAUAUAUAUAUAUAUAUAUAUAUAUAUAUAUAUAUAUAUAUAUAUAUAUAUAUAUAUAUAAAUUAUUAACUUUUAAAAAUAUAUAAAAAUUAUAUUAUUCGAUUAAAUCUAUGUUGAAAAUUUAUAAUUUUUAAAAUAUUAUUUUUUUUUGAAUGUAAUAAAAUAUAUUUUAUAUCUAAUAUUUUAAUUUUGAGAACUGUAUAAUAGUGAUUUAGGCCUAAUUAAUUUAAAAAAUUUUAAGCUCUUCUAAUAUUUUUUUUUCUUCAAAUGCUAUAGAGUUGUAACAAGCGACAACCGCUAAAAAAGCAUAUUUAGUCACUACAUUGCCGAACCAGGCCUUAAAAUAGUACGAUAUAUUCAAUAUAUUUGUUUGCUUAAAGAGAUCAGCAUCAUGUCUUAUAGCGGGAGAUUUGUUUGGGUCGAGUGAUAUUCGAAGCGACGGGAGGUUACUUGGGCUGAGUUACAAUCGAGAUCCGUAGACGUUAUAUUCAUACGCUUUAAGUGACUUAGUUAUAUCUUUUAAACAGUUUGAAAUUUUAGAAUUAAUGAUUAGCAUCAGCGAUCCGAUAAUACUCAUACACGAGGUGCAAAAAUAUUUUCAUGCUUUUUGUUGCGAGGGGGUGGGAAAAGCAGGAAAAGGGUGACUGUGGGUUUUGUCCGCUCGGCCUUUAGCUCGCGUCCGUUUCCAGCUGUACUGCUGGGAACAUCACUUGGCCGUUUCCCCCCUCCUCUCCCUCUCUUAACACCACCCGUGAUAUAGAGAGAGAAUAAAAAAGAAGCAACAUAACAUUCCCAUUGAGCUCCUUUUUUGAAUUUGAGGUGUUGGUUUGCUCAUCAGAGAGAGGUUUUUUAUGUGUUCUUUUGUCUCCCUUUGCACUGUGAAGAAGAUGAAGAAACAGAGCGCUGGGUUUGCUCUCUAAAAAGAUUUCCUUUGAGUUCUCUUUUCCUUUUUUUUUUCCCAUUAAUAACUAACCACAAAGUGUAGAGAUUAAUAACCACCUCCUAAAUUUGGUUGUUUUGUUCUUUUCUCGUAGAAAAGAAGCUUUUUUUUUUUCUUUUUUUUUUCUUUUUUUUUUUUUUUUUAUAAAAGAAUUUAUUUUUUGGUUCCCUCAUCUUCUCCAUUUUGUUUGGGUGGGGGUGUACAUCGCUCUAGGGCUUGCCNUUUCUCAGUAUCUAGUAUCUACUUGUGGAGACAGGUUCACUCUCUGCGGAUUUAUUUAGAUUUCUUUUUACCAUUGUUUGCUACAUCAACUCCUAAUUUUGCUUCUUAUGUUCUGUUCUUGCAGAAAGGAAGCAUCUUGUGAGUGGUUUCGCAAUAUCUACUUGCUCUGAGGAGGAAAAAAACAGGUUUUUUUUUUCUUUUUUCUUUUUCUUUUUCUAUAAAGAUUUCUUUGAAAAUCACCAUUAUUAACUACAACAAUGCGUAGAAAUGAAUACCCAGCUCCUAAAUUUGCUUGUUUUACUGUUUUCAGACAGAAAGGAAGCAUAUUGAGUGAUAUUUCCUGAAGUUUUGUUCAUCUGCGGAGAAAGGUUAUUUAGAUUCCUUUUUACCAUCCCUAUUUAGUACAACAAUGUUUAGAAACCAAUACCCAGAUCCUAAAUUUACUUGUUCUGUUCGGUUUUCGUAGAAAGGAAGCAUCUUGCUUGAUUUUGUCCCAAGAAAGAAGAAGAAGAAGAAGAAGAACAUUAACUCAUCUACAACUCAUCAAUGGCUAUUCGAAUUGGCCCAACUCAUCUUCUCCUCUUCUCCACACUUCUCCUCUUAAUCCCCUCUUCAACCCAACUCCAAUCCUCACAAACAUGGUCUCUUCUCCAAAUCCAGCGCCUCCUCAACUACCCACCCAUUCUAAGUACAUGGCACAACUAUACCGACUUCUGCUACGGCGACCCGAACCCGUCGGUGACUGUAGUGUGCUAUGAGGAUAGUGUGACCCAGCUACAUAUAGUCGGGGACGGGGCCUCCCCCCCGGCGCUUCCGAGAGCCUUCUCAAUUGACUCCUUCUUCACAACCCUUACGAGACUCCCCGACUUGAAAGUCCUCACCUUGACCUCCCUCGGCUUGUGGGGCCAGCUCCCUUCGAAGAUCUCGCGCCUCACCUCGCUGGAGAUUGUCAACAUGAGCUCCAAUUUCCUGUAUGGAACCCUUCCUAGGGAGAUUUCCCAUUUGAGUAAUCUACAGACGCUCAUACUCGAUCGUAACUUGUUCGGCGGCCAAGUUCCGAGUUGGUUAGGUGCGCUUCCGCAAAUGGCAGUUUUGAGCUUAAAGAACAAUAGCUUCAGCGGGCCACUUCCCAAUUCUUUAUCAAGUAUGGGAUCUCUAAGAACCCUCGUGCUCUCCUCCAACAAGUUAUCAGGGGAUUUGCCCGAUUUAAGCGGGUUGGAGCAUCUCCAAGUGCUCGAUGUGGAGAACAACUCGCUCGGGCCGCAGUUUCCGAAAUUGAGUAGGAAGGUGGUGACAAUUAAUCUGAGGAGGAACAAGUUCGGCGGCGGACUCCCGGCUGAAGUGGGCUCCUAUUAUUUGCUACAGCGGCUCGAUAUCUCCUUAAAUAGAUUCGUUGGUCCUUUUGCGCCCUCGUUGCUAUCUUUACCUUCUAUUAGAUAUCUAAGCAUCAAGGGAAAUAGGUUUACAGGGAUGCUUUUCGAGAACAUGUCGUGUAGUGCGGAUCUUGCGUUUGUGGAUUUGUCUAUGAAUCUUCUUACCGGGAACUUGCCCACUUGCCUGAGUAGUUCAAAGUCGAGUAAUAAGGCGGUUGUGUAUUCGGCUAAUUGUUUGGGGAAUGGGGAUCCAACGCAGCACCCGUACGUGUUUUGCCAGAACCAGGCAUUGGCGGUGGGGAUAUUGCCAGAGGAGGAGGAGAAGAAAUCAGCGAGCAAGGCGGGUGUUGUAGCUGGCGCUGUGGGCGGUGUUGUUGGGUGCGCUUUGGUUGUUGGGUUUUUAAUCUUCUUCAUAGUGAGGAGAACGAGUAUGAGGAGGGCAGUUCAGAGGCCUCCAAGAAGGUUAAUAGAGCAUGCGUCGAGCGGGUAUCCUUCCAAGUUGUUGGCUGAUGCAAGUACGGACUCUCUCUCUCUCUCUCUCUCUCUCUCUCAUAUGUUCUCUCAUGUUUAUAUGAAUCUAUUUACCGAUAAGCUUGACUUACGGCUCAAAUGCGAACAAGUUUAUAUGUAAUCAGAGAAGUUUCUGAAUUGCAAGUGCCUAGGUUGGUUUCAAAUUCAUUUUACAAUGGAACAUUGAGAUGCACAAUUGCUUCACUUUUUCACGGAACUGUUACUUUUACUGUCGCCUUUUCUGAUACGUGCUUAUACAAGAAAUAAGUCCACGCAUAUGGUUGUUUCUUCUUAUUUUUUUUUGCCGGUUUAGAGUUUGAAGUUCGCUUAGAAUGUUACUGACUCUUUCCUUUCCUUUUGUGAAACAAAGGGUAUAUAACACAGACAAUGAAGCUUGGGGCACUCGGUGUUCCGUCUUACCGAACAUUCUCCUUGGAGGAGAUUGUAGCAGCUACAAAUAACUUUGAGACCUCAAAUUUCAUGGGAGAAGGUUCCCAUGGUCAGGUAUGCAUUGCUCUGUAUUUUCCUCCUCUGUGUACCUGAUUAGACUGAAUUUGUUAAAGCUGAUCUCAGGAGGGCAUGAUACUAAGGAAAGCCUCUUCUGUAAUUUCAGAUGUACAGAGGGAGGCUUAAAGAUGGUUCCUUGGUAGCAGUAAGGUGCUUGAAACUUAAAAAGAACCAGACUUCCCAGAACUUCAAUCGUCACAUCGAACUUAUAUCAAAGCUUAGACACCGCCAUUUAGCUAGCGCCCUCGGGCACUGCUUUGAAUACCACCUUGAUGAUUCCACACUCAGUAGAUUUUUUCUCAUAUUUGAGUACGUAUCCAAUGGAACUUUGAGGAGCAACAUUUCACGUAAGUUUUCUAUUCUUCUGUUUCUCUUUCAUCAUUCUUGCUGCGCUUAGCUAUUCUAUUUAUGUCGGGAUUUUACAUAUAUUUUCCUGCAAAAUCAUCUAUUCACUAAACCUUUCGCAUGUACCCUCUUAAAGAUUCAGUUCCUUACAGACUAUACCCUAUCUUGAUAUCUGAUUCACAGGCAAAGUUGGUUUUGUUAAAGAGAUGCAUUUUUUAAGUAUAUAAGGGUAUAUAUUUGUAAGAAACUAAGAUUUGAAGCGUGUUGGAGUCAUAUAGGUGACAUGUUCUUAAGUUCUGUUACAUGCCAUUCCUCAGAGGGGGCUGCAGGACAGAAGCUUACGUGGACACAAAGAAUAUCAGCUGCCAUUGGUGUGGCAAAGGGUAUUCAGUUCUUGCAUGGAGGUAUCAUGCCCGGCUUGUUUGCGAAUAAUCUCAAAAUCACAAAUAUUCUUCUUGAUCAGAACCUCGUUGCCAAAAUCAGCAGCUAUAAUUUACCUGUGAUAUCAGAGAAUAUGAAAAUCGAGGUGAGAUGAGUGAUAAUUGUUAUUUUUUAUUUUAAACUUUUACUUUCAUCCUGAUAUGUUGAUAUAGCUUCCUAAGUCGAUGCACUCGAAUUGAUAUUGCAUGUCCAUGCAGCUAGGUUAUGGAGGAUCUUCAAAUGGGUCAAAGGAAUCUAUUGAUAGGUACUUUAUAUAACCUGAUUGUGUUCCAAAAGUUUAAAAAGAGACUACAUAAGAACAUGAGUACGAUCUCUUCUUUUUAUUAACAAAUGGAAUAAUUCUCUAAAGUCCUCAUUGAUGGAGUUUGACAGGGCUAAACAUAGGGAUAAGAUCGACGUCUAUGACUUCGGUGUAAUUUUGUUGGAGAUUGUAUGUGGAAGGCCAAUUACAGCACACUAUGAAGUCGAGAUAAUGAAGGAUCAGGUAAUACUUCAGUAUCUGCUGCUUACUGCUCUUUUCAGUUCCCUAUGAUCAGACAAAAAAAUGCUACUCAAAGCAAUACUUCAGUUGACUGAUCUUUCAAUACUCUAAUAAAUCACAAAAUUGUCUAACCAACAAUUAAAUCACAGCUGCAAUUGAGCAUAACAGUCGAUGGGGCCGCGAGGAGGAGAAGCAUUGUCGACCAAGCAGUGAGCAGGGCCUGUUGUGAUGAAUCUUUGAAGACCGUAAUGGAGAUAUGCAUGAGAUGCUUGUCGAAGGAGCCAUCGCAGAGGCCGUCGGUCGAGGAUGUGCUGUGGAACUUACAGUUUGCCGCGCAGGUCCAGGAGGCGUGGAGGGGAGAUUCUCUGAGCAGCGAAGAAUCCCCGCUCUCCCCUUCAGUGCCACCCAAGUCAUUGUGAUCGCCCCACCGCCAACUGUGGUCGCAAUGAUGAAAGUCUAAAAUGAUUGUUAUGUUAAUAUGGCUUGUGGUUAUUUUGAUUGAUUUUGGUUGGUAAACGAGUUUUAUGGUUGUAUAUUAUGCUUAGAAGCUAGAAGGCUACAAAUUAUGGUCGAACUGGGAACUGUGGAAUGAGGUAAGAGUAUCAUGUUCUAAAUUGUGUUGGUGCAAUAUGAUAAAUGUGUAACUUGUGCAGGCAAGUUCAUUUAUUUUUUAGAAAUGGAUUCAGCUAAAAAUACAAAGUAGCCAAGUAUUAAACUUAAAACUUCGGGUAUCAAUCAUGAAGUCCUUAACCACUUGUGCUAGAUACAGUCAAUUGUAGACUGAAUUGUUAAAUCUAUUACAACUGUGACGCAUAAUGGGUCUCUGCUGUUUGGUAACUGAAAAGUUUAAUUCAAAUUUUUUUCCCCCAUGAUUAUAAGAGUUACUCAAAAUAAUAUAUAUACAUAUAUAUAGAACUAGACUAGAAUACUAUCAAUAGCACAAAAUCAUUGAUGCUAUUAAGUUUUCGAUUUUUGGAUGAAAAAUGAUAGCAAUCCCUUAGGGUUGAAUGGGUGGUUGAUUGAAUAAUAUGAUCUAACGAAAGCGGUAUAAAUUUUGGUCCUUUAAAUGGAAAAGUUGAAGAUUCAAACCUAACUACCUAAAAUAUAUAAAAGUAAUUUCUAGGUCUAUGUAUAGCCAUGUAAAACAUGCCCCAGUUUUACGGUCCAAAAGGAGCAGAUGAGUGCUAAUGACCAAGACAUGGACUUGAAAAAACCAACAACAAUCUUCGCUAGACAUGCAUCACCGCUAAAACUCAUACACAAAUAAAUGCGUGCAGAACGGUACUACGCAAACCAGGAGUUUACUGCAUUAAGAAAACCACAAUGAAACAGAAAUACCAAAUGAGUCCACCAUACACUGAUACACUAAUGAACCCAAUAUCAAAUACUAGUCAAAUGCUUAAUAGGAAGCUGUUAACAUGCCAGGAACAAUAGUCCAUACAUCUAUUAUAUGCGCAUGCCGACAUUGCUCGCCCUUAGUCGGCCGUCCAGCUCUGUUCCACAAUCUCGCGAACUUUGCGGUUGUACUCACGCUUGUUCUCACUGAAGAGCCGAGCUGCCUCGGAAUUCGCAGGGGAAUUCGGGUUUGGGUCACACAGCAGAGACUGCAGAUUAAAAAAAUAAGAGGAAGAGAAGUUAGGGCUAGUGGCUGAAAUAUAAAAUCUAGCUGAGUAUUUUAAAUGCAAGUCUGUGCUUCACUCAUCAGUUCAGCAAUAAAAAGUUGGAAAACCAGACAAAGCAAGCAUUCUUUAGUAUAGAGUUAACUGGGUGAGAUUAACAGUCAGGUUGUUUUAUUUCUUUCCUCAUUGUGAGAAUCAGGAGCUCCGCAGUCUCCCACCAAGUCUCCCCACUGUGACUCAAACCCAUAACCACACCUUUCCCUCCAAGCCUUAUUGCUGGGGAUCCCAGUGGUUUGCCGAGCUAAACACUUGAUUAUCAAGAAUCAGCAGCCUCAAAUUGCAGCUAAUGACAAAUUUCUUCCUACUUGACCAGUAUUAGAUUUUUCUACCUUCUUCCUACUUGACCAGAAUAGAUUUUUCUACCUUAUGACGAAAGAACCUCUUACGCUUCUUAGUUGAACUCAUGAUCUUUGGCGUUUUAGUCAGGUAGACGAUACAUGAUACUACAAUGUCCAUGUACAGCAAUACAACAAACAAGCAACAAAUAUGUUAAUGAAAAGAUUAAUAGUUCUGCAGUAAUUUUGAUUCUUUGAAAAAUACUUUCUAUAUGUUUAACACUCCAAAUAUGCUCGUGUUUAGGAUUUAUAGAAAAACAGUACCACACUAAAGUAUCUGCAUAAUAUCAACUUUUCUUAAAUAAGGCUGCUGUUUUCAAACAAUCAUAUAGAAAGUGCAAAAUCAAGGGCAAAUGCAAAAUAUAUAAUACGUGUGUUAAUUCUUUUCACAUAAGAGAAGGUUAAUAAGCCUACCUGAAUAGAAGUCAGUAUAGCAGCAACGUCAUAUAUGGGGCUCCACUGGUUUUGUAAGAUAUCCAAGCAAAUGCUUCCAUCUGCAUAAACUGAGUAAUAUAGACUGUGGUCAGCCUAUGGGUGAUCUGAUAGCGCCUACAGUAAUAUAGACGUAGGACUACGAAGAGAUGGCUUGAUGGCAUUAAUAUGCUCCCAGGUAUGAUUAACAACAAACACCAACUAUAUUAUGUUAGAAGGUAGAACUUACUGUUUGGAUGAAACAUCCGCGAGACAAACCUGACUGUAGGUGGUUUAUUAGGAUAAUCUUCUGUAAACUGCAGGGUCAGUUUAAACGUGCCUAGAGGAAGAACAAAAAAGUAGAAGACAUCAAAGAUCAAAAAAUUCAAUAUAAACAAAACUUAUGGUGUUAGAUAUUUCAUCAUGAAUGCUGGUACGUUCAUAUAUCUAUAUAUUAUAAAAUGAACAGUAAAGAAACUUAUCAUGGUUAGUGGAGUUGCAUAACCAAUGGAACACAUAGGCGUUAAUUAACUAACUACAUCUCUUAUUCCACGGCAGAUGAAUAUUGGAGUAUCGAAUAUGAUGUGGGGAAGGCUUCCUAUCUCAGAUGGAUUGGGAUUCAUGUUAUUGGACGGAACCAUGUUUGAAUCUAAUGACACCGAAAAAUAAUUUAAAUGGCUUUCUGCUAUAAGUCUGUGUGACUUACGUGAUUUUUUUUUUUUUCGCUUGCUUUUGACAGAAUUGAAGAUGGUAUUUGAUUCGAGCACUAUCUCUUUUUUGAGCAGAUAAUUUGCAUAAACAAUAUGUUACUCUAAUACUGGGAAAUGGGUUAUCACAUUGCACAAGAAUUAAAUCGCAAAAUAUCAUACAAUGGACAAACCACAUAACUAAGGUCAUGCUUGGCUCUGGGCCGCAUUAUAAUGUAUUAUGGAGGAUAUCCAACAAACUAUGAACAAUUUCUUCGAAAGCUUCAAGUAGGUGAAAGCUAGCAGAAAAAUUUUAAAAAAAGAGAACAUACUCUUAGUUAUGUAAAAGGAUUCCUAAACAACCUGCUGCAAUAUGAAGAACACUUUGAGCAGAAAAUAGUAGUACAGAGGAGAAAGUCGGUAUCACUCCAGUUAACUGGAAGAAAAGCUUGGCGUGUGCCUUUCAUCCCAUAUAACAUGGGAUACCACUUAAUUCAACAAUUAGCAUGCCCAAAACGAAUCUAGAACGUCUACUGGAGAACUCAUAAAAUGACGACCAAAUCACACAUGUUAACAACUGCUAAGUUAAAGUCCUCCAAUAUAACAGAAAAGACAGACUAUAAUAAGCAAGUACUCCAAUCCUCAACAAUUUUGUCUUCGCCAUAUUACCGUAUCUCUACUUGUACAAAGAAAUAGAAAAAUCUGUGUAAAUAGCUCACUAAAACUAAAAUUGAUGAUUGAUAAUAUAUGAGACAUCAACUAGACGUCCAUUCAAUUCAUGCCACAAAUUGAUGAUUGAUAAAAUAUAAACAGGACAAAAGUUGCAAAAUAAAACACAUCUGAGCUAGGUAACUUGAGGAUUGGCUAAGUCGUGCCCUUACAUAGGCUGCAGUUUUCAUCUUUUGGCGCAUAAAUAUGCUAAAAACCAAAUGAAACGUCGCCUCUUGAUCUACAGCAUCAGACCUUCCCUAAUAUCAUAUAAGGAGGUUUCAAACAUCCCUAAUCCUCGUCUAUAGCACCAAUUCUACAGAAUCUACUUCAAUAAUCAAUAAAACCACCAAAAAUAGAAACAAAUCUCAUAUUCUUUGGAGGAUCGGGGCUCAAAGCACCAAAAACUCACCACCAUCCCACGGAGUAUCAUCAGGCCUGCAAAAUCGGACGCAAAACCGCAUCAAAUUCGGUCAAAUCGAAACGAGAAAAAGCACCGAACAACCGAUUCCUCCAGAAGUCUCCGGAUCGAUCGGAGGGACUCGCGGUCACGUACCCGAAGAUGACGGCGUUCCAGAGAGUGAUGUUGUUGUCAUGGGGGGCGCCACUGAUCCCCGCGGGCGGAUCCUGCUGCAGCCGCUUGAAGUCGCGCAUCAGCCUCUUCCUCGCCGGAGUCGACAUCGCCGGCGCUUCUCGAUCGCCGGAGACUGGGAAGCGGUCCUCCUCGUCGAUCUCGAAGAAGGCUACGUCGUCGUCGUCGUCCUCCUCCUCCUCCUCCUCUUCGUGACUCGUUACUCGCCCUAAGAAGCCGCGGCCGCUUCUACUGCUUCUGCUUCUUCGUUUCUUCUUCCUCCCAAUGGGAGAGAGAGAGAGAGAGAGAGAGAGAGGGGGGGGGGGGGGGGGGGGGAGAAUGAGAAUCUGGAGCUCCACGGGACGCAGUGGGUCGCAGAGGACCGCGUUUUAUGUGGUGGCCAGUGGUAAUUUCUCUUUGUAAAUAAUAAUAAUAAUAAAAUAAUAAUAAUAAACAUAAAAUAAUAAAUUACAUCACGCAGCCAGCCGUGUCAGAUCCGAACACGAGCGAGCCAGAUUCAGCUCGUGUUCAAACACGAGCUAACUUAUUUUAAUAUCGAGUCGAAAAAUUUUAUUUAUGUUGGGCUCAUUUAUUACUAAGCCAAACACGAGAACACGAACCAGCUUAUGAAUAAAAAUUAAAAAAUAUAUAUAUAUAUAUAUAUAUAAUAAAUAUAUAAAAUCUUAUUUGUUAUAUUUUAAUAUAAUGAUUAAAAUUUUAUAUAUAAAUGAACUAUUUUAUAUUUGAGUUGAAUUUUAUAUUUAGGUUGGACUAAAAAUUAAAUAAUAAAAAUUUAUAUUAUAUACAUAUAUUAUUAUUUAUUUUUAUAUAUAAAUAUUUAUUAUCGAGCCGAACAUGAGCUGGCUGAUUCCAGCUCGUGCUCGACUCAUUUAUUAAAAAAGCUGAAAAUUUCAACUCGUACUUGGCUCAUUUAUUAAACGAACGAUUCGAUCUUGAGCUCAUUUUGAAUCAAACAAGAACUGGCUCGCGAACAACAAACUGGAUUGCUACCCCUAAACACGGCCAUAUUUUACAAUUUCACUAUAAUUUACACCUAUCUUUUAGCAUAUGGAUAAUAUUGAUCUACACUGUAGAUAUUAAAAUCUAACCGUUAAUUAAUGAAAAUUAUCGUUAAAUUUUACAUAGAAUAAUUUGCUGGAUAGAUUAUCAAUUUGAAAUUAGUAGCAUAUACCAAAUUUAUUACUGCCCUAUGAAUUUUAAAUUUUAAAUUUAAUUCUAUUAGAUAAUAGCAAUCUGUUGAGUAAUUGAAUUUAAAUUUGAUUUUUGAAUUCAAUAUCGACGAUUUUAAAAUUUCAAUUCAACUUUUAAAUUGAAUCUAAAUGUUACUUUUGAUCUUAAAAUCAAAUAUUAAUUUUUUUUUAUUUCAAAUGGAAUUUUGAAUGUUGAUGAAAGUUUUAUUUUGAGUUUGUAUUUUAUAUUUAAGAAAAGUUGAAUUUGAUUCAAAAUUAAGUUUCGUAUGUUGUUUUCAAAUUAAAUUCACAGUUUGGAUGUAAUUUGAAUUUCAAUUAUUGUUGUUGGUAUGUGAAAAAUCUCUAAUACCUAUAUAUGGGUCCUAUGGAACAAAACAUAUAUACCUAAAUACUUUCCAUGCCACAAUAGUAUGUUACCUACUUACUCCUAAAGUCAUAUUCUAUUCUAUCUCAACCAUUAUUUUCAAAAAAAGUUAAUUUCGUACUGCUCAUAUAAGCAUAUCAUAGCAAAUAUAAUUCUACAAAGUUUAAUUUUUUAUAUUUAUUACUGUAAAAGUUCAGUGAUAUUUAUAUUUACCUCUCUGGUUUGUUACCAUUAAAGUUUAUACUGUCAUAAAUAUGUCCCUCCAAAAGUCCGAACAGUUAGAAUUAUGCAGAAAUAUUCUUCCAAAAUUCUCCAAUGGUCAUCUUCUUCUUUUUCUAUCAUCAUAAAUAAUAUAAAAGGGUAAAAAAAUCAAUUUACCUCAUUCACUAAUCAGGAUUAAGUAUUUUACCUAUGGUUAAUUAUAUUUUUCUAACGCAUCCUAACAGCGGGUGUAUAUAUAAAAACGUCAGGACUUUUGCAUGAAUAAAUAUAAAAAGUUAAACUUUGAAUAUAUUUGCUAUUUUAUAUGUAUGCAGGGAGCUGUAUACAAUUAACCCUUUCAAAAAAAAAAAAAAAAACAAACAAACAGAAUUUACAUGGUGUAUGGCUAAAAAAUAAAACACUUUUGAGCAGUACAAGUUUGGCACAUUUAUUGCAACCAAAAAGCAGUAAAUACUAUGCAUUUAUAUGCAAUUUAUUUACUGCAUCUCAUCAUAUCUCUUUCAAAUUAGGCAUACCUGUAAUACAGUAUAAGUUAAUAGACAACUUUAGUCCACAUAUCUUGCAACAUUGACAAAUUUAGCUGCUCACAUUUGCCUUGUAGAUUCAUCUCCUUUUUUUUUUUUUGUUGUUGCUUGAGUUCAUUAUGGUUUUUCUAAGGAUGUGUUAUGAAAAAAAUUACAUGAUUGUAUUUGUGUCAUAUAGGCUUAGAAAAACAGUAGUUUCACAGCAUAUUGCUUCUCUAUGGACAAUAAGAAUGAUACAAAAUGACCAUAGAAUAAGCAAAUAUAACCUCUACAUCAUUUUCAUAAAAAAGAAUGUUUAAACUACUUGCAACAUAUUUUCAAUUUCUUAUUUAGAAUGAUAUCUUUGAUUUGCCAAUGGCGAAUCGAUAUCAAAACUUAGAAGCCUAUUAUGAAAAGAGGAUAUAGAAAUCAUUAUCAAGAGCAAUCAUCACUGUUUGAAAUAAGAUCACACAAUGUCUAAUACUUGGAGUUAUUUGAAUGAAAGAUAAGUUUGAUGCAAUAUUUAACCCAGGAAGGAUUAAAUUCAUUUAGGUUUAAGUUAGAAACUUAUGAGUCGAAAAAUUCUGAAGCAGCUGCGGUGUACGCGCGCUCGAGUAACGAGUCCAUGUAUCUGUCAUGAGCAUCCUUCAGCAUUUCCACAUUCUUCUCAGCUUGCUGAUAAAAAACAAAAAACACCCCAAACAUCCAGAAGUUAGGAUUUUUAUACUUCUAUCCGCGUAAAUUCAUCGAUUUAGUAUCUUUAACCAGUUGUAACUGUAUUUUUUUCUCUCAAAAAAAUAAAUUGUUACGAAUAUUAUACCUCAAUUUCAUUUUGGAAUGUUGUGCAAUUCUCUAUCUGAUGACUUGCUGGUUCACAGUAAAGUUCAGGGCUCCUGCAUUUUUCAUCUUUCUUUCAUUUUAUCAUUUAUUCAAGUUUGGAAGAUUUAGAAAGAUUUAGACCGACGACGACGGGGACAAAUAAAAAAGAUUAAUAAAAAUAACAAUCUAAUAACAUACAUACACCACUGCAAAAUCAUUUACUAAUUAAGAAUUCAAAUUUCUUGGAGUGAUAAUGUGUAAAUAAGUAGAUAUAUAUACAUGUUACAGCAUUCAUCAUAAGAAAAACUUUGAAACAAUUAUGCCAUUUUACCUGCUGCAGUGAGGAUUCGGCGCCGGACUAUGAGAAUGUUCUUCAUUGUUAAGUCCUAUUAGGUACAAUAAUAUAGGGAAAAUUUUUAAGAUGCAUGUCCCAGAUAUUGAUGCAACUUUGAUAUAAGUUUUAAAAACAAAAAAAAAAGAAGAAGAAGACUAAUUUACCUUCCUUGUAUUGCUCUUCUUCCUUUUCUUUGCUCAACUUAUUGUUAGCCCUGUACUUCUAAAUGACCAAAAAGAAAAUAUUACAUAUAAUUCUAGUUUCCAAAUAGUUGUGUUAGGAUGAGUAAUAAUGUGCACAUUUAUUAAGUCUCAUGUGCAUGUAUAUGCAUCAAGUAACAAGGUGAACAAAAUAAAUUGCAUAAUAUUUAGAAAGAGAGAGAGAGAGAGAGAGAUUAAGGUAUUGAGAUAAUGAAUUAUACAUACUUGGAGAUGGCUCUUCACAUGGCGAAGAGUAAGGCCAUGAACUCCCAUUGCUUCCAUCGACUGCUUUAUAGCUGUAGGCUUUGCUUCUGCGCAUCGAAUUAAAGAGAUAAAUAAACUUGUAUUUAUGGAAGUGAAGAGAUAUAUAAAUUUCACUUACCCUUUACAUUAGAAACUUCGAAGUUUUAGUGUAUAAAGAAACUGGUUUUAAGAAGAGUAGGAUUUGUGGUGACCUUAAAAACUUUGCAUAAAAAAUUUUUUAAAAAAGGAAAACUAUUCGGAAGAGGUGCACGCAUGAAUCAAUCUUUUUCACAGUUUUACAUGGACCGGUUUGUCGAAAAGAAAAACAAUCACCUACAAAUAAUAUAUCCGUAAAGGUCAAGUAUCUAUUGGUGUGAACAAUUUUUUUGUAUUAAUGCAAGGGAAAAAAAUAGCUAGAUAUUAUAUACAAUUAGCUACUGAACUGGAAAGAACUAAAUGCCGCAAAAAUAAGUGAAAACUACAAACCAUUUGGACCUCCGAGCCGCGCAACAGCAACGACGAACCGAUCGUGGAGCUCAGGAGUCCAGCGAAGGCGAGGCCUCGGGCACAAACCGAAGAAGCAGCAUUGCUGCGCAGCGAUUCUCGAGAAUUGGAUGUCUCUUUCGCUUAUCUGAGCUCCUCGACUUUGAGUUUGGUUAUAAGACAUUUUCUGUAACAAAAAGUGGUCAAAUGCAAGAAAUUUUUGGAACAAUAAGAUGAACAAGUUAGAAACUUUAUUGAUAGCUAUAAUGCUUAAUAAGUAGUUAAUUUUGCUGAGGGAAAUUCUCAUGUGAGCUUAAUGAAAGGAAAGUGAACACAUGACAUAUUAUGAACAAUAACCUAUAAUAACACAAAUCAACACUGUGGAGCCACACCACAAAGAAGAAUCCUACUCAAUGGGCUCCUUAAAUAGAAGUGGAUUGGUAAUUUGCAAACAUUUUCCCCAGAUUAUUGAAAGGCUCUUUUGCCCUUACAAUGUUGUUCAUUGCCAAUUCUAAUGAGUGGGUAAAAUGGUCUUUCUAGUGCAGCUUUAUUUGACAAUAAAAAUCUGAAAAGAAGAUCUCUUAUUGGUUUAGUAAAUCUAAAAGGGAGCCAAAGGUAUGGUGCAUGGAUAUGCAUAUAAGCAAAUCUUUUGGGGGUUUACUUGUAGCCUUUUGUCAUCAUGCAAAAACCUUACUAAUUCAAAUUAAAUCAGAGAAAAAAAAUGAAGGGAGAGAACUGUGUUUGUACACACAAUUUCUUUUUCCAAUUUGUUGAUAUACAAAUUUUUUUUUAAAGUACAUUUUAAAUAAAAGUAAGUUAUAUAUCUCUUAAAGAACAAUAUACACAUAUUUAUAACUGUGUAUCUUCAUAAAGUGUGCAUUUGUACUCAACUACCUUCUAAUUAAGCAAUUGUGUAUCUGCUCUCAAAUAUGCCCCUGCAAUGAACUUUAAUUCAACAUUUUAACUGAUUUAAAUUGCCAUCUGUGCAAUUAUUAGCAACUUUGGAGAACAUGAAACUUUAGAAAGGCAUAUAUAUAUAUAUAUNUCGGUUUACUACCGAUUUGUUUUCGAUGAUAGAGCUUCCAAAUUAAUGAUCGGCGCCAUUAAACAUGAUCUAAACUAUUUAAACUAUCUGAAAAUCAAAUUUCACACAUUUUCGAUAUUGUUCUCUUGUCCAUCAAGUGAACAGAAAAAUGAAUGGCUGGAAAUGAAUAUCCUUCAAAAAGUGAUGAUACAAUUUUUAUAUUUGAGAUUUAGAGUCUAGAUCUUAUUUUAAAUAGUUUAAAGAAUUUUUUAACAAAAAUUUAGUUGAUUUGAACUCUUCUAUAUCAUUAAACGAGCAAAUGCACCAUAUCGGCCAUUAAAAUUAUAGAUUUUGUGACCUUUGAUCGUUCAAUUAGUGAUGCCAAAAAAUCAUGAAAUUUGAUGUCUAGAUAAUUUAAAUGGUCUAGAUCAUAUUCAACGAUACCGAUCGUCGAUUUGGAAGCUCUAUCAUCAAAAACAAAUCAAUAAGUAAACCGAGCAGUUUACUUAUACCGAUAGUAGCCCAGUCAAACUCUAUAUAUAUAUAUAUAUAUAUAUAUAUAUAUAGAAUUAGACUGGAAUACUAUUAAUAGUAAAACGCUCUUUUUGCUAUCAAGUUUUUAACCCCUGGAUGAAAAAUUGUAGAAUCAAGAUGAUAUUAGUCGGUUAGAGUUGAGUGGUCCCCCUAGGGUUGAUUGGUCCCCACUGGGUUAUAGUAUUUAAUCCAAUGGUUAGAAAUAAUGAAAAGAGUUGAUCCAAAGGCUAAAAAACUGGUAGCAACAAUAAGAUUUUACUACUAAUAGUAGCCCAGUCCAACUCUAUAUAUAUAUAUCACAUUGCUUAAUAAAUGUAUAUCUUUAUUAUUGCUAUAAAAAAAAUCUUAAUGUUUUAAGGGAGCAGUGUUAUAACUGUCAUUCCAUGCGCUAGAAAAACAAUCCAAAAUCUCCAUGUAGGCAUACAUGGAUUUUUCCUCUUAAAAUUGAAUUAUAAUGAAUUAUUGUUUAGUUUUUUUCUUCAAAACUAAGCAAUUAGCCCAGCUUUUUUUUUUUUUCCCCUUUUUUUAAAAAACUUCAUAAGAAGAAGUGGUUUAGAUUUAAUUACUUGAACAGAAUAUAGUGAAUGUAGGAAUAAUUAGGACCACUCUAUAUAAAAUACUCAUUAUAGGGUCUCUUCCAUUCCUACGCAUCUCUCUCGUACUCCCAUAUGAUUUGCUUAACAUUAUUGCGUAGUCUAAUUUCGUAAAAACCUUGCAUGUGAUUUGCCCAAUAUCUAUGCUUUUUCUGGUUCACUCGUUACCACAUGUAAUCAUAGAAAUACAGGAGGUUUAUUUCCUUCUGUUUUCUACUGAAUUAAUAACUCUCUCAACUGUUGUCAUUUUCAAGCUAUAGGUAUGUAGAAAUAUGAUCAUGGUUACCUAAUGUGCAUAUAGUCAAUGCCUUAUUAAUGAUCCUUCAUAUCAAAAACUCAUAUAGAGUAACAAUUCGGAUACCUACUAGCUCACAAAGCAUCGAGAAAACACGAUACCAAAUACGAAAAUUCCUUUUUUUUCAUAACUUUUGCCAUCUCACUUAGAUUAGGACAUGUUUGAUUGAAGCAAAGUCGGGCCCGAAACUCAACUCACGGAGCUUUACGAUUUCGAAACGGACGUCGGGCGCAGAACCAAGAUACAACUGAGAGUGGCUACAUUGUCCACAGUAAUCGCGAAGUCGAGUUCUUGUAACUUCUCACAUCACCCGCUCCAGUUCUACUCAAAAGUCUUAAAAAGCUUUAGUAGCCUAAAAUAUGGAAAAAGAAGUUGUGGUUGCACUGAAUUUGGGUAACCACCCUCUCUUAACCAUGCCAAACCCUAUUUCCUAGGUUUGGACCCUAAACUUAGUCAUUUUUCAGAGUCUUCGCUUCCUUCUUAACAUAAAGUGUCCAUCAGAGAAAUAACAAUCAACGUUUGGCAUAAAUGAAAUUGAAAUUGGAACAACAUUUGAACUCUCAGAACAAAAACUCCAAUUUAAAGCUUUUAUUUCUACUGCACAAGGUACUUGGGUGAGAAUAAGUUUAGUAAUCUAAAAGCAGUCCCAUUGGAUUCAAGAUCCUAAGAUCCAAACACGAACUUGGGUUAGAUUUCGAUCCGACUUUGGGAGUAACAGACACACCCCUAGCUGCUCGCAUAAGAUAAAUAUAGCCACCAUAUUUGUACUUUGUACUUUGAAUAUCCAAAUAUAAGUAACUCAUAUAAGAACAUCCAUGGCCUCCGAAAAAUUUUGAUUCGUGAGGAAUCAUAUUCAUUUGGGGACAAUGAAGCUCGUCUGAGCCUUCCCCAGAAUGUUCAAUGCCAAAAGAAAAAAGCACCUAUCUAUCAGUCAUACUUUGGAAGCAAUCGGCUUCUAUUAACUUAAUCUUGGACCAGAGGAACUAUCUGCUUUGUCCGUAUGUUCUCUCGAGAACAGUGACCGGCGGACCAUAGAUUCGAUGGCAUCGUUCACUGAACGAACUAACUAGUCGGGACACAACUUCCUUGAAGAACAUUGAUGCCACCUGCCAACAGAAGCCACCAUCAAAGUCAGAGGUGAUAAAAUACAAUCACACAACAAGGGUGAGUGAGCAAACGGACGAGUCCGUUAAUGCUUCUUAAGUUUAACAGAGCAAACAAAACAUAUAGUUUAACCUUGCAGAAUCUCCCUUUACGCUGACAACCACAAAAAAUUUCUUUCAAAUGAUGUCUAGAGCCUGAUGGCCAACUAAGGCUUUCUCAACUUACUAGGGCAGCGAUAAACCAGCAGAUAAACAAAAGAAAACGCAGCAACUAGUUAAGUAGCUGCCGCAAAAACUUACAAACUAAAUAAUUAGAUGAGAAAAUGAAUUAUACAGUAAGCUACGUUUUUCAUAACUUUGGGAUAUACUCUUCAAGAAAGUAUUUCAAGUCCAAUAAAAAAGCUUAGGCUGGAGGCUGUUCACAUGGGCAGAAACUGGUCACAAGUGAUUGUUUACACUCCAAAGACAAACAAUAAGAUUUUCUCAUAUAGGAACUCAAAUAUCAGCAGAGAGGGGGAGAAAAAAUUAUGUACCUGGCGAUAUAGCGGUGACUGGAACUUAAAAUCCACCAGGAAGUAAAGGUCGCAAGUUCCAGGCACAGGACCAGGAUUAAAUUCCCAAAUAUUAAUCAAAUGGUCAAAAAUAUUGCUUUCUGAUGCAGUCGUCUGCAUGCAAGACAAUUCAUAUGUAUUGAUUAGUCGCAGCAUAUUCAACAACAAUUUGGCGCUAACAGUUGACAUAAAAAUAGUGGAACAAGAUAAAUGUAACUUAACCAUCAAUAAUAGGAAAAAAAAAAUCCAGGCUGGCGUAUUCAAAACAGAGAAAAAGGGAAAACCUUCAUUUGGAUGCCAAACAUGUACAUGUACAUGUCAUGCAAGUAAAAACAUUCUCAAACAUCAAUAAUGAUGUUAUCAACUUCUGAACCUAUUUCCAGUUUAAUAUAAGCCUAUAUAACUGCCAUGCUUAGCCUGGGGAUCUCCAAUUUGAUCACAUGGCCUUUGAUAUAUUGUGUAUUGGGAAAUACUUGUCAUAAGUGGAAUAAGUUUCUUGAGAUAAUAUAGUUAUCCUUAACUUUUUCAUGUCAAAGCCGCUACUCACUUGAAAAAAUUUUGCAGGUCACAGGAAAAAACUUCGCGAAAUCAAAGAAGUUCGUAAGCUAGCAUGUUUUACUCUAUGGCCGGUAAAAAACUUCUAACCAGAGGCUCAGACGGUCCAAGCAAACAUUUUGAAUUGUACAAAAAUCUUAUCGAUCUAAAACAAUAGAACUAUGUGUCUGAUCAAUUACUGAGUUAUAAGGUAGACUUAGUCCAAACAACCCUGAUUAAUUGAUAAGUUCUGCAUUUAGCUGGCAUUUUAAGUGCAUUCACAUUUUUUCUAGAGAAACUUGCUCUAGGUAUUUCUAAGCAUAAAACCAUACUCAAAAUGAUUGAAAAGGGAAAUAAAUGUCACAAAGGUUCAAAAUUAAUAAUGAUGAUAAAGUGUAGAAGAUCAAUACACCCACACAAACCCCAUGAUGCAUGUAUAAGUCAAUGCAUGCCACUUAGGACUACUACUCAGAUGAUAGGAAGAGAAUAUUAGCAUGCAUAUAUAAAUGCAUGGAACAAUGUAUACUAAACACCAUGUCAAAAGAAUAUUAUUUUUCUCACAACAAUAAGAUCUAAUAAAAACAACUAAACCAAGUCAAAGGCAAUAUAACAUAAAUGAUGCAUGGCUACUGGGCCAAAAUAAACAAUUUUUAUCAUACUCCUUGUCAGCCAAAAUUAACCAAAACAAGGUUACAUUAUGCAUAUACAGUUCAGGAUAUGAACCUCUUUAGCCAUCCAAUCAUGUGAGAAUGGACACAAAAAAUAAGAUUAUGAUGUACUACAUUAAGCAGACAGAAGACAGACACAGGAACAAAUAAUUCUAAAAGUCGAAGUAGAUGGGUCACUGAAAAGAUUAUUACUGAAGCAAAAUUUAGGGUGAAAGAUGGAUAGUUCAUUAGGUGUAAGGAUGUGAUGAGAUCAACAAGAUACAAUCAACGCUCAAUGCUAACAGAAGACUAAAGGAAGUCUACUGUUGCAUUGAAGAAAUAUGUUAAAGUGAGUUCUAGCAGUGAGGUCGGAGAAUAGGAGUUGUACAUGCUGCAAAAUUAUUGAACAACAUCCGCUUAUUAUUGAAAUUAAAAAAACAUGAAAAAGAUCUGAUCAUAGAUCGCCGCUACUAAGCCCAAAGAGCUCAGAAGAGUUUAAUUACCUUAAUAUACCUCGGUUUUUCCAAUUCAACAUGCGAGAUGUAACUCUCAACAAGGAAUUUGAAACCAAUUUCCAAUUCAGCAUCAAAUGAGCCGUCGUCGUGGUGCCUAAUUAUCUUGGAGCGCUGGCACCAUGGCACGAAAUCCUCAUAUAGAUCGACAGCAGCAACAACUGCAAAAAGUUGCUCUGGAGAGUACCUGGUGGUUGCACUAUUAAUUAGAAUUUACUCUACACACCAAAAACAAAACCUACAUCCUAUUUAGUAGUUGAUAACGUAAGACAAUGUGGAAGUUUAUAUGUAAGGCAUAUCCAUAUCAGCAGAGAAGUAUAAAAUGUUCCACAUCUCAAUUCAAAUGCUACAAAGGCAAAAUAACUAUUAGAUGCAAACCAACUUAUUAGAACAAAAGAUGCAUUCUAGCUGGUAGAUGUGCUUAAAUUGAUAGGUUCUAUGAGUGUUAUUCACAAGUAAAGAGAAUAACUGCAUUAGUUAGUUACAUACCUAAGGAUCCUAAAACUGGACAUGGUACUACUGUAUUAGCAUUGUUAAUCUAAUUUACAAGCAAAAUCACAAACGCAAGUAUCUCUAAAAGGCGCAAAAGGAAAAAAACUUUUAUGGGCCUAAAUUAACAUCUAACAUACCCCAUCACCCGCCUCUCCUCGUAAACCUUCGAAAGAACACCUCCCUCCUCUCCAUCACCCCAGCCGAGGAAUCGCCUCGUUUGCGCGUUCCUUUGCAAAUAACCAAUCGACGACGCCGGAUCCCUAAAGGUACCAACCAAUCCGCCCACGGACGAAUUGCCGACACGAGCAAUGGUGCUCGAGAUCCGAGUUUGCGACAAUCGCCCAAGCUGCCGCUUGUUUUCGCCACAAUUCCCCAACAAUCCCAAUCCCUUCCCAAAAUCCAAAGCGCGAUGUUUACCGGAUAACAACCUCGCUAGGGCCUUCGACGACGAUACUAUCGGCGGCAUUGUCGUCAAAAAAGAUCAACUUUUUACCAUAAAAAUCGCGCCUUUCGAAAACAAUCAGCUGUCAAAAAACCAACAAAAAUUCCAACUUCUUUUCGCCCCAAUGCGCCGGAUCAGAACCCUAAUCCGGAAAAAGGAUCCGAGAACGCCCAAAAUUUGAUGAGAUCACGGAAGCUUCCGCGCACUUAUGAGGAGGAGGGAGAAUCGUAGAGUAGUAGGAGACGACGCUCCUUCACCGCUCUCGCCCACGUAGCUCGGAUUUGGGGACGACGAUGCCGAAGAAAUUGAAAACAAACCAGAGACGCAGCGCGGAGAACGGGGAGGAUGCGGAAGCCGCUGGGUUGCUUCUAACGCAUACUUCGGGGCGAAAGCGUGGUCUCGAGUUGAAUUCGAUUUUACUAGCCCUAAUCCGACUCGACCAUCUCCGAGUUGUUGGAUUACUUUUCGAUCCGGAUUUAAAAAAGUAUUAAAUAAUAAAAUAUUGCACUCAGAAUUUCAGAUCCCCCGCUUAUCAUAUUUAUUUUCAUUAUUUUUUUUUGAUAAAAGAAUGAUUAAUUAUAAGAAAACUUUGCAUUUGCAAUGAUAGAUAUUUAAUUGAAAGAGAAAGAAAAGUUUGAGCACGAAACCAAAAAAAUAAGGGAAAAGUGAGUAAUCAUUACUGCAAAUUAUAAAUUUUUAGUUUAUUAAUUAAUUGAAGUUAUGAUAUUUUGGUAUAAUUUAUGGUGCACCGCCUGCACCUAAUAUAUGAUGACACGUGUCACUCCAUAUCUUCCCUCAUGCUCACUCGAUGUGAUGCGACGGAUAAUUAAUUAAAAAAAAAUAAAAAAAUCAAUGACAAAAGAAAAAUAAAUUGCGAUGAAAAAACCGAUGAUAAAGGAUGAGAUUUAUCUUGACGAUGAAUGUAACAGUCGAAGAAAAAGAAAGAGGAACAAUUUGGUCUAAUGCUGAAGUAUGAUUGGAUUCAAUUCAAGAAAAAAAAAAAACUCAAUUAAUUAGGCUCAAGCAAAGAAUGAGAAAAGCUUGAGCCAAGAAUAGAGUCUAUACUCAAUAAGAAAGAAAUAUUAUCUUGUGGUAAAUUUAAAAGGAAUAAUAUAUAAAUAUAUAUACAGAGGUGGUGAGGUAUACAUAAUAGUAUAUAUAAAAAUAAUAUAAAUAAAAAAUAAAUACGGAUGGGCCGGCCCAUAGCUUUUGCUCCAGAGUCCGACCAUCAACGGUCCAAUCCGACGGUCAGAAAAACGCAGAACACAACAGAACAGGACGUACACCGGAAUUUCGGUGGUCCAGCGACCCUAUCUUCUAACCCCCGCGGUCUUAAAACCCAAAACCACUACACGCAGUCCCUGAAGCAGCGGAUACGAUUCUCCGCGAUGAUACCUCUCCUCCUCCUCUACCGCCACUCUACUCCCUAUCCACAGCGACUCCUAAAACCCUAAUUCCGAUCCGAUCGAAACGUAGGGUUUCGUACUCUAAACCUUUGAAGCUUUCACUAUCGAUCCAUGGGAACUCUCCCCAGCUCCUCUCUCCUCAAUCCGAGCUUCCGAUUCCGCCAACUACCCCACCUCGGGAGCUUCCGAUUGAGGGAUUCGGUUGUUUCGCGGAGGGGUUCGAGGGAUUUGUGCGUAGUUUGUAAGGAGAGAUUGGGCAAUUGGAGGUUGGGGAGGCGCCGGGAGGGGUUUCGGUGCUUCUCGAUCAAUGGGAACGAAGAGGGGGAGGAGAAUGGGGCGGGGCCGUCCACAAAGCCAGCGGAAGAGGGGGAGAAGAGGGUGGGUGGUGAUGAUUCGAGCUCGGAGCGAACCCGUGCGUCUGUUUCAUCUAGGGUACUGCGCGAUCCUUGUUCAUUUUAGCUUUUCUUAGAUAUCUCCUUUGUUGAUUACUUUUCCUAUCAUUUGAGCUUUUGUACUUUGUACUCUGUAGUGAGCAUUAUAUUCAAUAUAAGAUCCUCAUUGUUUAACGCAGCAACUUGUGUUAGAUUGAUCAUAUAUCAUGCCCUUAAAGAUUAUCAGUUUGUAUUUAUUGCAAUGCUAUGUAAUUUUUUUAAAAAAAAAAUUAAGCACACUAUUCAUGUAACUUCAUAAUUUCCCUCAACAGAAAGAAAAUUUAAGUAGACUUUUCCGACAAAUAGCAUGAGUUUUGUAUAUAAAACAUAUGUGGAUGGCCCGUGACCAGUACAAAGGAAAGAGUGAAACCAAAGAAUUUUUGGUAGUUUGCAGCAUCUGAAAAUUCAUUGUAUAGUCAUGUAGAUGACUCCCCUAAACUUCUUCAUUAACAUAUUUCCCAACCUUAUUUAUCCUCUUCAGACCCCAGGCAUAUCCUCGGAUGGACCACUGUACAGUAGCUUUCAAGUUGAUUCAAUAAGGCUAAUGGAACUCCUAGGACCUGAGAAGGUAGAUCCUUCUGACGUCAAGCUUAUAAAAGAAAAGCUCUUUGGCUACUCAACUUUUUGGGUCACUAAAGAAGAGCCAUUCGGUGACCUUGGUGAAGGAAUUCUCUUUCUUGGUAACUUGCGUGGGAAGAGGGAGGAUGUUUUCGCCAAACUUCAGCAGCAGCUUCAUGAAGUUACAGGCGAUAAAUACAACCUGUUCAUGGUAGAGGAGCCCAACUCAGAGGGCCCUGACCCACGUGGUGGCCCACGUGUCAGUUUUGGUUUGCUGCGAAAAGAGGUCUCUGAGCCGGGGCCUACUACUCUUUGGCAAUAUGUUAUUUCAUUGCUUCUAUUCCUCCUAACUAUUGGGUCUUGUGUAGAACUAGGAAUUGCAUCUCAGGUAUGCUAUUUUCAUUUGGUUUUGAUCCAUUCUAAUUACUUUAUUUUACCUGUUGGAAAAUAAUAACAUGAUAUUUUGAACAGAUAAACAGUCUUCCUCCUGAAGUAGUGAAGUACUUCACUGAUCCAAAUGCUACAGAACCUCCUGAUAUGCAGCUCUUAUUCCCAUUUGUGGAAUCUGCUUUACCGCUAGCAUAUGGUGUUUUGGGCGUCCAGCUAUUCCAUGUAAUACAAAAUACUUAAUGCAUUCCGCAUAUGUUAUCUAUACACUUUUCUGGUCAGAAUUCAGAAAUUGGAACCACUCCGAAAAUAAUAUUCCAACUCACUUCGCAUUAGGUGAUUCAUUUUCUUUGGCAACACAUUACAAGGGUGAAUUUUUGCAAUAGGUUAUCUCAUAUUCAAUUAUUAUAAACUUCUACAAAUGUCAUAUAUGUAAUCCGGCCAUAUCUAGGUACCACUUUUCAUUGAUAUGUACAUUAUUUAAAAUUUAUAUUUCUUACGACAUGUUCAUUCUUUUUUAUGCAUUUUUCUAACAUUUCCUUUUACAGGAGGUUGGACAUUUUCUAGCAGCAUUUCCCAGUAAAGUGAAGCUGAGUAUCCCGUACUUCAUUCCUAACAUAACCCUUGGCAGCUUUGGUGCAAUCACUCAGGCAAGCUACUUUAUUGUUGUUGUACUUAACUCAAGCUUACAUUUAUUGGUUUAAUUAGUGAUAUUUCUAUGUAUGUUCCCAUCAAGGGAGAAACUUUGACCACACUAGGCUACUGUUCUUUAUUUCUAUUUUUAUCCAAGUCUUCUUGAUCCUCCAAGCCCUAGCUCUACAAUUUUCACAUGUGUUUUUUUUUGUACCUGUAAUCAUUGUCACACUGCUUUGGAUAUUUCACUGUAUUAAUCAUAACUUAAGUAGUUCUGUGAGGCUAGAAGUUGGAACAUGCAAUUUUGAUCCUGCUUUUGGCACCCAAGCUAAUGAUUUAUAUCUUUCUGUAGAUGCUUUUCUCAAUGCUAGGAAUAAUUGGUUUGCAAAUGUCAAAUUUCUUAACCUGCUUUUGGCACCCAAGCUAAUGGUUUGUAUGUCUGUAGUUGCUUAUUCUCAAUGCUGUGACAUGAUUGCAUUGCAUGUCUAGUAUGUAAUCUUUGUAUUUUCUUAAGCACAUGUUCUCAUUAUUGUUAUUAACUCGUGUAGUUCAAAUCUAUUCUUCCUGAUCGAAGGGCAAUGGUCGACAUCUCAAUGGCUGGUCCUUUUGCUGGUGCUGCACUUUCCUUCUUGAUGUUUUGUGUUGGCUUGCUGCUUUCAUUGAACCCAGCUGCUGCUGGAGAUUUAGUGCAAGUCCCUAGUCUGCUCUUCCAAGGCUCGUUGCUGCUUGGCCUCAUUAGCAGGGCUGCACUUGGUUACACGUGCGUUUCUUCCCUUAGUAUCUUGGUGAACCAAAUUAUCUGUUCAUUGAUCAUACUUAGUUGUUACGAAAUUAAAAGAAAACUGAUUACUAUAUCUAAAUCAUCGGCAAGAUGUAGAAGUUAGCUAGAAUAACCAUAAUCAAUUUCUGAUUGCUAGCAGAGCACCAUUUCUCCCGAUGAUAUUUACAUUCAUAAAUCAUGACUUUGUUGACUAUAUUCAGAUUCUAUUAUGUUUCUAAAAUCUUACUCUUAUUCUGUUUUGAGAACACAAAUACUUUAUGUUUUCUAUCUGAUUGCUGAUGCCUUUUCUGGUGUCUGACUUGCGUUGACUUGCAGAGCUAUGCAUGCUGCUACUGUUUCAAUCCAUCCACUCGUGAUUGCUGGCUGGUGAUGUAUCUCACAUUUUCUUUUCCGUGAAUUUAUAUAAUAUAUGUAAUAAUGCUUAUUGCUAGUUUCAUAUUUCAGGUGCGGUUUGACGACUUCUGCAUUUAAUAUGCUUCCUGUUGGAUGCCUUGAUGGUGGAAGAGCUGUACAGGUACAAGUCAUGCAUAUGUGCAAUAUUAGAAGAUAGGCAACUUUUAUUUCUCAUUCACAAAUCCAAAGUAUUAAAGGUAACCUCCUUGAUAGGGCAAGUUAUUUGCUUAUUGAUUGCCCUAUCACUGUACAAUUAUUUGUGUAGUCAAUCAACCCUAUCAUAUGGGUCCAUUUAAAUUCACCAAAGGUGCAUUAUACAAUGUGGGUCUGAGUACAACUAGGCAGAUUGCUACUUUUAAAAAUUCAUGAUUUUAGUUGCUUCUGCCUCUAUACUGUGCUUCUCCCUCAACAUUUAAGAUUGAUUUUUGUUCUGAUAAUGUUGUAACCUCUAACCUGUAACAGGGUGCCUUUGGGAAGAAUUUCUUGAUUGGGUUUGGCUUGACAACAUACUCUUUGCUUGGACUUGGAGUGGUAUAUACAUUUAACACCUAUCUUUUCUUUUUUAGAAACUGCUGCAUCAUCUAAUGUGAUUUUCUUAUUUUAUUUAACUUGGUAUAAUUGUGGAGCACGAAUUCUUUAUAACUUCUUCCUUUGCAACUUUGGUAUACAGCAUUGAUCCAUCAGUGGAUCUCAAAAGCUGUUGGUUGGUUUGAAGUAGAACUAAUUAUUUCAUCUCAGAAUUUAGAACCAAAACAACUCGACAGAUAAGUCUAAUUAGGAAUUUACUACAUCCUGGUCUGUGGAGGAUCCCACAUGGUGCUGUCUUUGGUUCCAUUAGAAUUUGCUGGUUUCCAGCAAAUUCUUUAAGAAACUGUGGGUGACAGUUGGUAAGGCAACUCCAAUAGAUCUGUUACACAGGCCAGCAAUUACAAACUCUUUUGUUCUCCAAUUUUGAGCAUCACACCAACUUUUUGAGCUGAGUGGUGAACUUGUGGAUGGAAUGCUCAAAAGGCUCUUUUUGACUAGGUUCUGAUCUCACCAUGUCAUUUUCCUUUGAAAUAACCACAGUUCAAUGAAAUAUGAAAUGAAAUUCCGAAUGGUGUUUUAUUCCUUGGAAAAUACUAGGAAACAUAUUUCAGUUCAUUUGGAACCCAUUAAUAUAUACAUGGCUUCUUACAUUAAUUCUUCUAUGAUCAAUGACAUUUUCCAUACUUACGUUCAAUUAAAAAUGCUCAGCCAAGGUGGCCAUUUGAAGAACUUUUCAGCAUGCUCUGAAAGUUUCUGUAGUUGUAUGCCACUAAAUUUCCUUUCUCAGAGUUGUCUCAAUAAUAAAACUAUAGACAGGUUUUAUUUCUUAUAUUCCAAUAUUUUAACUUCACAUAAACAACCUAAUAAUGCUCCUUUUUAUUUCCUUCUAUAGCUUGGGGGGCCGUUAUCGCUUCCCUGGGGAUUAUACGUUCUAAUAUGCCAGGUAAAAUGGAGUAAAAUGGAGUAAAUUGGUAUUAUAACAAACUUUUUCCUUCAUAUUUCUUACUAUCAAUUUUUGAUCAAAACUUAUUUUCUCUCAGAGAUCACCAGAGAAACCCUGCUUAAACGACGUGUCCGAGGCCGGAACAUGGCGAAAAACUGCCUUAGCUAUUGCCAUAUUUCUUGUUGUAUUAACUCUCCUUCCAUUAUGGGAUGAACUAGCAGAAGAGCUAGGUAUAGGCCUUGUAACUACAUUCUGAGGUGAAUAUUUUUGCUGUAUUGGACUUAUUCUAAGUCCUUUUUUUUGGGUCAAAUUUUAGCUACAAAUUGUAAACUUGUCACACCAAAUUUGUAACUGCGUAAAAAUGUUACCCCUUUACAUAAAAAAAAGGGUCUAAUAACGGUAAUAAAUAAUCACAUAGUUCUGUGUUUGAAUUAGUUGUGUUACCUAUCUUAUUGUUCACCUAGCACCUUAUAAACGAAAUAACGAAAUUAUUUUUUGCAAAAUUAACCAAGAUAGUUGAAUACGGGUGUAUGGACCUUAAUAAUCGAGACUAAAAAGUGUACCAAGUUCGUACUCAACACCGCUUCAUUCGAUGAACCCUGCAUAUGUGAACCAAUUGAAAAUUUUUAUAUCGUAUAUUAUGUUGAGAUUAGUACUUUUGGAUCAGCAAUUUUUAAAAAUAUAUAUUACGUAACAUGACAACAAGGACUAGUAUUAAAUGCUUGUGCGCAAAAAUCCUAAUAACCAAAAAGCAAUGUAUAAAAAAAAAAAAAGAGGAUAUUUUGAAGGUCAAGUGAUCUACGGUUGUGAUUAAUUCAAACAUGGACCGAAAAGAUAAAAGGAAAUAAUAAUAAUAAUAUAAUAAUAAAAGAAGAAAAAGUAAGAGGGAAAGAAGCGAACCCCCGAUAGACCUACUGCGUUCGAGUUCUCUCUUUCUCCCCGCAAGCGGCGAAACCGACAUCCUCCGAUCCCUAAUCUCACCUUAGUUCCCCAAAUCCCCCCCAAUUCCCGACGAAACCCUAAUUUCUCAAUCCGAACCCCCAUCGUCCUCACCGCCACCACCGCCUACCCCGAUCGCUCCGCCGAUCGCCGCCGCGCUGACUCACGAGAUGAUCCCGGAGAUCGUCCCCCCGCCGCCUCCCGGCGGGGUGGGGGCGGCGGCGGCGGCGGCGGCGGCGCGGGACCUCUCGGCCUCCCCGACGAGCUCCCGCUCGGUGACGGAGACGGUGAACGGAUCCCACCGCUUCGUGAUCCAGGGGUACUCCUUGGCGAAGGGGAUGGGCGUGGGGAAGCACAUCGCCAGCGACAACUUCACCGUGGGAGGGUACCAGUGGGCGAUCUACUUCUACCCCGACGGGAAGAACCCCGAGGACAACUCCGCGUACGUCUCCGUGUUCAUCGCCCUCGCGAGCGAGGGGACCGACGUGCGCGCGCUCUUCGAGCUUACGCUCCUCGACCAGAGCGGGAAGGGGAAGCACAAGGUGCACAGCCACUUCGAUCGCUCGCUCGAGAGCGGGCCUUACACGCUCAAGUACCGCGGGAGCAUGUGGUAAGGCGAUCGAGAUCCCUCCCUGUGAAGAAUCGGUUGAUUCGAUUGUUGGAUUUUCUUGAAUUGAUUGAUGAUGAGCCCUGAGUUGUGCGAUUCGCUUGUUGGAUUCGUUAAUUUGAUAGAUGAGCAAUGUUCUUCUCUCUCUCUUGGAUUUUCUUGAAUUGAUUGAUGAUGAGCCCUGAGUUGUGCUAUUCGCUUGUUGGAUUCGUUAAUUUGAUAGAUGAGCAAUGUUCUUCUCUCUCUCUCUCUCUCUCUCUCACACACACACACACACACACAUAUUUAUGACCUUUGCUUUGGAACGUGAUAGAGUGCUAGUUGUUUUCUCUCCCCUGUGCAAGAAUUAGGUGAUUUUCUUGUUAUAUUUCUUUAAUUGAUCGAUGAGGAACGUUAAUGCUCUUUUCUAUACCUUUUUUACAUAUGUAUGAGAUAGACCUUGAAAUUUGAUAGAGCAACGGUAGAUGAGCCCUGAUUUAAUGUUUCAUAGCUUGAUUAUUUUAUGGGAUGAUGAGGUUUAGUUCGCAGUGCUAAAAUCUUUACGAACUAUAAAAAGAAACUUAAAUAUUCUUCUCUAGUUCUUUUUGAUUUCUUAUUCUAAAAGGAUGUUCCUUGUGGAUUAUGAAAUAUAGUCAGGUUGACCGGAGAGUCUGAGUGUUUCUUAAUGAUGGAAAUAUAGGAAUGUUAUGGACUGAGAUAAGGGGUUAAACAUGGGAUCUUGCAUUACUAAUAUGGUUGUCAGUGCUUUUAAUAUAGGCGUGCGGACGACUUUCAACUGGUUUUAGCUAUAUAGUUAAUCUUGAUUUCAUUUUUGGACUCUAAUAAUAUAUCUUAGAUGGUAGGCUUUAUAUAAUGGUAGAUUUAUAGAAUCCCAUCAUAUUUCAUGUCUCUGCCACACCAGGUUCUGAGAAUUUUUAUGUUAUUUUAUCCACAAUGAUUUUUAAAUGUAAGGAUGGUACAUCAUAGUAGGACAUCUUCAAUUUUUUAGGUUAUGUAUUAAAAGCUGUCAAUCAAUUGUUCUGAUUUAGUCUUUUAGGGCACUCAGUUUUUGUUGUGCUUUAUUAAAUUUCUUUAAGCUAGUUUGUUAGUGCAACCAAUAGCUUGUCAAUGCAGCCAUUCUUAUUGGGCAAUGUUGUUGUAGUUGUUGGAACGCGCUCAACUGUUUCUUGUAUUUAAACUUCUAAAUCAUAUUUGAGAGUUUCCAUUGCUUUUGAACUAUUACUCUUGUUGUAACUCUUGCCUUUUUAAAGGAACUGGAAAAUUUUGUUCUUAGAAUCUUGAAAGAAGGUUGCAAUAUUUUCUUUUGAUUCCAUUGUCCCGCAACCUUUUGAAGUAGAAAAUACUUGCUGAGUUUCAAUAAUCGUCAGUAUGAAGAAAUACCUUAUUAAACUGGGCACCAAAGUAUGCUUUGGGUGCUUCAAAACCAAGCUUGUCUCUCAUGUUCCUUUAAUCUUGUGAGUUUUUAAGUAGAUUCACUUUUCUCAUUUAUACUGUACCUUUUCACAUUAAAUUUAUGUUGCUCCUGAUGGGUCUCUUUAGGGGUUAUAAACGCUUCUUCAGGAGGACCGCUCUUGAGACAUCAGAUUUUCUUAAAGAUGACUGCUUGAAGAUAAACUGUACUGUUGGUGUCGUGGUGUCAGCUACAGAUUAUUCCAGACCACACUCAAUACAGGUCCCUGAUUCUGAUAUAGGAUUGCAUUUUGGUAUGCUUCUGGAGAAUCAGGAAGGUUCAGACAUUGUUUUUAAUGUGGCCGGGGAGAAAUUUCAUGCCCAUAAGUUGGUGUUGGCUGCUCGAUCUCCUAUAUUUAGAGCUGAGUUUUUUGAGGGGUUAAAUGAUGAGAAGGAUGAGAUUACUAUUCCUGAUAUGGAACCAGAGGUCUUCAAGGUGAGGAACUUCAUUUCCUUCUGCUUUGGUUGUGUUGCUCUGAUUGCCUUUUCUUGGAAAUAAUUUUUCUUGAGUUCUUUACAUAUAUUCCACUGUGAAAUCUGAAUAUUUAUACAUGCCCUUUGAGAAUUAAUUUCUUACAUAUAUUCUCUUAUAUUACUAGAAGUGUCCUCUUUAAAACUUGGUCUGAUACAAAGUCAAAUCUCCUGCAUGCAUUGGAUACUUCCAUUUGAAGAAGUAGGCGUUUUUGCAAGAAAAAUACACUUUUGAUUGGUAUUACAUAAAAAUUCUGAUUUUACAGGCAUAUAUAUUUAACUUGAUGAUUUGCUAGUGUAUGUAUAUAAAAGCCCUAUUUUGCUAAUUCAUUGCAUUUUGCAGGCGAUGCUACACUUUAUCUACAGAGAUACUCUGGUUGAUGAUUAUGUCUUGGCUGCAUCAAGUUCUGUUUCGUCUAUUUCUGAUACUUUGGCUGCAAAAUUAUUGGCAGCUGCAGAUAAAUAUGACUUGGGAAGGCUUAGGUUAUUGUGCGAAUCUUACUUGUGCAAGGAUAUAUCUGUAAAUUCUGUUGCGAGCACUCUUGCAUUGGCGGAUCGUCAUCAUGCCAUGGAACUUAAGGCAGUUUGCCUAAAAUUUGCUGCCGAAAACCUUUCAGGUACUAACUUUUUAUCUUUCAUAUCUGCACUUUAGAAGUUUGACUAGCUAUCAUAAGCUCAAAAUUCAUACAAUAUUACUGAUUUUUCCAAGUAAAUUUUGUAGUAUACCAAAGUCAAUUAAAUAUAGAAACUCAUUUUUGUGCUAGGUCCUGUAUAUGUAAUAGAAAUUAGGAAAUAUGGUGUUAUGUUAGUGUCAAAACAAGUUGAGAAUGCUUGCUUCAGUAGAUUAUUUUAGAGAAUAGAGAUUUUUUUUAGUUGGCUUUGACCCCAGAUGCCUUUACUAAUUUGUUGGAUUUUCUAGGUUUGCCAUAUCCUUUUUUUUUCCUUUUUUUUUUCACUAUUCAUUUGUUGUUAUUUAAGCUGAUAUAAUACUCUAGCUUUUUCUGAGAACCACUCUUUGAGGAAUUACUAUCAUUGCCUUUCCGUUUUGCAUGAGUUGUUUUAAUUUUAUCUUUAUUGUUGGAGAAUUAGACUGCACUUGUUUUUCUGGAGGCAAUUCGAAUUCAUGUUUUCGCCUCUUCUUUCUGAAUUAACAUUAUUAUGAGUAAGCUCUUUUAUUGUGCUUGGAUAUGCGUGCCUUACUUGGAUCAUGAUCCGAAGGAGCUUUUUGCGUGUGGUGCGCGUGCGGACGUGGGUGGGUGGGUGUUCGUGUUGGUGUCGGUGUUCUUGUGGAUGGUCUUGGAACUUGGAACAUGGGUUGUUAUUUAAAUCCAGUCUCAAUUAGUCGAAAUACCGCAGACUAUAGGCUUUGCGGUUAAACAGUUGGAUCAUCUGUUAAUGUGUUUGCUUUCAAUUUGUCCAUUUGACAUUUAAUUACCCAUGAAUUGCUUUUCUAAUAACUUCCUUUCUUUUUUACUUCCGGAUAUUGUUUAAGCCGUCUCUGUCAGUUCCUUAGACUUCGUGACGUUUCAGAUACCGUUAUGUCCCUUAUUUCUCUGCAGCUGUAAUACGGUCUGAUGGCUUUGAGUUUCUCAAAGAGAAUUGUCCCUCACUGCAGUCGGAGCUUCUGAGGACGGUUGCCGGGUGUGAGGAGGAAUGCAGCAGCGGCGGCAAGAGCCAGAGCGUGUGGGCCCAGCUCUCGGAUGGUGGGGACACCAGCGGCCGCAGGGUGAGGGCGAGAAUCUGAUAAUCUGUACAAAUAGGUACCAACAACCUCUCUUGUAUGAAAAUAGACUCAGAUUAUUAAUGGUUGUCCAGGGUGGGGGGAGGGUGAGAAUGGAAUAACAUUGGCCUUGUGUUGUUUGUAAUCUCAUUGUGGACUCUGAUGAAAUGCCGCACUUAUUCACCGAAGGUGAGUGUAUAAGUAGCUAGGCCGCUGGAUCUUUCCUAAUACAAAAUGACUCCUUUAUUAUCUGUCGCUGUUGAUGGCUUCUAAAGAGGCUACCCUUCUCGCGGCGUGACCGUUGCUGCCGCUGAGAGGUUGCAGUUGCAGGUGAUAGCCUGCGCGACAUGGGGGCGGCACUGCUGCUGCAAGCUGUAAGCUGUGCGUAGUAAGUACUGGAUGGGGGUUAAUGACUUGUUGAUAUUGUUAGAUCCCUCGAGGUAGUCGUUUGCAUGUUUCUUCUAUACAACAUUCAACAAGAGCAAGUUUUUCAACAUUUUGUGGUCAUUUGCUACUACAGUUUGGCACUCUCGGCCUUCCGCACGGUUGUGUUAACUAGUGUUCGUCAUAUAGAGCAAAUUCAUCGUGUGGUGUUCUCGCCUACGUCGAGAGAGGUAGCCUCCUGAUAGUUUUAAGCAAAUCCCGUAUCACACCUCUCUCAACUGUCAGGCGCUAACAAGUCAUUGUCUGGCCUUAGCCAUGAGCCGCGUGUCUGAACUGUCUUUCAUCCCAUUCAUCGUCUCAAAUAGUCGUCAAAUCUCAAUCGCCGCCUAAGAGUGAGGUACGGCACUUCCAUUUUUACGAGCUGUACUUUCUAAGAAGGGAAUUAAUAUUGCCUAUCCAUAGUCAAAGUACAAUAAAAUAAAAUCAAAACAAGAUAUAAUAUAUUUACUCGCGUAGUAUAAAAUCUAGCUUUGACGAUAUUAAUUCUCAUAAUUUAAGAAAAGACUAGCAAAGUGUGCUUAUAAUGCAUGUAAGAUGUUUAAAAUAAAUAAUUUAUUUUUUAAAAAAUAAUUCAGAUCGUGAUGUUUUUAUAUAAUCAAUAAUUUUUAUAUAGAUCAUUAAUGAAUUUCAUAAUUUUUAAAACUUUAUUAUAGUUAUAUAAAAAUAGUUUAAAAAAUUCUUGUUCUAAGCUGGGUGAAGAGAAUUUUUAAUUGUUUUAAGAAAAAAUAUAAGGAGAUAAUAAUAUUUUUUAUUUAAAAAUCGAAGAAGAUUUUCCUAUGUUCCUAAAAGGAUGUGACUGUAUAUUUAAUUCUUUAAUUUAAAAGAAUAAAUAAAUUGGAGGGAUAUUAUUUAUUUAAUACAUUAAUUUGAAGACAAGUGAAAUAUAUAUCAAUUUACAUACUAAAAUUGAUCCAAGUAAUAUUUAUAAUCAAACAAUAUCUAUAAUCAAUAGAAUAGUCUUUAUAAACUAACCCCCUAAACUGUUUUUGCUUGAGACAUGUUAACUAUUAAUUUUACCAAAUAAAUAAAAAUUAAAUCAAAAAUUUUAAAUCUUAAAUAUAAAAUUUCAAAUAUAGAUUAACAAAAUACUCUAUAACAUUGAAUAAUAAUAUAUUAGAUAACUAACAAAUAAAAAAUUAGAAAGAUAUCAAUUAAAAAAAUUAAUAAAAGUUGGAAAUCUGAUUAAAAAUUGCAUAUAAUAAUUAAUACAACUUUUCUAUAUCUUCUCCUCCCCCAUCCUCUCCCCGCACAUCAUGAUAAAAUAUUUGAGAAAUACAUAGAUGAUGAGUAUUACUAUAAGAAAGGUGAAAAAAAAAUAAGUAUUAUAAUAAAAUGAUAGGUGACGAAUAUUAUACAAAAAAAAAAUUAAAAAAACAUAUAGGUGACGAAUAUUACUAAGUGAGAAAAAACAUGAAUAUUAUUAUCACAAAAAAUGAAAGAUACUUUUUAUUUUCAACUGUUGGAUAAAAUUCAAUAAUAAAAAAAUUAAAUUUAUAUUUAAAAAUAAAUUAUUAUUUGAAAUGAAUAGUUGGACAUAAAAAUAUUACUGAAAAAUUAAAGACAAUUUCGAAAAAAAAAAAGGGGUAAAAUUCAAGCUUCUAUAAGUAAUAUAGAUAGAGAUUUAACAGUGAAUGGAAUGUAGGGCAAAUCACAAGGCCUCAACAGGUGAAGUGGUGAACCAGGUCCAGCCAAUAAUUACCCGCACAGUAACAGCUCGGAAUGACGCAUCCCAACGAAUGGCUACUGAUGCUAACAACUUGCGUAACAGCUUAUGUAACUCCUCGUUGAAUUUUUAUUGUGUAAUUUUUGAAAAGAGGUACAAAGAUGGACACUGGUCAAAUAAGUUGAUUAAAUUUAACACCACCUUUUUUCGGGAUGUCUUACACCACAAGCUCAUCCUCAAGGUAAUUGUAUUCAAACGUGAAGUCAGUUUUGAUCCUUUGGCACCUGCAAAAAACCAGCAUGUUAGCAGAGGAAGAGAAAAUUCACCGAUAAUUGACAAGGCAGACAAUUAGAUUAUAUCGUUUAAAAAAAGGGAAAAAAUCUGAUAAUUCGAUCGAAAAUUAGUCAUCGAAAAUCUACGUCUACAUCGAUGAACAUCAGUUGCCCCGAAACAAAAUUCAUUCUCAUUUUAUAUACUAUCUCUAGUUGGUGGAUUGUAAUAGCCACUUUUUCGGUUGUAAGUAGCAAAAUCCUGUAGAUACAACUGUUAAGGAGAUUAACAUACCAUCCGGAACCCUCAUCACUGACAUGGAAAUCAAAGUACACAUAUGACCCCCUCUCAUAUUCAUCGUUUGUAACUUUCGGCUCCUCGUGCCUUUGGAACCACGUGUUGUAUUUCUUGUGGUACCUCCACGAUUGCCUCUUCAGUUCUCUUGCCGCUAAGUACUGCUGAUAUGUGUUCUGCAGCAUUAAUACUAAAUAUGAGUAGUGCGACCCAAAUGAUCUUGGCUUAAAAGGUCGCUAUCUUUACAAAGGAGUUCAGUUAAGAUGGAUUCAAGAAACCUGUUGAUAGUAAAAUGCAAAGAAGAGUGUAUCUGUGCCUAUCGGAUCAAUUCCUAACCGUUCCCAGAAAGCACCAUUGGAAACAAUUGGGGCCUGGGUUUGAGGAAAGCUAGACGGAGUAACUGCAGGAUGCCUCUGCAGAUGCAGCCAAUCAACUUAUAAGAGACAAUAAUAGAGGAGUUACACAUAUACCUCCGCAAAAUCAUUGCUUACAUAUACGCCGCUGUAAUCCUCUUGUAUGUCCACUUUAAUACAUAAUUUUUGAAAGGCGUGUAUGAAAAUCUAGAUUUCGCAGGGACACGUGUAAAGGACAAUUUUGCAGGGUAUUGGAUAAUAAACCUACAAAUAAUAUGCAAAUUAGCAAUUAGAAAGGAAAGCAAACAGUACCGGCACAUAGCUUUUCAAACGUUCCGAGUCUUUUGGUUGCGGAAGUUUAUAGUAGGCAGAUUCAAGCAUCUGCAUGUUAUAGAUGUUAUCAUGCAUUCCACCAGAACUACCAGAUUGGCCGCUGAUGUUAUCUCCUAUUGUACCAAGGUCUGAGACGCUUCUUCUGCCGAUGACCCCAAGGCUACCUGAUUGCUGACUAGGUUGUAGUGGCUGGCCAGGUGAGAUGUCAGUAUCUCUGGUUAACUGAUUGCCUUCUGUCACAGAGGUAGAACUUGUAUUCUGCAAAAAAGUAGAAUACGAAAAACAUUUUGCUAUAAAGCAAUCACACAGAAUUAUAAAUAAUUCCUAAUGAAGGACAAGCACUGAACUUCUUUGACUUGCAUGCAUUCUUAAAAAUUAUAAAUGUUGCCUGUAUUUGAAUUUUGUCCUUUUAAUUUCAAUUGUAAACUUUAGUCCCUUAAGUCUUAAAGUGUUUUUAAAUUUUCUUUCACCCUUUUUAAGGAAGACCCCUUUAAGGCCACAGCUGUUUCUGCACAAUAAGUCCUUCCAUGAGUAUACAGUCUAAAAAGUGCCACAUCAGCACCAUCAUUAGACUAUGCAAUGUUAAGAUUGAAACUCUGAUGGCGAGAGUAAAACUAAUGUCAAACUUUGUGGAUCAAAGUAAAAUCAAGGUCAAAAGUUCAGGUUUAAAAUUACAAUAAUAUGGACUAAAUUGUUUUUGUAAUCAAACUUCGAAAUCAAAAUUGUUGAAUUUGAAAAUCAGAGGAAGAAAUUAAAACCAGGAUAUAACUGAGGGAAUAAAUUUAUAACUAUACUAACAUCUUUUACAUCUCAGAUUUUGUUUUAGCAGCUUCUAAAGAGAUUCUUACUAAAGAGAUCAAAAAAGAAUUAAAAUGCAAAAUUUAUUUCUGUAUUUGCAGAAAGAUAUGGGCAUUAGUAAAAGAGCAUUCCAAAAGAAGUAUUUUUCAUCGGCAUCAGAUCUAGAAAUAUACGUUGCAACCUACUCUAAAUUUAAAUAGGAACAAAUCACUCUAAGACCACAAUCAGAAGGCAGAUUAUUUGAUAUAUACCGCAUAUUGUGUCUUCGAAUCAUCCUCACUAAUGACUUUGCUAAGUCCAGAACUCGCACCAGUUUCGGCAUUCAAAUCAUCAGUCGGUCCCUGCUGCUCUUCUGUUUUCGUAUGCCCAGCAUCUGCUGGAAAAUUGCACAAAGAUUGGAAUACAAAACAGGUAGAGAUCGCAGAAAUAAAAUCUAUAUAUACCUCCAUCUUUUGCCCCAGUUGAAAUCAAGGUGUGCUGACUGGAUUGUUGAAGAAUUGGGCUUGGCUGCUGUUGUGAGACUGAUGGAAUGGAAGCAAGACCUGGCCCCUGCACACCAAGUCCGAGGCUCAUUUGAGGUGACAUGGAUGGGCUCUGAGAAUUAAACUGGACAAAGAAUUAGAAGUCAGCAGUCAGCAACUUGAGAGAGAGAGAGAGAGCUUAGAUCAAGAUAGGAAAAUAAAUAAAUAAUAACUUGCAACAACCCCUGCACACACACCCAAAAAAAAAAAAACAAAAUCCAAGUCUUUCUGCAAAAAGUAACUUCUUAAGGUAAUUUAAUAGUAUUGGGUAAAGUAAUUAUAGAAUCUAAAAGAGAAAAGCGAGAACUAUGUGAAAGUCAAAACAUUGCAGUCCGAUACCAGAGACUCGAGGAAUAUCACAUUCGGGAUGUAAUGGUUAAGUGACUAUGACUCUGGUAUAUAGUUGAUCACUUGCUUAACUUGAGGAUAAACUAGUAAAAGUUACUGCUCAAAACCCUUUUGCUUGUUAAGUAGCUAAAGGGGUAAGCCAAAACCAUUAUGCUGGCCAUUACAAUGUCAUGGUCGGUACCUGGGCUUUUUUUGCAAUUAGCCCCCUGAAAAAAAUUUAUUUUAAAAAUAGCCCCAACAAAUUUAAAUUUGCAAAAAUGGCAGUGACCCUGCCACGCAGGCGCCACGUCAACGCCAUGCGGGCGGGGCUGGGCCAGAUAGUUAAAUUAAACACGGUGAACCAUUUACCGUGUCUAAACACGGUGAAUGGUUCACCGUGUCUAAGGAAAGAAAAGGGAAAGAAAAGGGAAAGAAAAAAUAUACGUAUUAUGAAAAAGAUAAGUAUGGAACACGGUGAAUGGUUCACCGUGUUCAACUUAAGAACCCAACCCGUCCGUGUGGCGCUGAUGUGGCGCCUAUAUGGCAAGGUCAUGACCAUUUUUGCAAAUUUAAAUUUGCUGGGGCUAUUUUUAAAAUAAUUUUUUUUUCAAGGGGCUAAUUACAAAAAAAGCCCUCUGGACCUUUUUUUCUCUUCUGAAUCAUUACUUUAAUCACAUCAUUGCAUAGCUUUGGACCAAAAAUAUUUCAAAUUACGUUUGUCAGGAAAAGGGAAAAGAACUAUUGUAACAGCUCUACCACAAGUAAAACAAAUGCAAGAUUUUCUUCAAAACUACAAGACCUUUUAGUAUGGAAAAAGAUCAAACAAGAAAAGAACCUGUUGCAAGAGUGAGCUUUGCUGCUGUGUAGAAAACUGCUUCUGAUUCAUACCAGGGAUUUGAGGAACGUUAAGAAGGUUACUGUGAUUUUGCUGCUGCACUUGUUGCAAGCGCUGCAAAAACUUUUCCCUCUGGUCUGGAGCAAUCUCAGGUCUUCCACGAAACUGGCCCUGGCACAAGAUCAUCAUCAACAUGCCUCAAAUGAUAUAAUGUCGAGGGCUAGUAAGGCAUCUAUAAGUUGCCACUUUAAAACCUCUCUUACUUCCACACCAAAAAAAAGGGGAGAAAAGUCUCCCAAUCUGUUUUAGCUAGGAUUUUCAGGCAAGGAGAAAAGGUCACACACAAACAGAAGAGGUUCAGUUUCUGUUCAAAUAUAAAUGCCAAAUAUAAGUCCACUAUCAGAGCAUGCUGAAUAUUCAAAGUUCAUUGUCCUCGAUAUUAUAGCCACCAAAAAUCAGUUUUAUAUCCAAUUAACCUGGAAUCACAUGUUAAACAAUUAUUAUUAACAUGAAACAGGAACUUUACUGAAAAGAACAAAAAAAACACUAGACUCAACUGAUAACACAUGGUCUAGACUAUUCUAAAUAUCAGCACAGAGAGAAAUUAUAAUGCAUUAAAGAGAAAAGAUGUAUGAAGCAAAUGGGCUUCAAAUUUCUGCGUCACAAUAAGAAUGCUUACUGUUUCAUUUUGGAAACCAGAUGCACUCUGUGGUCUCCAUUGAACACCAGAAGCAACUCCAGGUGAAAAGACUCUUCCUCCAAUGACAGAACCCUCGCCAACAUUAUUCGUGUCAUUUGACACAGUACCAUCAUUGGUUCUUGAAACCUGUUGCAAUAAUAUUCUAUUUCCUAGAGGUGAAACCAAUGGUUGAUCAACAUUCAGCAUAUUUCUCUUCAUUAAGUCAGACACUGCAGGGACUGAACCAAUCGCUCCGGUUCCAGAAAUUCCACUAGCUGUACUUAAGUUCAUCGGAGCACUAAUAUUAGUCUGAUUGGAUAUUCCUCGAGCCAUACCCCUCCCUAUUCCUAUUUCAGGGAUACCAGGAGAUGAUCUACGGCCAGGGAAAGUCACGUUAUCAUCUUCUUUUGCAGUAGCGGAUGGGUUAACAAGAGAUGAAGUAGCAACAGCAGAUGUGCUCUCUGAAACACCCCGAACACUUGCAGGACCAGAGAGUAUAGCUGCUACCGUCGGCGUUCCGACCAGUGGGCGUGCGGUGGUAGAAGCGACAGUGGGAAUAGGUGUCCCAGUGCUGAUACCUGGGGAAGCUGCUCCCAUAGCAGCACUUUUCAGAGGUGGUGGUGUUCUUGGUACUGCAUCAGAACUGCUGUCCAGAGAAGCUGUUUCCUCGCCUUGGUCGUUACUGGUACUUUGUGACGCAGUUGACGAAAGAGCAGCCUACCGGAAAGAAUGUGUGUUGGAUUAAAUAAGUAAUUAAUUUUCAGGUGCAGAAUGUAUAGAGGAGCAAAACGGAUAAAGCUUAAAAUGCUAUUGCCAGAAACAGAAGAGUGAUCUGGCAGUUUGAGAUUUUUGCCAAAACAACGAAAAGGUAAAUGUCCUGGGUACUAUAUUAGUUUCUUACAAUUGUGUUUGGAAUUCUUAAGGUAAUGAAAGAAACCUGAUUAGGCGAACUGGCUGCUGAAUUCUUCAAACCUAAAACUGAACUAGCAGUAGAAACAGAACCAAUACCCUACAAAGCAAGGAAAUAUGAUAGAACGAUAUGUGACUAGUUUUUCAGGUAUAAGAAACCAUCAUCAUCCAUGAAGGAGAGCAACCAAAAAUUUUAAAAAAGAAAAAAAAAUCUAGAUAAAUAGCAGAAACUUAGAAAUGAAGAGGCUUAACAUAAAAAAUGAACUUCUUUGGUGACUGAUUCAAGAUAGUACUACUUACGAAAAAAAGCUAAUGUUUAUAAUUAAUUAAUUGAAUGAAAGGUUAGGUAGUUGUUUCCAAAUGGCCCAAAUUCAGAUUAGUUCUGUGCAUUUCAUUCUGUGCAUUUCACCGAGAAUUUAAUUAAAGAAUGAGUAGAAUGAACAAUAAAUCAGCAUUACUUUAAUAAGACCGGAAGGACCAAGGGAAACCAGGUCUUCUAGUGCUUCAACCUUUUCCAAAGGUAAUGAGCUAUAGAGCUCAUCAACAUCACUGAAUUCCUCAAAAUCCUCCUGCAUAGAUUUCAAACUUUGAUAAAAGUCAAUAUCGGCAUUAAGGAGGCAAUGUGGUAUAAAAUGUUAAAAAACUUUUACAUAUGAGAACAGAAGAAAAUUUAGAAAAAUUUGUAUUACACAUUGCAGAAAAUAUUUAAGAAGUCAAGGUACCUGAUUACGUUCAACAUAAUCUUCUAGAAAAUCUUUUAUAUCAUUGACUUGGUCAGGACUUAAUUCAUCAUUUUCUAACAGCCUCAAAAUCAGCUCCAGUUUCUUGAUAUGCGCCUUAUGCCUUGUAAUAGAAGUCUCCAAAUGUACCUGUAAGGAAAAGAUUAUUCUACUAAAUUAUACAUAAAUAAACAAAAGAUAAAAAGAAAUAGCAAUAAAAGUUGCAUGGCAAAGUCAGUUGGAAGACAAUUCCCGCUGAUCUCACCAAUCGAGGAGGCCUUGUCUUUCCCUUUUUAAAAGAAAGCCCUUCGACCUCAGCUUCAAAGUUGUCAAUCUGGCUUUCUAAAUCCCCAACCUACAGAAAACUUAUUAACAGAAGUAAAAUGCCACAUCCAAGAUAAAAUAAAACACCAAAUGUUAUAUGUAAGUAUGAAGUCCAAUAGAUUUCUAAUAACAAUGACAAGGGUAAGUGUAGAAAUAUAUUUAUUUAAAUGACGUCAAAAGUAUCAUAACCAAUUAAAAAAUAUACUGAACAUAACACAAGCAACUAAUUACUUACCACAUUAUUCAACCAAUCCCUCGUUUCGGAUUUUGCCUUUUCUUUUGGAUCCUACAAACAUAGGAAAUACACAAUCAAAAGAAGUUGAAUAUGCAUGCCUGAGGAUAUGAUAAGCAGCUCCUUAUAGGCCAUCUGCUUUCAUGAUUCACACCACAUUAAUAGGUAAGCUAGUCAUCUCCAACUUAUAGUUCUUUUUUACUUUUAUAUAGCAAUUAAUCAACUGGUUGUAUCUUCAGUGAAUAGUUGUACAGAUUUUAAACAAUUAAUUUAGACAGCAGUGAUUUUACCACGUCUUUUUUCCCCACUUCAUCUUAUCACUUUCCUCAUAUCAAAGAAAGAAAGAAAUUAGAACAAGCAACAUAUGAGUAUUCUUUAACAGGCAAUUAAGGCAAAAACAUCUCAAAGCUAGAACUGUCAUAAAAAAAGGCAUUAUAUACAGUGGGCUGUUUAAAAAAUAAUCCAAAACAAUGGAGGAAAAAAAAAAGCAUUUCAAUGAUACUUUACGAUUAGGGACGAGGAAAAAUAAUGCAGUAGAUAAAUGAACAUUAUGAAACUUAAAGAAAUAUAUUAAUUCAUGUAACAUAAAUCAAAAAAAUUCUCGUAAAAGAUGAAGUCUCACUUACAGUCUUUGGCUGUUGACCUAAGCCUUCUUUGGAGAAGGCUUUUGUUUUUGUUUCUUUUUCGCAGACUUUAAAUCUUUCCAUCUCGCGCUCAAUAAGCUUGCGAGCAUCCAUGAGAGCCUGCUCAUUGGAGUUACAAACUUAUGUCAACAAAAAUCACAAAAUAGUUUGUCAACUCCAGAACAACUAGCCCCACAGUUAUACAAAUUUUGUCCGCUUUAACUAGUUCACAUGGAAGAAUUUAGUGAAUUCCAUGUUACCACCAAUAUGAUUGAUUAAAGUAACCAGACACUAAGGAAUAUGAUCAUAUAAGCAAAAGCAUUGCAAAGAAAAGAUAAAGAAAAACAAAUAUAGUACAAUAUGCUUAUCAGUAGAUGUGUAGCAAAAUGUAAGCCGGUGGUAUCAUCAAAAAGUAAAAUUCAAUAGCUGCCAUGACUCGAUUAACUCCCAACCCCAAUUCAGCUCAGGAAUUAAAUCUAUCAUAGUCCUGCUCAAGUACGAAUAAGCCUUAGCUGAUUAUUUCUAAGUUUUUGCCCAUGCAAAUUCAUAUUAUCAGCACACAAAACAUCCCUCAAUUUCCUAUUCAAGUUGCUAAGAAAUUAACCUCAACAUCAAAUUGUUCUUGAUCUAUAGAAUAACAACAAUGCCUGUGCCUGGAACAUCAACACAAGUCCACAAUUCAAGAAAACACUAUUCAUGCAUCGCCUGGCCCCGGAAUCUAAUUACACAUGUUUUCUUCUAGAAUCAUUUAGAACAUAAAUAAAAUUUCUCACCUUUUUAUCCUUUAUCUCGCUCGAUUGAAUCCAUGUCUUAAUCUGAUCUCGAUACCGCUGCAGCUUCUUGAUCUCUUUCUUCAAAUCCGCCUCAAAUUUCUCCUUCUGAUUCGCAUUCUCAGUGUCGUAAACCUAGCCACAAAAUAAUAAUAAUAAUAAUAAACCGCCGAAAUCAUCAAGAAAAUCCACAGAUCACAAAACCCCCAGAUUACGGCGAUUUCAUGGAUUCGUACCUUAUUCCAGAUGCUAUCGAAAACCUCGACGCCCUCUUGGACCUUCUUGAGGACGCGAUCGAUCUCGCCCUGGAGCUUACGACUCGCCCCCAUCGUGCGAUUGCGCGAGAGUAGAAGUAAUCAAUGGGUGGAACAUCCAAGGAUUAGGGUUUUCGUUUCGAAUCUAGGGUUUUGGAACCUCUCCGUUCUAGGGUUUCGAAUUGGGGGAGUAUACAGGGACAGUGUUGAGGUGAGGAGGGAGGAGAACGGACAGGGAAGGGUCAAGCGUGUCGGAGUUGGAACGGCUUAUAUAGGGAGAAACUGUUGCGCGAAAACGGUCCACCACGUGUGGACCGCGGCUUCAUAUCGACGGUUGAGAUUCAAAGUAAGGAUAUGAUGGACGGCGAUCACGCGGGUUCUCUGCAUUGCACAGCUGACGUGGUAGACCAAAGGGUGGCUAUAAAUUGGUAAAAAUGUAUGGAAACCCCUCAACUUUUUUUUACUUUGCGAUUCAGAUUCUCUUCCCUUCUAAUUUUUUAAUAUAAAUUUUUAUAUUUAGUUAAGCUAAAUUUGUCAAAUUUAAUGACUAUAUUAGUUAAUAUUCAUUAAUUGAUCUAGUUUUAUUUACUAAAAAGCUAUUAAAGUCACUAAUUUGGUGAAACCACCCUUAAAUUUAAUGAACUUCUUAAAUUUCUUUUAGUAAAAUCACUAAAUUCAAAACUAAAAUAUCAGCAGGUCUCGAUCAAAAAAUAUUACUAGAUGAGGGUGCUGUUUUUUUUGGCUUUUAAUUAUGGUAGAAUUUCAAUCUUACUUUUCUAAAAAUUUGCUACAAAUGGUAACAUUGUAAAACAGAGACAUAGAAAUGCAGCUGAAUAAGACACAAAGUUAGCUUCUUGCUCAAAAAACAAAACAAAAAUAAGAACUUCAAGCAUUUUUUAUUUGCGCAAUCACUUUUUUUCGAAAAUAAGGUAACAUGCCAUUUGUGUUGCUCUUUUUAGUAUAAAUAAAGUUAGGUAAAAAUAUAAAGUAACUACCCUUCGAAUUUAGAAUAUUUGAUAUUAACUCUUAAGUCUUUUGUCGCUUGUGCUAGAGACGGCCGGUAUUUGCUCAAUAACUUAACUUGAGCUCAGUGAGACUGACGACUAGCUCUAACUUAUGUCUAAGUCUCAAAUUUAAGGUGAGUGUAGAGUGCAAGUUCUCGAUAACUCCAUAAACCGAGAGAGAGCGAGAGAGAAAGACAAUGUGCUAUUCGUUUUGUUUAUUAUAUAGAAAUAAAUUUAGCUAAAAAAUAAAGCAAUUAAAUUUCGAACUUGAAAUCUCGGAUACUGUAGAAGAUACAGUCAGUCAUAAGCAAAAACUUCCGUGCCCGAAAAAUCCUACAUCAGGAGCGAGUUACAUUUGAACCUUUUGGCCCAACCAGCCUUUGCUUUGGCCCAUUGGGCUUUGUCGGACGUGCUUAAAUUCUAACUAGUGCACUAGAUUGAGCUCAAGUUGACAAAUUCUCUUAUGCAAGUUCGAUAAAUUCUAACUUCAGUACACUAAAUUUUUAAUUUACACAACUUAAGCACGAACCUCUGCUUGUUUGCCCCUUUUUUUGUUCCACACCUGGUCACAAUCAAAUUUCCCCCAUGAUGAAGAAAUAUAUACGAUUAUACAUAGCAGCUCCAUUGAGAUGUGUCCCACCAAGCUACAGUACAAAACACCUACACAUCACUUACCAUUUCCAUCUACUGCACUGCAUGUAUUCAUUUGGCUUAUCCCUCCGGUAGUUUUCUAUAAAAUCACUUUUCCAUGCCACAGCAAAAACACCACGCACAAGAUGAUAAAACCCAUCACAUGAGACACCGGCCAAUUUAAUGCUUUUCUUUUAUUUAUUUUUUUUCCUUUAUAUGUUGCCUCUCACAUCCCAUAACAUGAUCACCAAAACAAAUCCAACGUUCUAAUGCUCAGAGAGCAUUUAACUAUAGGAUCUUUUCCUUGGACCUAAGAUCCUUGGACCUUCUUCACCAGGUCAGCUGUGGACCACCAUUGGACAUUGAAAAGUACGGUUAAUUCUUUGACGGUCCACGGCUGACGUGGUGGACCUGUUUUAGGUAAAAUUUUUCAGCUGGUCAUGACCCGUUGAGUCCAACUUGCCUGAUCGGGCUCAGCCUCAGCCUCAGCGUCCAACCGCACCCGUGCGCCCAUGUCCAGUUAACGUACAAAACCCGCCACGUUAUUCGCGUAAAUUACUCCCAUGCCACUCACGAGCGCGUUGCUUGAUUGCGCGGCGGCGUGAUAGGUUAAUUGUUAACGGUCACCAUCCGCGGGAAGCGUGCGUGAGGAAUAGUUAGUGGCAGCUUCGGUAAUAUAAAGANCCACGGCUGACGUGGUGGACCUGUUUUAGGUAAAAUUUUUCAGCUGGUCAUGACCCGUUGAGUCCAACUUGCCUGAUCGGGCUCAGCCUCAGCCUCAGCGUCCAACCGCACCCGUGCGCCCAUGUCCCCUCAACGCUCUGUCCUCCUCUUCCACUUUACUUCCCAAAAUUACGCUCUCACCACUAACGGUCGAUUUUUACGAACUCGCGAACUCUCCUCCUCCUCCUCAUCCUCCUUCUUCUUCUUCGCAAAAGCUAUUUUAAGCUCGCUACGUUUGAAUCUCUGCAUAAAGCUGAGGUUUUUGUACGCUUUGAGAUCGGCAACAAUGGCGGUGGCGGAGGGGGGGAGUCGGAGGUUGGUGGUGGAGGUGUGCAACGCGAGGAAUCUGAUGCCCAAGGAUGGGCAGGGGACGGCGAGCGCCUACGCCAUUGUCGACUUCGACGGGCAGAGGAGGAGGACGAAGACGAAGCUCCGGGACCUCAAUCCCCAGUGGGACGAGAAGUUCGAGUUCCUGGUCCACGACCCCGAGUCCAUGACCGGGGAAACCCUGGAGCUCAACGUGUACAACGACAAGAGGACGGGGAAGCGGAACACCUUCCUCGGCAAGGUGAAGAUCUCGGGGUCGAGCUUCGCCAAGGCCGGGUCCGAAGUCCUAAUUUACUACCCCUUGGAGAAAAGGAGCGUCUUUUCUCAGAUCAAAGGCGAGGUCGCGCUUAAGGUGUGGUAUGUGGAUGAUCCCCCUGCAACAACGGCUAGUUCGGAAGGGGGUUCGGGUUCGGAGGCGAAGCCGGAGAAAGCAGCGGCGGAGGGGAGCGAGAAGGCGACGACGGCGGCGGAGGGGGAGAAGAAGGAGAAGGGGGAAAAGAAAACAGAAGAGGCGAAAACAGAGGAGAAGAAGAGCUCUCCUGCUAAAGAGGAGAAGAAGAAUAAGUCCCCGGAGAAGCCGAAAGCGGAGGAGUCUCCGGCCUCCGAUGCUGCCGCCGCGGAGAAAUCGAAGCCGAAGGAGGAGGAGGAGAAGCAAAAGGCGACUAACGCGGCGGCUUCCCCUGCUAAGGAAACACAGCCAGCCGGAUUCUCCGGCGACCUCGAGAUCCGGCCGAGCGCCGCCGUCGCCGACCGGACCACCACCGGCGGCGGCGGCGGCUCCUACGACCUCGUGGAUCGCGUCCCCUACCUCUUCGUCCGCCUCCUCAAGGCGAAGCGCUCCGGCGCGGACGCCGAGAAGCGGCCGGCCCACGCGAAGAUCGCGAUCGGCAGCCACAGCGUCCGCACGCGGCCGGCCAAAGGCGGGGACUGGCACCAGGUGUUCGCCUUCCACAAGGCGAGCCUCAAUUCGACGGCACUGGAGGUGUCCGUCUACGAGGAGACGCCGCAGCCGCCGCCGUCGUCGGAGGGCGACAAGCCGGCCGCCGCCGCCGCCGCCGCCGCCGACACGAGCCUCGGAUCCGUCUCCUUCGACCUCCAGGAGAUCCCCAAGCGCGUCGCGCCCGACAGCCCCCUCGCUCCGCAGUGGUACACUCUCGACGGCCCCGACGAGGCCGCCGCCUGCGACGUGAUGCUCGCCGUGUGGAUAGGGACGCAGGCCGACGAGGCGUUCCAGGAGGCGUGGCAAUCGGACUCCGGCGGCCUCGUCGUCCACACGCGCUCGAAGGCUUAUCUCUCGCCGAAGCUGUGGUAUCUGCGGCUCACCGUGAUCCAGACGCAGGACUUGAGGCUGCCGCCGCUUCCGGAUUCGAAGGCCCGCCCGGCCGGCUCGGUCGGCCCGGAGCUGCACAUCAAGGCCCAGCUCGGCGGGCAGGUGUUCAAGACCAACCGGGUGGCGCCCGGCGCCAGCACCAACCCGAGCUGGAACGAGGACCUGCUCUUCGUGGCCGCGGAGCCGUUCGAUCCGUAUCUGACGAUCUCCGUCGAGGACGCGUCAUCGUCGUCGUCGGCAGCGGGAGCUCCGGCGGUGGUGGGGCAGGCGAGGGUGCCGCUCUCGACGGUGCACCGCCGGCUAGACGACCGGGCCGAGCCGCCCUCGCGCUGGCUCAACCUGGCCGGCGGGGACGAGGCGCGGCCCUACGCGGGGCGGGUGCACGUGCGGGUGUGCCUGGAGGGCGGGUACCACGUGCUGGACGAGGCGGCGCACGUGGCCAGCGACGUGCGCGCGGCGUCGAAGCAGCUGUCGAAGCCGCCCGUGGGGCUGCUGGAGGUCGGCGUCCGGGGCGCCGCCAACCUCGUGCCCAUGAAGCUCGCCAAGGACGGCUCCGGCGGGUCCACGGACGCGUACGUCGUGCUCAAGUACGGGCCCAAGUGGGCGCGAACCCGAACAAUCCUGGACCAGUUCAAUCCCCGGUGGAACGAGCAGUACGCCUGGGACGUGUUCGACCCCUGCACCGUGCUCACCAUCGGCGUCUUCGACAACGUCCGGUUCAAGCAGGCGGAGCCGGGAACCAAGGACGCGAGGAUCGGAAAGGUCCGGAUUCGGCUGUCGACGCUGGACACCAACCGGGUGUACGCGAACACGUACCCGCUCACGGCGGUGCACCCGUCGGGGGUGAAGAAGAUGGGGGAGAUCGAGCUGGCGAUCCGGUUCAGCUGCCCGUCGUGGCUGAACCUGCUGCAGGCCUACACGACCCCUCUGCUGCCGAGAAUGCACUACGUGCGCCCGCUGGGGCCGGCGCAGCAGGACGUGCUGCGGCACACCGCCAUGCGCGCCGUCUCGGCCCGGCUCGCCCGCUCCGAGCCGCCGCUGGGCCCGGAGGUGGUCCAGUACCUGCUCGACACCGACGCGCACGUCUGGAGCAUGCGGCGGAGCAAGGCCAACUGGUUCCGCGUCGUCGGGAGCCUCUCCGGAUUGGCGAAUGUGGCCCGGUGGGCGCACGGCGUCCGCACGUGGGCGCACCCGCCCACGACGGUGCUCGUGCACGCGCUGCUCGUCGCGGUGAUCCUCUGUCCCCACAUGAUCCUCCCCACGCUGUCCCUUUACCUGUUCUUGGUCGUCGUCUGGAGGUACCGGGCGCGGCCCCGGGAGCCCGCGGGGAUGGACCCGAAGCUGUCCCACACGGACGGCGUCGCGCCCGACGAGCUCGACGAGGAGUUCGACGGGUUCCCGUCGAGCCGGGCGGCCGACGUGGUGCGGAUGCGGUACGACCGGCUGCGGGCGCUGGCGGGGCGCGCGCAGACGCUGCUGGGGGACGUGGCGGCUCAGGGGGAGAGGGUGGCGGCGCUUAUGAGCUGGCGGGACCCGCGCGCCACCGGGAUCUUCGCCGUGCUCUGCUUGCUGGCCUCGCUCGUGUUCUACGUCGUGCCCUUCAAACUGCUGGUGCUAGUGAUGGGAUUCUAUUAUCUGCGGCACCCGCGGUUUCGGGACGACAUGCCGUCGGCGUCGUUCAACUUUUUCCGGCGGCUGCCGUCGCUGUCCGACCGGAUUUUGUAGGCAUUAUUUAAUUGUUGUGUGUGGCUCUGAAUAAUUAUUUAUUAUUUUGGUGGGGUAAUUGUAUUUUGUAUCUAUCUUUUUGAUGUGCUUAGUAGUGCAUAAUAUUUAAUGGAAUUUGUUUAUUAAAUCGGGCUUAACAUUAAUAGUGUUAUGUUAAUUUGGUGACCGUUGGGGAGGUGCUUUGGGUCCUCGGGAUAUCUUUUUAGGAAAGGAGUAAAUGUCUACGUAGGUGGGAGGUUUAAAUGAGGCGACCGUUGAGCGUGACCAGCUCUGAGCUUUUGCUUGAAUAAUUAUUAAUCUUUGUGGAGAUGAUUUUUUAAGUGAUGAGAAUAAGAGAUUUGAAUGAUUUAAAUUGUUAAAACAUUCUUAAUAGAAGAUAAAUAGGGAAAGUAAAUCCUACAGCAAAUCAAGCCUCCAUUAUUUUAUAAUGAUGCAUCAGAUGACCAAUUCCAAAAGGCCAAUUUGCUUUUACUCAUAGCAAGCAUACAUGGUGAUGAUUCAGGACAAGGACUACUUUAUCACUGAUAUUACCUAAUAGCCAUAUAUAAUUUGUGAAAUUGAUAAAAAUAAUACAAGUAGACAUAUACUGAACUUUGCAGAGAAAAUUACAAAAUGUAAUGACUACUUUUAUGGGUCAGCAAAUCAAAAAGACAAACAGAAUACUCUGGGCUUUAUGUACAUGGUGCUCUGCUACACCACACAAGCAUGUGGAUUCCAACACUUGUGCAGAAUCAAUAAGCAGAUCCAUUUGCAUGUGUUUUCUGAAAUUCACAGAUACAAAUCUGGGGCUUUUCCAUUUUAUUUAUACCAUUGGUUGUUUAUAUCCAGAACAAUGUCUGUGCGGUGUGGUGACACUUCUCUCAGAACAGAGAAUCACCUCUAAUAAACUCAAGCAAUGAGGAAUGAAGAUUCGGAAAGUGCUUUUUUUUUAUUAAGAAAGCAACAACCAUGCGUUUGGCAAAUUGUUUAAAAAAAUAACUUUUCAAAAUUGUAAAAAACUAAAGCUAUAACUUAAGAGUUUUUACUUUUUUGAAAUUUUUUUUUAAAAAAAUAGUACGCUAUCCACUUCAUUCAUUUAGAAAUAAAUUUGGUCAUAAGAGUUGAGACAACGUGGCCUCAAAAAUCAUUAAAGGUAAACAAAACAGAAAAUACAAAUAAAAGUAAAGAGGAAAAUUCGUAGAAAAAUUACUAACUCUAAUCCUCUCUCAAGACCAAGUCACUAAGAAUUGCAAAACUCAACCCAUUUCUGGCUCACUUCUCGGAUUCCUCUAAUUGUUAAAAAAAAAAAUCAAAUGAUUGGUUCCUAAAAAUUAUGUCAUUUCUUUCCCACCAGAUCAUCCAUCAACAGAUUGCGUCCCUCGUUAGAUCCCUCAUUGUUGCCCCUCGGGGCAGUCUCUAUACAUAAUCUCCUAGACACCCCUUACCUCCAUCCCAGGCCCUGGGAUGUGCUUACCUUUUAGGAUGUUGAAUAUUAAAAAUCUGCUGAUUACGCAUCCGACAAGCAGAUGAUCAGCAGUCUCAACAUCGUUGCCGCACAUCAUGCACGGUUGAUUUCCGGACCAGCCUCGUUUGAGUAAGUUGCCAGGUAAGCGUUUUUUAAGUGCUCUUAUGAUCUUAUAGAUACGCAGAGAUGGGCCCCCAUGCAUUUGCAGGAACGGACAACAAAAAAGAAUCCAUGGUCCUUGUCCUGCUCAGUUGGUUUGCAGUGCUAAUACUUUGGGCCUUUUUGUAAAUAUGGGCCUAAAUUUACUGGAAUUGAACUGUGGACGCUGACUCCAAUCACCUAUUUACUUGACUACCGGCUGAAUUCCCAUGAAAACUGGGCCAAAUGCAUCCAAAUGCAUGGUAAUUUUGUUUUCAUUCUUCCACGUUGGUGGCUCUUUCUCAUUAGAUAUAAGAGCCUAUUUGCUCUAGCGGUGCACUGUUUUAACCGAACAAUUUGUAAUGCUAUAAUCAAAAGUAUAGAAGCACGAAUUUGAAAAAAAUAAAAAAUUAGAAUGUAUCAGUUAUAUUUCUGAUGUCGCGUCACCGACAAAUCAAAUUAUUCUUUUUAGACUCACCUGUCCCAUCAUGGUUAUUAGAAAAUAAUUUUUGUUGUAUUUUUUCUCAAAUAAAAAAUUAUAAUUGACUGAUUAUAGAUGAUAUGACGUGAUUUUUAUAUAGUAAAAUUCUUUCUGAUUUGAAUUGAAUCAUUAACUAGGAGUAAAUGUGUGUCCUAACUCUACAAAAGUCAUAUCAAACGGGUCCUACAGCAUCAACUUCUAAUACAAUAUCAUCACGAAUUUUUCCAUCAAAUGGUGGGUCUUUUAUGUAUAAGUACGGAUGUAGGUUUAUCUUUCUCUUCAUUCUCUCUUCUUUUCUCCUUUCGGGAGCUUAUCAUGUGUCGAUUUCGAUUUCCACUUCCACAUCUAUAUCGAUGUUAACUUACAAUUAUUAACAAAAAGACUAUUAUUAUUGCUUUUCCCUAAUGAAGAAAACCCCUAUCAACUUCAAUCAUUAAAUGGAGAUAUUCCACCAAAAAGAAUUUGCGUAGCAGAGCGGAAACUUGCACGUAAAGCCUUGUUAGCCACCCGUUGCAGAAAUAAAGCUUCCUCAUUUGUCCCCACGGAGACCCACCUGCGGACUCCACCUAAUUAGUAUUGGCCAUUGGGCACACGACCGCAUCAAAAUAUUUCGUACGACACUCGGUUUAAUUUAGAUCCAAUCCCCGUCAUUCCCGGCAAAAUUUUGAGCUAGGAUUGGAUGCAAUGGAAUAAAAAAAUGGAUAAAUUGCAAUGUUGGUCCCCAAACUUGGUCCUCAAGUUUUUACGUGCUUUCGACGUUUAAUUUUCCAACUAUAAUUUAUUAUAAUGUAAUUUUUAAUUUAAAAAUUUUAAUUAUUAUAAUUAAGUUUAUCGUAUAAUUUAGUUGAUUAAAUACUGAUAAUUCGUUGAUAUUCAGUGAUGUAAUAUUUUAAUAAUCACCUCAUCAUGGAUUACAAUAUUGUUGCUAUAUUGCUAUCAUAUUAGUGUAUCAUUAUUUAAGCAACUGAAUUAAACUUAAAAAUAAAUUAUAGUAACUUAAAAUUUUUAAACUAAAAAUUUAAACGAAAGAGUAUUUUAUACACCAAAAGGGCAGUGUCAGUAUUUUGGACAGGGAGUUGUCUGGACCAGGUACACUAAGUAGGUGUAGACCAUCUUGGCUAUAUACAAGCAUGUUAUUAUGUCCGUUAUUCUAUAUAUAUCUUUUUUUCAAAUUAUCAUCGGUUUCAUUUUUUUUUUGAACUUUUUUAAAAUGAGUAAAUUAAUCAUCAAAAUUUUGAUAAAAUUUUAAUCAAGCUAUCAAAUGUUAAUCUAUUUUAAAAUGGGUAAAUUAAUUACCUUGUCGGUUUAACUUUAUAUACUUUUCUAGUAAAAUACCAAUUUGGAAUCUUAUUAAGAUUAAAACCAAAAAAAAUUGUAAUAAUCCCAAAUCAUUUCAACUGUUAUGGGUCUAAGGGUGACGUGGUGGACCAGGUCCAGGAAUUAUUUUCGUAUUACUUUUAAUUUCUAGCCGCAGUGAAGUCGCUCCUGACACUUGUGCGAGCCUGUCCCCACAUGCCACGUCACCGAACGCGCCGUCAACGUGUGGUCGCGUCACGUCCCCGGUAACUUUACCUUAUUCUCACCACGUUGAACGUAAGUCGCACUUUAUUAUACACAUCCGAGGAAUAAAAAGCAGUUAGAGCCUAAACUAACCGAGUCGUAACUAAUUCAUCAUCAUAUUAUGUAAAGAGAGAGAAAGAGAAAGAGAGAGAGAGAGAGAGAGAGAGAGAGAGAGAGAGAGAGACGAGGACGAAGACGAAGGAGGAGAAUGGGAAUGCGAAAGCAUUACAGAGGCGACACGAGCAUCCCGAUCGAGGAAUGGGAGAACCAAGAGGGGCGUAGGUUCAACCUCACGUCCACUGCGGCGGCGGCGGCGGCGCCGUCGAGUGGCGGUAGGGCUGCGGAGAGGAUGAAUCUCCCGAAUGCGCCGAUCCAGGUGAGAAUUGUAUCUCUGAUUUCGCCAAGAUCGAUCUCUGAAUCGUCGUCGUCUUCUUCUUCCUCUUCUUCUUCCGAUCGCCGUCGAUUAGGUUUUUCUUCGUGGCUCUGAUCUUGUUUGAUUGUCGGAUUUGAGUCUCUCUUUCGAGCGAUUAGAGGUGAUUUGCCUAGAGAUCGUUUAAUUUGUCUACAUUUUGAGGGAUCCGUGGACGGAGUUGUUGUUGAAUUAGCUAAUAUUAAUUCCCCUUCGAAAUUCUAAUAAUGCAGCGGUGUUUAUCCUCUGCGAGAGUUUUGAUGGGCCCCACAUGUCACCCUCGCAUUUAAUAAUUCUCUGCUGCGUGCUCGCUCACAAUUUUUUCGCAGUUGAUUAUUUUUACAAGAUUUUUUUUUCUGAUUCCAUAGAUUUAAUUAAGUUGGUGGUCAAUUAAAUUAUCGUAGAGCAUAUUACUGUUCUAAUUGAGGUUGGGUUGACUCACAUUCUCAUUGGACAUUAACAAGGAUCAAUCUAUUCGACAGCUGGAUCCAAAAGUGAGUGUUUAGGUUUUAGACCAAUGGUAAAUUAAAAGCCACAACAGUGGAUGAGAUGUGAGCCUCUUGAUGUUAUGUUUUUGUUGGCCUUAGAGAUGAUGGAGGCAUGGAGCCACCUGUGUUUGGUUCUCUUCUAUUGCCUAAUUUUCCAGUAAAAAUUAAAAAAUAUAUAUUACGUUUUAUGAUUAUCACCUUCUAAUUUAUAUAUUUAUAUUUUCCGUUAGUCAGGUUGGUAGAGCAAGAAAUAUAUUAGGAUGCGUCCAUGGCCUUAUAUAUAUAUAUAUAUUUUUUUUUCCAGAUGAGCUCAGCCCCUCCGAACCCGACCCCACCUGCAGCCGCCGCGGCAGCCUCAGCCUCCUGGUGUGGCAUCCUGGCCGCGCAGAUCGCCAAGCUCCUCUUCUUUGUCCACCUCCUCGCAUUCGUCAUCCUCGUCGUCUUCCUCUUAGUCCACGGCUUCCGCCACAGGAGCAGCACCUUCCAUGCAAACCAUUGGUUCGUCCCCCUUCUCACCUCCAUCGCCGCCUCCUCGGUUGCCUCACUCCUCGUCCUCCUCCUCACCCUCCGCUUCCCCCGCCUCGCUCUCAAGAAUUCCCUCUGGCUCUCCCCGCUUCUCAUCUUCGGCUUGGCCUUCCUCCUCCUUGGCAUUGGCACGAGCCAGGGCCUUGCCUUUGCCGUGCUUGCUCUCAUACUGGCACUCGCUGAGGCCCUCUACGCCUGCUGGAUCGUCCCGCGCCUCCACCAUGCCUAUGAGGUCCUCUCCGCAUCGAUAUCCGCCGCGCAGGUCCCUCCCUCGACUGCUGCCUAUGCCUCCCUCACUGUCCUCGCAGGCGCCUCCUACGCCGCGUUCUGGACCCUCGGCGUGGGCGGGGUUGCCGCUGACGAUGACUCCCGCUUUGGCCCGCUCUACGUGGUGGUACUGCUGCUGAACCUGGCGUGGACGAUGCAGGUCAUAAGACAACCGGUUGUGUUUAAAAAUUUAAGCCGUCAGGGAAUUCUGUCUGUUUUUAUAUUUUACAUUCAACGCAUAUGCAGGUGAUCAAAUACCUCGCACACGCGGCUGUGGCACGCCUUGCCCACGCACGCCUCGCGCCAUGGGGAGAGAUUGAAGAGGGGCCUGGGCAGGCGUUUUGGGAGGUGACGACACAGGCGCUGGGCGACGUGUGCUUGGGGGGCACGGACGAGUUCCUGUUCUCAUGCACGGCAUGCUGCGCAGGGGUGGCGGAGGGGAUGGUGACACGGGGGAACCGGUGGGGGUUUGUGCACAUCGGUGCCUACAGGAAGGGCUUCGCCCAGGCAUCGUGGGACGUGUGGGACAUGUUUGCCAGGAAGGGGAUGGGCCGCCUCGUCGACCGCGACAUCACCGGGUCGUUCUGCUUUAUGUGCGGAACUGCCGGGGGUUCAACAGCUGCGCUGGUGGCCGGCUCCUGGGUGCUCGCGCUGGACAAGCAGCUCGCAGGGGCGGCCGCCGUCUACCCCUCUCUCUCUCCCUAUCUCUCUCAGAGAAAAAACUGAAACUACUUUGGAACUUAUUCUAGCUUUCAAGAUACGAAUGAAUCAAACUAAUCGUAUUGCUCUUUUGAUUAUCCUACAUUAUACAUUGCUUGCAAGUAGAGGUUGGAAUUGCUUGUGCUUGUUAACCAUGAUCUAACAAUGUAUCACAGAGCCGGAUUGCUAUGGCGUGGCCUCAGGCUUGCGUCGCGGCAUACCACGUCGUCUAUGCAGAGAACCCACACAACCGCCGCCUCGGCUCAUCGCUGACGGACCGCAUCAGGGAGCUGGAACUCUCUCCCGAUUGAUCUCCCAAGUCCAAACGAAUACUAAUUUUCAUUGCAUAGAGUUCAAAAUUCUACACAACAGUCUCUAAUUGCAAAUUUUUUCCCAACAAGCAAAGCCUAACCUGUAAAUACUGCAGAUUACUCUCCUUUUCUCCAAUCCUUUCCCAAGGAUUGGAUUGCUACUCAGACAUUCUAAAAACAUUGAUACAUGCACAGAUAUUAUACUUUUCGACUGUAAAUGGUCAUAAUACUACAAAACAAUUGAAAGAUUUUGUUACUUCUUGACUCUUGCGACAUCUAAAUGUAGAGUGCUUGGUACUAAUUCUCUUUUCUUUUGGUGGAAACAUCAGUGUUACCUGAGGUUACUCGAAACAAUAAGAUAUAAGUUGGCAUGAAUGGCGUGCUUGAGCAAUUACACAUAUUUGGAAUUUAAGCUUGUCCAUCACUCUCCAGAAUCACAUAGUCGUGCUGAAUUGAAGUACAUUUAGCUUGAUAAACUCAGUUCAUUUAUCACAAACUCAAACUCUACAGAAUGUUACUAGUAAUUGAAAGUGACAUCACUUGUAUGUAAGGAACAUACCCAAACAAAAUAGAAGCAAAAGAAUUAGUCUCAGUCGGCCCUGGAAUGACCACGCCCUCCGCAUCGUGAGCACAUUAUAUUUCCAGUUCCUCCGCAACCUACGUGAUUAAGAAGUAAUGAAAUGUUAAUGGGAGCUGUAAGAUUUAUGUCGAUAGGGAGACGUGACGGAACCUCAAAGACCAAGAGGAGAAACUAAGACCUAAAAGAGGAAAAACGAGGUGACAAAUAUUCUAGGACUGGCAAAACAUGUCUAGCCUAUGCUCAUAAACAAAAUUUAACCUCAGAAAAUGGAGAGAAAUCAUAAGGACAAAUUUCUACAUUUUAUUUCUUUGGAAAUAUAAAGUUAUUGGUGAAAAGAUACAAUACGAAAUUUACAUGUGUGCAUAAAGAAAGACAUUUCAAUUUGAUGCCAAAAGUAAUUUGGAUGAAGCUAUCCUAACAUUUAGGAACAAUGGUUGACCGACAUACGAAUCACUGCUGGAAGCUUCUUUCCUUUAACUUGUAAUUACAUGCUUCUAAGAAAUGUUUUUAAGGGCAUAAAAUACAAAGCCAAAUUAAUUAGAAUUAAGACAGAAAGCAGAGAAAACAUGCGGCUUAUAAAAGUAAGGGAAGUCAAUCACCACGCUAGGUUUCGCGGAUAAUCUAGCUUGAAUACAAAUCAUACGAAACAAAAGGAAAAAAGAUGAAGCAUGUUACCUAGGCACCUAACUUUCACGAUAAUUCCUUGGCUCUCCAGUAUAGAGUCGAUAUACAAGCCUGAACCAGAACAAGUUGCGCACAGCACUGCACCUUUGGCUUCACAAAUACUGCAAGGCGGCUUGUUCCCGAUGUUUACUUUAUCCAAAGAUAAGCCAACUGGUUUCUCGAUAUUCUCCUCUGGAACAGCUUUAUCAUAGCAGAAUAACGAUUCAAGAUUGCUUUUGCUCUUGUGCAAGUCACGUGUGGAUCUCGAAGUAAUCUGUAACACAGGAGAAUUAUAUUGAGAUGCACAGAAUGGAAAGCAUGCAAGACUGCACAAAAUCUGUACUGUACUUUUUUUUUUUUUUUUCUAGCUUUACAUCAACCAGGACACUCUCAAACCCUGUGUUCGAAUAGAAAAGAACACGGAACAAAAGAUUAAGCAUAAAAGUUCUGGUUCCAACUUCCAACUAAGGUCCACAAGUUUAGAGCGUGGUUGUUUCAACAGCUUUAGGUAUAAUUUGGGUUGGUUUUACCAUUCCUGGCAAAAAGGUUCCGAAAAAGGCAUCCUAAAAUUAAAGAAAAUGGAAUUAUUAGCAGGACACAAAUAGCAAUGCAUUUAAAGAUACGCAAAGAUGCCAUUGUAGUCAAUCUUAUAGAAUAGUUUCACUGCUUUAAGGAUAAAAAUUUUGGGAAGUAUAGAGAAAAAAAGCAUGUAAAGUCUAAGAUCUAAGAUAACAUAUCAUGAAGCCAUGGAGUAUGAAUACCGCAAAAGCAGACUGGAAGUGAAAACCGAAAGAAUUUAUAAAGAAAGAGUACUGACCAAUCAUAUAGAGUAGAAACUUAGAACUAGAGAUAUCAAACAAUCAAUUCACUAUCUUGGAUCUACUGAGAGAAGUGAUGGUAUUCCUCAUAAAGGAACUCACAGAUAAAGUGAUUAAGAGUCUUGCUGAGACUAGCAAUCUUUACAGGAUAACUGUGAUUUGUUCAAGAGCAGGCAUCAUUCAUAAAAUAACUAAGGUUUAGCUCUCACACUAAGUGGGAUUGACUAUAUGAAUCCUAAAAGGGAACCGCACGGGAUUUGUUAACAAAUCCUCAAUCUGGGAUUAAUGAAAACCGCAUCCCUGCCUUAGAUUUCGCAACAUGCGGGUGUCACACAACACCAAAGUUACCCACGCGCAUAUUUUUUAAACACAAGCUGCACUUGUCGAAUUCGAGUGUCUGUUUGGUUUGGCUUCCGCAACACAUUUUGUACUACGAGAAUUAUCACCUGUUUGGCGAACAAAAUGUUUUCGUUAUCGGAAGCUAAAAUGAUUUUCUGAGCACCAAAGAUGAAAGCUCAAAUUUGAAGCUUAUUCUUCUGUUGUUGUGGCGCAAAGUUAUUGAGCGAAUCUCAAUUCUAAACACUAUUAGUGCUUCUUUAGAUACCUCUACUUAAACAAAAAAAUCUAAAAAAGGUUCAUCCAGAUCAAAUCGGCCCUAGCUGUAGGGUUAACAAAUAUAAAUUGUCUCCCAUGAUAAUCACACAUAACUCACGGAUGUGAUCUGAAGUUUGAGUUAUUUUAGUGGUUUUGAUUUAGUGAUUAUCAACUCAAUGAUUUAGGUGGAUUCGUGGUGUUGUGUACAAAUAGUUUAAUCCCCUUACCCAACAUUUCCAACUUCUCAUUCCCUAAUAUAAAUCAAAUAGGAGGGACUAUUUCCAAAAUUAGUAUCAUCUCGCAACAUAUUCUCACGCAAAAAGCAGAAAUUUUGAUUCAUCGGAGACUCUUCUAAUCGUAAAAGAGCCCAAAUUUCAAAAUACCAAUUACCACCGAAUCGCAACUAAUUACCAGAAAAAUCGAAAAAAAAAGGAAAGAAAAGGCGAUUAAGGAAAGGAUAGAACCCUAGAAGCACUGCAGCGAAAAGCCGACGAAGCAGCGGAUAAAGCACGGACAUUCGAAGGGGAUUCGCGUCCUUCGAUCGUAACCCUAAUUGGGCACGGAUUGCAACACGGGAUCGAGGGAUUCGAUGCGGGAAAAGACGAGGGUUUGAUCGCAAUCUCCAUUUAUGCGAGAAGAAGCUCCUUCGCCCCCCUUUCUAAAGCUCCGAUUUUUAUCGCUAAUGAGUUUGGGAAUGUGUCGCCCCACUAAAAACGAUUCUUUGUCGCCUUUGGGCGUAUCGCCCUUAAUAAUUAAAAAACGACUAUUAAUUAACGUCCAUUCGUACCAACGCUUUUUAAUCUAAUUGGACUAAAAUAACCUCGAGCUCCAAAUUCCCCAAAUCCUAAUAUAUAAUUAUUAAAUAAAAUAAAAGUAAUUAAAACGUGAAUAAGUUUAUUCCUUUGUUUUUAAUAUUAAAAAUUUAAAAUACUCCUCCUGUUUUGGUAUUUUCUCACUUUAAUACCCUAUAAAGUGCAUCAAUUUAAUAACCUUAUACUUUCUUUUUUUUUCCAUCAGCUUUUCCGUUAAUAUUUUAUUAAAUUAUAUAUAAAAAAAACUUCAAAUACCCCACCUAGACUUAUCGAAUAUUCAUUUUAAUAUUUUUUAGUUUUAACUUUGUCACUGAUUUAACAAAAAAAAAUUAGUGGAGGGGUUAAUAAAAAAAAGAUAAAUAAAAUUACGUGAUACUAAGUUGAUACACUUUAAAUCACAUAGUACUAAAAUAAAAAAAUACGAAACACAUGAAUGGUAUUCGAAGUUUUCCUAAAAUUUAAACAUAGUGUCUAAAUUUUUUGAUAAGAGAGUGCGAGAUUUACAUGCUGCUUUUUGAGUAUAUGAGUAGUAUUUUUCUUUUUGUUGAAUAUAUUAAAUUAAACAUGACACAAUAAUAGAAAAAUUUUGCAAUAAAAUAAAUUGAAAUGAUAGAAAGUAUAUAUAUUUAUAUAUUUCUUAAGGUAAAAUAUGAUGAAAUUAAUUUCAAAUUUGACUAAUGCAAAUCAAUACCAUUUCUAGAGUUUUCAUGCGCACGGACAACGGACAAAAGUUACGAAACAAAUAUAAAUGUUUCUCGUUGUUGGACGCAUGCAUCGACUUAAGUUACAAAAAACCAUGUCUCAAACAUAAUAAUUUCUACACAUAAACACUGUUUGUGAAUUUAAUUUUCGUAAUUUAGCAUACACUAUAAACUUAUUUGCACGGUAUUCAUAUAUAUAUUUAUGUAUCCUGCUGAAUUAAAUUGAUUAGUGAGUGAGUGAGUGAUUGUGAAAACAUAUAUUGGCUUCAACUUUAUUCAAAAUUCUUUUUCAUGAUGUAUAAUCACUUGUAUAAAAAGUAUUCUUAAAAAUAAUAAUUUAACUACUCUUUUUUUUUUCUCCUUGUAUUUAAUAUUCCUCAUCUUGGCUCUACUAGAAAACAAAGAAUCCUUCGUAAAUUUGGGAAAUUUCGUGGAAAUCUCGUUCUACUGAACGGUGGAUUUAACGUUUAAAAAAUAAGAAGCGUAUGUAACAUCACGUGUGGAACAUUAUCAUCUACUAUUCCCAGUACUUGCUCCAUUUACACAGGAAUUGUGUUAGGAUUUGUUGUUCCAUCACAAACCUCGCAACACCAGUUUCCUCUUAUAAGAAUCCAACAAAUUUAAUCUCCUACAUUGAUUCCCCCCCUUUUGUGCAUGCAUGCAUGCAUCCAGUGCAUUUUUCGCUAUAUUUUUAUUUUCUAAAAAAAAAAUUUAUUACAAAAAUUUCAGAAUCAAAAUCUAAUUUAUUAUAUAUUGUUUAUAAGAGUAAAAAAGAGCUAGGAAUCAAAAGUUAGUUAUAAAUCCUGAGCAAGUAUCAUUGCUUCAAAGUUAGCUAUGUAUAUUCAUUGGAUUCAUACUAGAUUUUGAUUGUAAAAUAAAAUUAUAAAUUAAUAAUUAAGUGCGGUGCAUGAGAAGUAUGAAUGCAUGAGGUGCAGGGAAUAAUUUCUUUGCUUGAUCAAAAAUUAUUUCAAGAGUGUUCUCCCUAUAAGGCACGUGAAUGAUCAGCUUACAUAACCUCCUUGCUCUUACUUGCCUUUCUAUAUAAUGAUUUACCGUGCCUUUUUACUGUUUUAUAUUUUCACAUUUUGAGUAAAUCUUCUUAAUUUUUGUGUUCUUUUCUGCAUAAAAGUUUAUGUAAAAGUAUAUGAAAUUUAUCUAAAUUAUGAUUCAUUUUGAUCUAAAGCAUAAAUUAUUUAUUUUUUUUCAAUCCAUUUAAUUUAAGCAAAAUAAUUACCCUUACACCUUAAAAUUUGCAUGAAUCUGGCCUUUAUUUUUACAAUUUGAUUGGUAUGCUUUAUAUAAUUCAUACGACUAUAAUUUCGUUAGAAUAAAUAAUGAACUUAAACUAUCAGAUCGUUUAAAAUCAAAUAAACUAAAAAAUUAAGCCUAAAAUCAAAAUUUUUUAAAACAAUAGUUGAAUAUAUAAUCAAACCAGUUUAAUUAAUUGUUCAAGUAAUUAAGCUCCAUACAUAUUUUUCUAUUCUUCUGAUAUAUAUAUAUAUAUAUAUAUAUAUAUAUAUAUAUAUAUCUUUAGAAUCCAAAGUCACUGGCCCUAAAAAAACCCAACAACUUUGGAGUUAUAAUCCCCCUACCCCUUCUUUUUCACCCCAUUCAUUAUUCCUCCCAUUCUCAUGCAUUCUCCCACUACAAAGAUCACCUGAAUCUUAUUUAUUUUCUUUCUUUCUUCUUCUUCUUCUUCUUCUUCUUCUUCUUGUUCUACUACUUCUAAAGCCCACAUUAUAUUUUCGAUCUAUUUUUUCUCAUCCUUGUGGAUCCAAAGGAGACGGGGCUUGAUUAGCACCACAAACACAAACGAAUAUCGAUCGAUAAAUUAACCUCUCUACCUAUCUAGCUAGCUAGCCACAUACAUACUCUUUGCUCUCAUUCUCCAUCCUACAAAGUUGGUUUCAAGCUAGGGUGGUGGCGCGUCUCUAUAUAUUGAUAAAAAUCUCUUAUAGAUCGAGUUUACACUCGUAGCGAGCUAGUAAUAUAUAUCUAAUAAACAUCAUUAAUGGCUUUUGUGCUCUCGGAGAACUUCAAGGCCUUCAUAAACACUUGCUUUCUCCUCCUCCUAUGCUUCUUCCUCACGUCGCACAUUCGCUCUCCCACCACCUUCAUCAACGGCCUCCAAAGUACUCCCAAGGGGAUCAACUGCGUCGGCUUCCACAAGCUCAGGGACCAGCACGCGAAGUGCCUCUUCCUAAAGACCCAGACCCCGUGCGUGUCGCAGGGCUACGUGAACUACCUCCGCAUAUUCUACUGCUUGUGCGGCAGGUACCCGCCGCUCGGUUACACCCUCCUGGCCUCGUGGCUCCUGGUGCUCUUCUACCUGCUGGGCAACACGGCCUCGCAGUACUUCUGCUCGUCGGUGGAGAGCCUGUCGCGGGUGCUCAACCUGUCGCCCACGAUCGCGGGGGUCACGCUGCUGUCGCUGGGGAACGGCUCGCCCGACGUGUUCGCCAGCAUCGUGUCGUUCCGGUCGGGGUCCGGGGAGGUGGGGCUGAGCAGCGUGCUGGGGGGCGCGUUCUUCGUGUCGUGCGUGGUGGUGGGGAUCAUCAACAUCUGCGGCAGCUCGCUGCCGCACGCCGUGCGCAUCGACCGCUCGAGCUUCGUCCGCGACGUCUGCUUCUUCGUCGUCGUGCUCUCCUCCCUCCUCGCCAUCCUCGUCGUCCGCCGGAUCACCAUCUGGGGCGCCAUGGCCUUCACCUCGCUCUACUUCGUCUACGUCUCCAUCGUCUCCGCCACGCACUUCUGCCGCGAGAAGUACGAGGACCUCGUCGUGCCCAUCAUCAAAGAGCUCGACGAGCCUACGUCGGCAGCGGCGGCAGAAAAAGAAGCAGCGGAAGGUUCCGAAGCCAAAGCAGAUCACGAAGAUUACGAUCAGGAGGGAUCGUCGUCAUCGUCACCGCCAUCGUCGUCGUCGUCGUCGUCGUCGUCAUCGUCGAGCAGGUACGCAAGGCUCAGGAGGAGAGCGUCGCGGUCGCUGAGAUGGGUGCUCUACGCCAUCGACAUGCCGCUCUACCUGCCGCGGAGGCUGACGAUCCCGGACGUCUCCGAGGAGCGGUGGUCGAGGCCGUACGCCGUGGCGUCGGCGACGCUGGCGCCGAUCUUGAUCGCGACGUUCUGGAACUCGAAGAGAGGGGUGCUGGGCUCGAAGGAGGGCCUGACGAUAUACCUCUACGCGGGCCUUAUUGGGCUCAUACUGGGCCUGUUCGCGCUCCACACCACGAUGAAAAAUAGCCCGCCCAAAAAGGUGCUGUUCCCGUGGCUCGCAGGGGGGUUCCUGAUGAGCGUGCUGUGGACGUACAUCAUCGCGGAGGAGUUGGUGGGGCUGCUGGUCUCGCUCGGGUACAUCUUCGGGAUAAGCCCCUCGAUUUUGGGGUUGACCGUAUUGGCGUGGGGGAACUCGAUCGGGGACCUGAUUGCGAAUGUGGCGAUGGCGAUGAACGGGGGCCAGGAUGGGGCCCAGAUCGCCAUAUCCGGGUGCUACGCGGGGCCCAUAUUCAACACCCUGGCGGGGCUCGGGCUCUCGCUCGUGGUGUCGUCUUGGGCCGUGCACCCGGAGCCGUUCGUGGUCCCGGUGGGCCCGGCCCUGUUCGAGAUACUGGGCUUCAUGAUAGGCGGCCUUUUGUGGGCCCUGGUGAUACUCCCGAGGAAGGACAUGAGGCUGGACCGGGUGUUAGGGAUAGGGUUGCUCGCCAUUUACUUGUGCUUCCUCUCCCUCAGGCUCUCGCAGAGCCUAGGGUUGGUGCAAGUUUGAAUUAGUUAAAUUAAAUUAAAUUAAUUAACUAAUCAAUUAAUUAAUGGGUAGUACCAUUAAUUAAUUAUUAGUUUUUUUUGUUCCCCUUCUUUUUCCCCCCCUUUUUUUUCUUUUUUGGGUUAUUAUGUUGGUUGUAUUAUUUGCUUCUUUUUUUUUUUGGGUUUUAAUUCUUCUUCUUUUUUUUUUUUCCUUUUUUUCCCCCCCUUUUAUGGAGCAAAUAUUGUGUUGGUGGUAAGAGGUUUUAUGGGUUAUUAUUAAUUAGUUGAGAGGAGUGGGGUGGAGGGGUUUUGUAUGCGAGCCUCUUGUUGAUGUAUAAAGUAGCUAUGAAUAAGUACUAGAUAUUUGCUCUUCAUUAAUUUUGUGUUUAUGUUACCACAGAAUUAAUUGCACUUGGUUAAUUAGAUAUUCUUAUAAUUGAAGUGGUUUGACAUUAAAUAACUAUUUUUUUCUUUGAGAAUGAUGAUGAAAUUGCUAUGAGAUUAUAAUAAAAAAGUUUCCAAAUAUGUAUAAACUAAUUUAAAGUUUCAAAAUAUAUAUAAACUAAUUUUUCAUACUUGCGGUGGCUAUUUGGCCAGAAUAGUAUCGGUAGCGCAAAAGCCUCUGUGCUACCAAAUUAUUUUUGAUGACGAAACAUCUGUGUUUUAGAAAGUUAUUUUUAUAAUUUUAAAGUCUCCACGCUACCAAAUUAUUUUUUAUGAUAAAACAUCCGUGUUUUAAAAAGUUAUUUUUAUAAUUUUUUGCUAUCGUUUACGUUUAAAAUGAAUAGUCUCUAUAUAAAUAUUUAAAAAUUUAUAGCAAUAAUAAUAAAGGACUUGGAGUUUUAGAUCAGAUAUAUUGUCCUUUCUCUGUAGAGUGUUGAAUAUUAUAUCUAAAAACUUCAAUGAAUCUUUAAUUUAUUUUCAAGAAAUUUAGAAAAUCUAAUUGCAGAAGCUACAAACUUGUAUGAAACAUUUUCCAUGCAGUUAUCGUAAAUGGCAUAAAAAACAUGCACAGUACCUACUUAGAAAACUUAUGCACUAGUGACAUAAUUCGCAAUAAUAAUAAUAAUAAUAAACACAAUAGGUCGCAUCUUUAUUACGUGAUAUAAAUUCCUUUUAGAGAGCAUAACAGAGUGAUAUCAUACUAUUUCCAAUGACACGGAAUAUUAUACAAAAUAUAGGUUAUUUUUGAAUAUUGAGUAUUUUAUUUGAUAUAUAUAUAUAGAGAGAGAAAGAAUAAAGCUACGAUGCUAUCGAAAGCACAGAGGAUCCGGUGCUUUUGAUUUUUUGGCCCUUAGAUCAUUUCUAAUCUUUGGAUUAAUACUAUUACUAUGUGGGGAUCACUCAACCCUAAGAAUCCUACUCAACUCUGGGGGGACCGCAAUUAUCUCAACCGUAUAAUUUUUAAUCCAAUGGUCAAAAAGUUGUAAGCAUCAGAUCCUCUAUGCUCCCGACAACAUAGUAGCUCUACACGAUAUAUAUAUAUAUAUAUAUAUAUAUNUUCAAGAAUCAGUAUGAAUCAUUAGGUUUACCAAACUAUCUCAAUAAAAAAUCAAUAAGGAGCUUCUCAACAAAAUCACACUUAUUUAUAUAGAUAGUGUAACUCAGCUGUAAAAUUUUAGUUGGAUUUUUAAUGAUUUAAAACUUUACGGACUUUCUGGGUAGUCCAAUAUUUCAUGGGUCUUGUUAUAAGGAUUAGUCCCAUAUUAAAAACUAAAACUAUGUUGUUGCCAUAUAUAUAUGUUGGCUUAAAUGGGCCAGCAUCCUGCCAUGUGGCGGGAGGCUAUGUGGGCCGAGUCAUGUUCGAAAUGACGUGAGGCUGGGUUGGGCCGAGUCAUAUUCGAAGUGGCGUGAGGCCAGCCAGGUGGGCCGAGUCACAAUCGAGACCCGUGGGCGCUGUUUCUGUACGCUUUAAGUGAAUUGGUUGCGUAUUUCUAAUAGCUCAAGCUUUUGGGAUUAAUGGUUAGCGCCAACGAUCCGACAAAAUAGAGUCCGGUUACUAUACUCUUAUGAGUACGAUCGCCUUCGUACUCAUAAAUUGUUUUUGAUUAUAGAGCUUCAAUCAACGAUCUAUACCGUUAAAUAUUAUCUAGAGCAUUUAAAACUUCUAAACAUUAAAUUUUAUAAUUUUUCGAUAUCAUUUACCUUACGAUCAAAAGCUCACAAAAUUGACAUUUUUCACAUCUAGUAUGGGAUAUUUGCUAGUUAAACGGUGUAAAAGAAUUGGAAUAGGUUGAAAUUUUGAUAGAAAAUUUUAUUCACUACCUAAAUAAAGAUCAAUAACUUUGAUCUUAAAUUAAAGUAUCCGAUCAUCCAUUUUUAGGAUGUCGUUCGAUUUUAACCGUUCAUUUUAUACCCACUUGAUGAACUUUAUAAUGAUUUUGAAAAAUUACGAAAUUUAUUUUCUAGAAGUUUCAAAUACUCUAGAUCAUAUUUAACGGUGUGGAUCGUCAAUUCGAAAAUUCCAACAUCGAAACCAACUUAUGAGCACAAAGGGCUCUAUAUUCAUAGGAGUAUAAUAGCCCUACUCUCUCUCUCUCUCUCUCUCUCUCUAUAUAUAUAUAUAUAUAUAGAGAGAGAGAGAGAGAGAGAGAGAGUAGGGCUAUUAUACUCCUAUGAAUAUAGAGCCCUUUGUGCUCAUAAGUUGGUUUCGAUGUUGGAAUUUUCGAAUUGACGAUCCACACCGUUAAAUAUGAUCNCUCUCUCUCUCUCUCUCUCUCUCUCUCUCUCUCUCUCUCUCUCUCUCUCUCUCUCUAUAUAUAUAUAUAUAUAUAUAUAUAUAGGCUAGGGCUACUAUACUCUUAUGAGUAUAGAGCUCUUAAUACUCAUAAGUUGGUUUCAAUGGUUGAGCUUCCGAAUCAACGAUCCACUCCGUUAAAUAUGAUCUAUUAUAUUUGAAACUUUUAGAAAAUAAAUUUCGUAAUUUUUCGCAAUAAUAAUAAAGUUCAUCGAGCGGAUAUAAAUUGAACGGUCAAAAUCAAACGGCGUCAUAAAAAUGGAUGAUCGGAUCCUUCAAUUUAAGAUCGGAGUUAUUAAUCUUUAUCUAUGUAGUGAAUAGAAUUUUA